rnacentral:lncRNA from 1 species
CCUCUAUAAAUCCAAAUGUAUUGCUUGAUGAAUCUUACAUGGGAAGACUGUGUCGAGUAGCAACCACUCUUGCAUUACUUGGCCAAACUUCCCUAGAAGACAAAAUUGUUGGUGCAAUUGGCCUUGAGAAUAGUGAUGAUAGUGUUUUAGACUUCUGGAAUAUUACUAGAAUCGGAGAGAGUUGUUCUGGUGGCUGGUGGCGGGUGCAAGGUUCGUGCAGAAACUAAGGUGCCUGCUCUUGCUUCCUCAACUGCAACAUCUGUUGGAGCUUCACAAUCCCCUUUGUUGUGUUCUCAAUGUGAAAGAAAAGUUUGCAUAGUUUGUUGUGCAGGAAGAGGAGCUCUACUGUUUUCAAAUUAUAAAUCAAGGGAUGUGACCAACUACAAUGGCUUCUCAAGUCAGAGUGGAUCAAGCCAUGGAAGCCAAGUUGAUGUAUCUACCAGUCGUUCACUAACACUGGAUGGCGUUAUCUGUAAACACUGCUGCCAUGAGAUUGUGCUUGAUGCAUUGAUGUUGGACUAUGUUAGGGUCUUGAUUAGCUUGCGAAGAAGUUCCCGUGCAGACAACGCAGCAUACAAUGCUUUGAAUGAGGUUGUUGGAUCCUGCUUAAAGGAUAGUCUUUCUGAAAGGAUUCAGUCUUCCGAUAACGUGCAAGCUGCUGAAGUCCUUCACCAAUUAUGUGGUGGACAGGAAUCUCUUGCUGAAUUUCCAUUUGCUAGCGUUUUGCACUCGGUAUGUUCUUGGUUUGUAUUCAGUUCUCAUCAUGUUAUGUUUUCCUUUUAAAUUUCUUUUCUUGAUUAAAAUUUUUAGAAAUAUGUUUUAGUAUUUGUUCUUAUGAUAUAUGCCCAGAACAUUCAUCCCACUUAUCCAUGAGAAUCCUUGUCUGGUUUGAUUUUCAAUUGAGACAUUUUUGGGAACCCUGAGCAGGUUCCAUAUGCUAAUAAUCUUUGAGGUAAGGUGUUGUAGGAUGCCUUGAGAAGCUAAAAACCAAUUACAAGGAAAAGCUCUUGCAUUGUUUUGUGCAAUCUGUGUGCUAGCAAGUCAUGUCUCUAAUAAUUUCAUAGUUCGCUUGAUUGGAAUUUUUUAUUUUGAUAUGGAUUGUUUAUUCUAGAUUCCUUGCUGCCACUGUAGGUUGAAACAGCAAAAGAUUCAGCACCGAUUUUGUCACUGCUUGCUCCAUUAAAUUCUGGAUCAAGGCACUCAUAUUGGAGAGCUCCACCUAGUACUACUUCUGUUGAAUUUGUUAUUGUUCUCGGUUCUGUUUCUGAUGUCAGUGGGGUUAUCUUGCUUGUUAGUCCUUGCGGCUAUUCUGUGGCUGACACUCCGAUGGUAAGUGCCAUAUUUAUUCCCUUAUUUCCUUGUUGUUCAAUAAAUUUGGUGAUAAGCCAAGUGGCCUUAAUAAUGAAGCCCAGUACCAGGGGUGGUGGGUAAUCGAUAUUCAACUUGUGAAUAUUCCUAAGCAAACACUGAAUCAACAUAUACCUCGGCAAAAGUUCUCCAUGCUAUUAUAACAAAAGUCAUAUUUUGAAAUGAUUAAAACAGUCCCUGUGUAGUGCCAUUUCCAAAGAAAUUGCAGCUGGGGGUUUAGUUUCAUGUAGGUUAGUUUCCGAUAAUAAACUUUCCAUUUCAUUAAUUGCCGAUGGAAAAACCAAGUAAGAACAGUUUCGUUGCUCGUCAUUUAUGUAUAUUUUGGUAAACUGUAAUUUUAAAUUCUCAACGAUCUUCCCUUUGUAGGUAAGAAGAUGGUCCACUCACUUGAUAUUUAUGAUUGUAGAUCAGGUUUCUAUUGGUUUGCCUUUAUCAUUCGGAACCCAAGUUUGAUAUUAACAGAGAUCACGUCAAUAAUAUCCUAUUUGGGUAGAUGUGGGUGAGGAUUUAAAAUCAAAUUUGAAAUUGAGGGGAAAGAAGAGAAAAGGAACUACAAUAAUUAUUCUGAUGAGUUUUAAUCUCGAGAGGAGCAAUUUUCAAAUGCAAAUUUAACGGCUAGAGAAAUUGUAGCUUUUUGUCAUUAGUUAAGAGGAAAGAGAAUAAGAACUAUCCGGCCCUUUCCUUCAUGAAUGUGUGUUGAGGUUGCUGUAUUAUUUAGUCAGUAUUUGUAAUUUUCUUCCCUGCAGUGCUCUCUGCCUCCUGAAUUUGCUACUGAGUCCAUAUUUUUCUUUGAGCUGUUCCUUCCUAUUGCUGUUACAGUUACAAAUCUGGGCAAGCAAUAAGAUACACCGGGAGGAAAGGUCAUCAAGGGGAAAAUGGGAUGUCCAAUCCCUCAUCACAUCUUCUUCAGAUUUGUAUGGUCCAGAAAAGUCCGCUAGUGUUGAAAAAUUACCUAGGCAUGUACAAUUUACUUUUAAGAAUCCUGUUAGGUGCGCAUUGUUUGGAUCACAUUACGUCUUCAGAGACCUGGUUCGGCUUCAGUUAAUUUCGGGAAGGACUUCAGUCUUUUGUCUCUUGAUGAAGAUGAAAACCCCUUUGCACAAGUAGACAGACGUGCUUCAUUUGGAGGAGCAGUUGAAAAUGAACCAUGUAUUCAUGCCAAAAGAAUUCUUGUAGUCGGAAGCCAGUAAAAAGGGAGGGGCUUACCUCAUCACAGAGCUCUGAGCAGCUAAGUAUUAGAAACUGGUUGGAUAGAGCUCCACAAAUGAGUAGAUUCAAGGUAUUAGUUGCUUUCACUCUUUGUUCAUUCAUAAUUCCAGCUUUCUGCUUCACUGAUAAAACUCUUUUUUCUCUUCAGGUCCCAAUUGAGGCCGAGAGAUUGAUGGACUACGAUCUCGUCUUGGAACAGUAUCUACCUCCAGCAUCACCUUCGCUUGCCGGAUUCCGUCUAGACUCUUUCAGUGCAAUAAAACCUAGGGUUACCCAUUCACCUUCCUCAGAUUCAUUUACAUGAGAGAAAGAGUUUUGGGUUUGACUUUGAUUUUGAUUUGUAUUUGUUGUCAUUUCAUUGAAAUUUCUUUUUGUUGUAUAAAAAUCAGAAGGUAAAAGUAUUAAAUUCACUGAUGCGGUAAUAUCUGUGCUGGUUACAGGAUUUUAUGUUUAACUUGAAGUUAGUAAGCAAUGACUUAACAAUAGCACUUUGAAUUUAACGUGGAUCAUAUUGUAUUUGAAAUUAAAAAAUAAAGAGAGAGAAAUUAAUUGUUAAUUGAGUUGGACAAUUUUCCGUGGUUAAUUGCUCCCAGAAAAGAGAAGAAUGGGAUUGUGCUUCCUCACACGAAGAAAGACUCGAACGUCUUCGUGCUAAUUAAUCAAUGAAAGAUUUUGUCAAAUAUCUGGCCCUUUCUUUCUUGAAUGUCUGUGUACAAGUUGCUGUGUCAUUUAGUCAAUAUUUGCAAUUUUCUUCCCUGUAGUGCUCUCUGCUUCCUGAAUUUAUAUUAGUGAUCUGGUUUCUGAGUGCAUAUUUUUUCUUUCUCGUUGCUGCAGGUUUGUCGUUGUCAAACAGAAUCAAGUUAUAUUAUUAUUGUGAUCCUUAUGAGCUUGGAAAAUGGGCAAGCCUUUCUGGAGUUUGAUCGUUAUUUAUAUGUUAGAGAAAGAGUUCUGGGUUUGUUAAAACUCAUUAUUAUAAUUUGAAAUAUGUGUUAUUUCAGCUAAUGAUUAACACUAAAAAAAUUAUCACCCAUAUAAUUUUUUAAUUUGUGUAGGGUAAUAAUAAAAUUGAAAAUAAUUAAAAAAAUAGCACAAUAAUGAGUUUUAACAAUAAAACAAAUUAAAUGAAAAUUGAAAAUUUAGAAAAGUGUAUCUAAGAAAAUGGAUAUUUUCAGAAAUAAAAUGAAUAUAACUAAAAAUGGGGUUUUAUGAGGAGAUCAAAGGGGUGCCAAUAGUCCAACUCGUAAUUAAGAAUCUCCCAUUACAUUGUCAACCAAAAAGACACUUGCAUAAGAAAAAAAAUUUCUGUUUGAUUUUAUUUGUAGAUCCAACAUUUCUCAUAUCCUGGUCGCCUUUCCGUAUCAAAUUAAAAUAGUAUUAGCAAAAUCGUAGUGCAAAUUCAAUUAACCAACUAAUAGUCUAAGAAGCAAAGAGAGGAUUACAAGUUCACAACACCAUUACAAAGGAUUCAAAAUUCCCACACGAAAACAUCAAUGUACAGAUUAUAAACAAUCCGAAUUGGACACAAGAAAAACCCUUCAAUGGAUUGCUUGCCUUCCCAAUGCUAAAUACUGUGCAAACUGCGCAUUGGCCAAGAAAAUGUUUUCAAUUUAGUGUAUUUUCAAAAUGCUUAUUUUCUCAGAAUAUAAAAAAUGAAAAAAUAAAAAAAGAAUUCUUACAUGUUUCAUCAGCAUGAUUAAAAUCAAAGAAGAAAGCGAGACAUAAUGUCUCUGACAUAAUAAAAUUACAAAAAUUUCAAGAAAAAAAAAGGGUUAAAACAUGUAAUCUUCAGAAGCAUAUAAUAAAAGAAGACUUCCACAAGUUACUACAAUUACAUGCAGUAGAGAUUAACUGAUGCUUUGACUUAUUAGCAGGUUGCAAUGAAUUAUUAACUGAUGCUUUGACUUAUUAGUUCUGCAGCUAAGUUAAAUAAAAUAAGGUAUUUUCAAAAGCAAAAUGGAAUACAUAGACAAAACAUCAUCUUAAACAAAUCACAAUCUAGAAUUAGAGUGUUGAUUUGAGAUUCUAGAUUGUGAUUUGAUCGGCUCAUUUGUUAAGAAGUGUUGAUUUGAUCGGCUCUGCAAAUUCUCUUGGGACUCGGUUCCAAUUCCUCUUCAUCAAAACUGUAAUAUAAUUCCCCUUCAUCAGAACUCGAAUCAAAUUCACUUGCAGCAGUUCCACUCGCGCUUGGCAAAUCAUCUAAUUUCCAAACUUCGGUAGCAAAAUUGAGAGUAAAAGUGUUGGCUUUGAUCUCGCUGGGAUUUGCAUAUACUGGACAUACUCCGCAACGUUUUAUCUUCUGACCCUUUUGGACCUUUAGGUUUCGGCAACACUCAUUGAAGAACUUAAGUGAGACAGUUGUAUGAUGGUAACCAUCAGGAAAGCCAACAUUCAAGCAAGGUUUAAAACCAAGUAUGACAUGAUCUGAAUCAAUGAGGUCUUCAAUUGAGUGCGAAUCGAAACUCAGAUGAACAUGUUUGGUUUCAGAGAGAGUCUUUAUUUCUAAGUCGGAUCGACAGCCGACGUAAACAUUACGAAAACGAUCAGAAUAAAGUUGCUUAAAAUCAAGAACAGCACAAAAAGCAAACCCGAUUAAGUUUCUGCAAAAAGAGUGCGGUGGCAGUUGAAUACGUAUUGAAGAUCCUGAACUUUGAUUGCUGAACCAGUCAGGAAUUUUGCUCCCAGGUAAAACAAUUUGGGAUCGCCUGAGUUCAGAAAGUUUCUGUGAAACGACAUUUAAAAAAAGAAAAUUGUCAAAUGAAAACCAUGAUUUCAGAUAUAACAAAGAGGGACAGAGUAAACAAGAGAGGGAAUUUGAUACCUCGUCGAUUGUCUUUCCCCGUCUCAGUGAUGCUGCAAUUGCCAUACGUAGUGAAUCUGCCAAAAUCUUGUUGUUUGCUUUUCCAUCAAGUUUCAAGCAGUUAGUAAACCGAAAAUAAAUUGGUUGUGACAGUCGAUAUUCCGGAUGCCAUUCACAAAGGUCAGGAGAGGGUUUGGAUAGCUUUUCGAGUACGGAUGCAUCUAGUUCUUGUAGACAUGACGGAAUCUCUGGCAAAGAUUGAAGCCGGUUGCAGUUCGUUGCAUUUAGUGAAUGUAGACACAAUGGAAGUUCUGGUAAUGACCGAAGCAUGUUACAACCCGUCAAGUCAAGAGAUUCUAGACACAAUGGAAGUUCUGGUAAUGACUGAAGCAUCUUACAACCCUCCAAGUGAAGAGACCUCAGCUGCGACAGUUGCUUGAUACUUGCAGGUAAGCUCUCAAAGCUAUUUCCACUUAGAUUUAAUGUUGUCAGUGAGGAUAGACAGGCAAUCUCUUGUGGAAUUUCCAUUACAGCACAGUUCCUCAUAUCUAGAUGUCCCAAAUAAGCUAAACCUAAUAAAAACGAUCGAGGCAAUGAUACCAAACCUUUGCAGCGAGAGAAGUAAAGAACUCCAAGUCUGUUUGAAUAUGCAACAGAGGAUGAUGGUAGUUGACUAAUAGCUGAUCCAACUGCUGAGAUGAUAAACAAACAUUUUAAAUUGCCAAUGUUAUCCGGCAACUUAUCAAGCUUAGAGCAAUCUUCUACGAACAAUUCUUCAAGCCCCGGUAGAUUUUCAAAUGACGAUGGCAGCUCUGUAAUUGCCGUCUUGUUUAAAUUGAUGCGUUCUAAAUGUUCCAUUUUCUCCAAGAUUUCUGGGAAGCGCUCAAGGUUCACGCAGCCAUUAAGAAAAAGAUCAACCAAAGAUCUCAAUUUACAAAACCUAGUUGAAAUCCUCUUCAGCCGUUUGCAAUACUUCAAAUUCAACUUUUUAAGAUCAGUUAGGCACUCUAUUGAUGACGGAACUUCUUCUAUUGCAGACUUGCUCAAGUUUAGCGAUGUUACUUUCCCAGAAAUCAGUGGAAACUCUAUGAGAUUAACACAAUAGGAGAAAUUAAUAGUUACUGGACAAACAAAAUGAAGAUUGCUUGGAAAAGACCUAAGACUUUUGCAGCCCUCAAAAGACAACGCACUGAGAUACUUGAAAUUCUGGAUAGAUGAGGGAACACAAGCCAAGUUUGUAUAAUCCAAAAGAUAUGUUUCAACAUUUGGGGUUUCAAAUGGGCCUGGCAUCUUAAUGAAAUGUUGAGAAUGGCUGAGGUUAAUAGAUUUUAACUUGAAAGCUUCCUGCAAUAACAGAUAUAUAAAGACUAUAUUAAUUAAAAAGCAACAUUGAAUUCAACAAUUAAUUGCACGUAUAUUUAAAGAAAGAAAAAAUUAAUGUUUUAGUUUUAGUACAAAACUUACCUUUUCUCCUUCCCAAAGUUGCUCAACUUUACUACAACUCAAAUUCAGUGCAACAAGGUUCUUUGGCUUGAAAUUUGAUGGCAGUGUCCUUAAUGGAUAUGUGUCCCAAUGAAGAUAUCUCAAUUUUUUAGGAAGAUAAUCUAGGCCAUUUGGAAGCUGCACUUUAGAGUAUGAAAGAUGCUCUUCAAUGCUCAUACUUGGAAGCUUUUCAAUCCCAUAAAAUUUGAGCAAUCUCAUAUUAGACAUAUUUGUGAAGGCUCCGGGGUCUAAAUUGAUGCGUUUUAUUUUGGACAAAUCCAGAAAUAUGCCUUCAAUUGCAUCGGUCCCCUUAUUAAAAAAAAAAAAAAGAAUGAGUAAGCCUAAAACUCAAAAGAAACAUUCGUAAACUUUAUUAAUUAAGAGCUCCUUAAACAAAAAUAAAUUACGCAAUCUUUGAUUUUAUUUUUUUAAUAUAUUAAAUAUCUAUAUGCGAGAAAAGAAAAUUUUGGGGACCAUUGCAAAAUUAAACUAACUGAAAAAAAAUUCAAAAUUUCUCUAAUUUACAAACCUGUUAUCUUAAUAUCUAGAAGUUGAGAAGACAAGGCCUAUUUGAUUGGUAUAAGAUUUCGAUUUUUUUUUUUUUUAGUCCAUAGAAUCCAAAAUGUUAGUUCAAAAUUAGGGAAAAAGUCAUUUUUUUUCCACUAGCUGUAAUUGUAUCCAAGUCAAAUUGAGAUACGACCCUUUUCAAAAGGAUUUAACCAUCUUACAGCCUCCUUAAGGCACAUUUAAGCUAAAAGGAGUGAUUGGAGGCAGAACUAGGUGGGCCAAUCAGUCCAUUUUAUUAGUGACCGUUGCUUAAAAAAAAUUAUACUCUAAACCACACUUACUUUUUUGAAAAAAAAAUGUAAUUAUAUUGAAAUAAAAUCAGGUGGGCCAAUCCUCAUGGCACUCACUUUGUUCUAACACUCUUCACUAAAUUUGAAGAAAAAUAAAAUUAUACUCUUCACACUCGUAUUCAACAUUCCAAAAUUGAUAAAAUCGGGAGUUUUCUUUAAAAAUUUAAAAUUUGAAGACUUGUUCUCUUGACACCCUCAGUCAUUAAUUUUACCUAAUUAUGGUUUUUAUGAUUUUGGUUGUUUUGUUCAUAAAAAUGCUUUUACUAAAGGAUGUUCUGGUAAUAAUAAAAUUUAUAAAAAAAACAUGGGUGUGCUGAUAUAGUUGGAAAAAUAUGAGUGCAUAACUCCAAACAAAUAAAAGAUAUAUAUAUAUAUAUAUAAAUGGAGGAUUCUUACCUUAUUAUGCUUUAGUACGCGGCGGAUUUCCUUAGGAUCCCACAACCUGCUGCGUUUGCCUGGCUCUUUCUCAGAUUCUUGGCGAACAAUCUGUCGCCCCAUUUCUUGCAAUAUAUCAUGCAUCUGCAAGGAAUCACCUGAUAUUGAUAUGAGUGACUUAUCAAUAAGGACAUCCAGUCCAUCAGACUCAGAAUCAUCAAGAAUCCUUGCCAGAAAAUCUUUAUCCCCUCCCUCGAAGAAACACGCAAUAUCUAGAAAUAUGCUCUGCACCCUGGGCGUUAAUUCAUAAAAACUAAUCUUUAAUAUUUCAUAAAUAUUAUGAAUAUCAGAUUCACAAAUCCGAUUUAAGUCGUCCAAUACAUUUUCCCAAUGGCUUUUCCUCUUGAGAUACAGGGAGGAACCCAACACCUUAAGAACUAAUGGAUUGCCUUUGGCAUACUUUACAAACCUCCGUGAGUGCCGAUUGAGAUCUUCAGGACAAUGAUUUUCUUUAAAAGCGAAGUUACAAAAAUGCUCGAAAGCCUCAUCCAAUCUCAAUCCAUUGACCCUAUAUAUUUUCUCCACUCCAAAUUUUUCGAGGACUCGUUUAUCCCUGGUGGUUACAACAAUUCUACUUCCUGGACCAUAUUGAUCAAGCCCUCCAAUCAAACCCUCUAAUUGUUCAUCUUUAUUCACAUCAUCGAGUACAAUCAACACCUUCAUGCGUCGGACCCUCCCUUUAGUAAAUUGUGGAAUAUUGGGACCAGCUACUUCAAGUUUUUCACUUAAUAUUGUCGAAAGCAUUUCCUUUUGUAGGUCUUCUAGGCCACCCUCUGUUUCUGAUUUUCUCCUAACAUUUUUUGCAAAGUAUUUACCAUCAAACUCACCAGAGAAUUGAUCGAAAAUAGCUUCAGCAAGGGUAGUUUUGCCUAUACCACCCGUGCCCCAAAUUCCAACAAUUUGGACAGUAUCCCACAAAUCCAUACACAAAAAUGGUUUAAUCUGCUCAAUUCGUGAAUUUAAUCCAACUAGGCCGUUGGAUGAGUCCGUUGAGACUGUUAUUUUUUCCAACUUCUUCAAAACAUCUUCGACAAUUUUGUUUACAAGUUGCGCAUCAAGCCUAAUAUGAAGGUGCAAAGAUGCAAAAACAUUGAGUCAAAUCGGGCCAAGACAGAAACAGAGAAAAGAUGAAUUAGGAAAGAGAGUUACCUGAAUUUCGUGGAUUCAUGGCCGGCUAGAUGGGAUGUUUCUGUCAGUGCAUCCCUCCACUUCUGAACCAUUUCUGGUUUAUCUUUGAACUGUUUUUUGAGCUCAUCAAAACGGUCUCCAAAUGUUCCGUUUUGAUGCCGCACAUCAGAUGGACUUACUCCAUAGAAGACUGGAAUAAUAAUUUGGCCGUUUGUGUUCUUGCAUUCAAGAAUCUUGACAAGUUCAUUCAGGCACCAUUUUGAAGAAGCGUAGUCCUUUGAGAAAAUGACCACCGAAAUUUUUGAACCUUGGAUUGCGUACAAAAGGGCGGGUGAAAUCUCAUCUCCUCGCCUAAGCCCUUCAUCAUCAAUAAAUGUUUUGAUUUUCUUUCCUUCAUACAAUUUAUCAUAGAGAUAGCAAGUAAAGCUCUUACGAGUGUCCUCCCCUCUAAAGUUGAGGAAGACUUCAUAAUUGCCACAAGAAGAAGAGGAAGCCAUGAAGGAAAUUUUAGAAAAUUGGUGACAGAAACAGAGAAUUAAUCUUGAGAGUUGAGAGAGGAGAUGUAAGAAUGAACAUGUGUGAAGAUUCUUGCGAGUACAUAGUAAAUAAUUGAAUGGCUGGAGCUUUCUUAGUUUCCUGGAAAUUUCCUGGAGCUUUCGUAUACAUGAUUUGUCAAGUCAUGAAACAUAAUCAUGAUAAUGGGGCAGACCAAAAAGAAAAGCAACAAUUCAAAUAUUUGAUUCAACCAGUAUAAAAAGGAAGGAAAAGCAAAGAAAGGAAAUGUUGAAAGUAGAGUUAGGGAAUUAUAAAAAGCUGAAGGAAAUUGGAAUUUUGUACAAUUUCUCCAGCGAGGAACUUUCACAGUCGUUACCUCAUUGUUACAGUUUAGAUUAAGAUUUGAGGGUGCAAGCAUUUACCUAGAUUUUACCUCCGCACUAAAUUCUUAAGUUUGAAAAAUUAUGAGACCUUUAUAUUGGAAGAUAUUAUAAUCGAAUCAAAACUUAAAAUUUUAAUAUUGUUAAUCUUUAAUCUUUAAAAAAAAUUACCUUGCCGUUACAAUUUGGAUUAAGAUUUGAAUAAGCAUUUACCUAAAUUUUAUCUCCGCCUGUAAAUUCUUAUGUUUUAAAAAUUAUGAGACCUUUAUAUUGGGAGAUAUUAUAAUCGAAUCAAAAUUUUGAAUUUCAAUAUUAUUAUUCUUUUAAAAAAAUUUGAGAUAACAGAGUGAUUGAUAAUAGAGAACUUGUCUAGGCAAACACAUGCAUACACAAAAAUGUGAUGGAUUCAAAAAGAAAUUAAAGUGAUAAUGUACGUGGAUCCUUAAAACAAAAAGCGAAAUCGCUUGGUGGCCCAGUAAAAUUAAGACUGAAUAUUUUUUACACGAGAAGUCAAGCUCAUAAAUGGCAAAAGCCAUUUCAUUUCACUUUUACGCGUCAUUGACUUUUGUAACACGGUGUAUGCAUCGUCAAGUGGGGCAAAAGGGUUUCGAUUACAGUGGGAAAACAUGAACAAGAAUGCAUAAUGAAUAAUUCUUUCGAUAAAGCGAAAAUUAAACACAGAAUAAUCCUAAAAUUUAAACUCUAAUAUCUUAUAAUGUAUUGAUUAAAAAUAAUCCUAAGAGUUCCCAAUUGAAACUUUCAUAAGUAUUUUUAUUGUUUUGGAUAAACAAAUUGCACUAGGAAAACAAUUUGGCAAAUUCAGAGGAUAAUGAAAAAUAGCUAUGCUUCAAUAGGCCAAAGAUUAGAGAACAAAGAAGAAUUAGUUAUUGAUAUACGAAAGAGAAACACUCCAAAAUUUCAAGCAAAAUAUUUUCAUAUACCAUUUCGAUUUUGGAAGGGGUGUGGUUUUGAACUUCAAUAGUUUCCUCUAAAAUCAAAAGGCAGCAAUUAAGCUAGAAAGAGCAAAGAAGACUUUUUGGUACCUUAUUGAAGGUAAACAUUAUGGAACUUCCAAUGUCAUUACCUCACUGUUUAAUUUUUAUUGAGAUUUGUGCAAGCAUUUACCUAAAUCUUACCUCUGCCUGUAAAUUCAUAAGUUUUGAAAAUUAUGAGACCUUAUAUCGGGAGAUAUUAUAAUCGAACUAAAACUUAAAAUUUCUUUUCUUUUCUUUUUUUAUCAUAAAAGGGCUCUUAAGAGAGCUACGACAACACUAAGUGGGAGUGUGCAACCCCAUGAACAUCAUUAAUCAAUAUGUUUAGCGUAUUUGGAGGAAUAGAUUGAAAGCAAUGUAAACCCAAAGGAAACAAAAAGCUGUACGAAGUAAGGAAAUCUGCUGCUACAUUGGUUUCUCGGUAGAUAUGAUCCACUUUGAUCAGCCAAUCACGCCAAAGGAGUUCUUCGAUGGCCUGAAUGAGAAUAAAAUGCUCAUUGACGGGAGGGUUUUAGUUAGAGAUUAACUUCAUAACACACAUGCUGUCUACUUCCACGUAAAACUUAAAAUUUCAAUAUUAUUAUUCUUUAAAAAAAAAAUUGAGAUAUCAGAGUAAUAUCACAUAGAAAAACUUGCCCACGGACGGUAAGCCAAAUGUCUAGUCAACCACAUGCAUAAAGCUAAGUAGAACAAGAGAACAGAGAAACGCGUGGGUCCCUAAAGAAAAGGCAAGCACAUAAAUGAAAAAGCCAUUACAUUUCUAUUAACACGGUGUGGCAGCAUAUGCACAAUCAAGUGAGGCAAAAGGGAUUCGCUUAUCGUGGCAGAACAUGGACGAGGACGCGUGACGAAUAAUUCCUUCGAUAAAACGAAAAACAAACGCAGAGAAAAGAAUUUCUUAUAUGACAAGAAAUCAAAGAAAUGUGAAGGAACAUGAUGAAGAAAUUGCAGACUGAUCAAUUAUCCCCAUGGACUCCUAUAAAUUCAACCAAAAUAACAAUUCGAAUCUUACCAAAUUCUUGAGUUAAAUUUAUUCAAUGCUUUUAUUUUUUUAGAGAAAUUUUUUCCAUUGCUACUUUCCCUUUUUUGGGGAAAUUAGAACCGCGGCAUGUAUAGAAAACAUUGAGGUGUAAAGCAACAUUAAUUUCAUGGGAUAUGCGUUAUACGCAUAAUAUAUUUUCAGUCCAAAUUCAACUAUACAAAGAGGCUUGAGAACUUAAAAUUAAGCACAAACUAAACAGACGAAGUAAAUACAUGAUUAUGCAACAUAACAUUAAUUCUCUUAAUUUAUAACUGUUUUUGCCACAUGAAUCUUGCACAGUUAAUCCUAAUUGAAGACUAAAAAAGAGCAAUUGGAAGAAGGUUUUGGAAUAGAAUGGUAUACAAUCGAUAUGAUCCUUUUCCAGUAGUCAACGCUAAUUAACUGCAGUUUCUAGACUCCUAAUUAUACUAGCCAUAGAAAACUGGUGAUCAAAUUAGAUUUUGAAAGGAAAUAAUGUUCAUUUUCCCUUCGCUGCCUUUUUUUUUCUUUUCUUUUUAUAGCAAAGAAUUAUAUCAUGAAAAGAAUCAAUUUAAUCACCUUUUCCAGCAGCACAAUUUUUCUUUUAUAAAAUUUGACCACAGAGACAAAGAAGAAUUAUUCAUACCUUCAUCAGUGAGGAAAUACUUUUCGGUAUGGCUAGGGUGAGAAAAGGCUUUCCACAAACACUUGUACUUUGUAUUCCUGUAAAUUUUCUUUAAAGUCAAUAAAAACCAUAAGUUCUUUACAAUAACCACCUCUUUGAUAAAAAAGUGCCGUAUUCCUUUAGAAUUUAAAACCGGCAAAAUCGGAAUCAGUGUCUUUGAAGAGACAUAAUGGUCGUAAUUCUUUAAAUGAGUUGGCUAUGGAAAUCCUUAUCCAAGAUUCUUUUACGCCAUAUUCUUUCGUAAACCAAAAUUCAUUUUGGAAUACUCUGUUGAGAAUGUCAAAUAAAACGGCAUUGAAGGAAGUUUUCAAAGGUAGAAUCCGCACUUGUCAAAGGGAUGAUCUGCACUUGUCAAAGACACGAUCCGCGUCAAACGAAUCGACACAUUUCCUUUCGUAUUCGCAUAUGUAAUCUUUGAAAAAAUGUAGCUUCUGCAUCUAUAAAUAACGCUCAGUGUAUAAUGUUUUAUUCAAGAAAAAAAACAAGUUUCUUCAUACUCGUCGUCCGAACAUACAGAGACCGUCUCUCAUAACUUCAGCCGAAUACUUGUGAUGAUGAUCAUUUGUGAUUUCAUCAGGCAAAGGGUUGAUGGUGAAAAUUUUUGUAUGUGUGAAGAAUUGAGCUGUGGAUAUAGGGGACUUAAGUGUAAUCGAAAGAGAGUUAUUAGGUCAUAGUGCAGAUUGCAUUCAGUUUAUGGGUCGCUAUGCAGAUAAUUUGUUGACGUGGCGAAAUCUGUUAUGGUCGUUAGUAUUGUUUCUGGAAAUUUUCUAGAAACCUCAGCAUAAAAGGGGCUUUUGCAUAGCCUCUGGUGUGCGUGUGAUUUCUCUUUCGUUUCCUCAUCAAAUUCUGUAAUUCUUGCUUUGAUAAAAAGCUUGUAAUCUCUUCUGUAAUGUGUGAUCAGUGCGUAAUCAUUUUGAGCAAUAAACGCUUGUGGGUUUUUCCUUCAAACAGUGUCGUUUUGGUCAGUUUGUUAGUUUGAUCUGUUGGUGGAAUUUUCUUUGGUUAUUUGUUCUCAAAAUUCAACCGUAUAUAAAGUUUGAACUCUAAUGGCUUAUAAUGUAUUGAUUAAGAAUAAUCCUAAGAGUUCCCGAUUGAAAUUUUUAAUGACUAUUUUUAUUGUUUUGGAUAUACAAAUUGCAUUAAGAAAAAAUAUUGUCAAAUUCAGAGGAUAACGGGAAAUAAUUAUGCUUCAAAAGGCCAGAGAUUUGAGAACAAAGAAGCAUUCAUUACUGAUAUACAAAAGAGAAACACUCCAAAAUUGCAAGCAAACUAGUUUCAUAUACUGUUUGGAUUCUGGAAGGGGUGAAGUUUUGAACUUCAGUUGUUCCUCUAAAAUCAAAAGCAGCAAUUAAGCGUUCUCAAUUAGAAAUAGCAAAGAAGACUUAUUCGUACCUUACUGAAGCUAACAUUAUGGCACGGUUGUUCAUAUGUAAUGGCUGCUCUGUUAUGCUAUAUGCUCUGUUAUGCUAGCUUCUCUGUUUUUGCUUACAGUUUUGAACAUAAAUUCUUGCUCAAAUAACCCAUAAUUAAAUAACACUAAUAUGGCUCCUGAAAUCCCAUAAUAGCUAAUUACGCAACUUUCUCCUCCUCCUCAAUUAUGUCUUCCCCUGCUCGGACACUAACUUCAAAAUUCAAUGCCCCGAAAAACAACACAAGAAAUCUUUGAGUUAAAUCGUGACCAGUUUAUAUAUCGUAGCAAUUGAAAAAGAAAAAGAAGAAAAGAGUUAAUUAUUAUUCAGACCUUCACUUAUUAGGAAGUUUGUUCUGCUAUUGGGUGAGAUCAAGCUCUCAGCAUAUACUUCCACAUGAUACUUUCUAACAUUUUCUUGAAAGCCAUCAAUCAUAAAAUCUUCAUACUUUUUUCCAUCCUUUGGAUCAAUAAGUACAAAUUUCUCAUCUAAAACAGACAAAAUAAAAUCACUGUCCUUCAUGGAACAUAAUGGCUGCAAUGCCUGAACUGAAUUGGCUAAUGAAACAUAGUCUUCUUUUCUUUCUCGACAUGGAACAUAGUCUUCUUUUCUUUCUGGACAUAUGUCUCUGUACUUUUCUCUCUCUACUGAUCCACACUUUUUCAUACUUCUAACUAUCAUUUUGUUUUUUUUUUUGGUUAAGUUGUGAUUUAUUCAAUUAUUUUGUAUUUUUAAUGACAAUUAUUUAAUAUUUAGUUAGUUUUGAUAUUGAUUAGUGAUUGAAAGUGUAUUUUAGAAGACUUCCGGUCUCUUGGAAAAAGGAAAAAUGGAGACGAAGAAGAAGUGUUCUUGAUUUUUUUGUAGGCAUUAAAGUUAAACGGUUUGAAAUGAUAUUUUGUUUUAAUUUCACUCAUUAAUCUCAUUCAGGAUAAAAUUAUAAAUGCAAAUAAAUGGGGUUUCAUGAGUUUUUUUUAAUAGUGUUAAAAGGUCUACUCACUAAAUAAACAUGUUUUACCCAAACCAAUCCGAUUAAUAAAGUUAUUGGGUUGGGUUGAUCAGGUUAAAAAUCAAAAUUAAAAAUUAAAUAAAUAAAAAAGGCGUUAAAACUAUCUGUUACUUGAAAAUAAAAAGAAUUUCAAAUAGUUAGUUCUAAUGUCCCAUAUCCAAAACAUGCAUAUUAAAUAAAUAUUAUAAGUUAGAGAUAAAAUAUCCAAGAAAUAAUGAAUGAAUGAAAUACCAUAUUUUUGUUGAGAAUUAAGAGUGUGAUUUUAAUUUUGAUAUUGGAGUCUAAAGCAAUAGAUAGUACAAUGAAAUCAUGAAUGCCACAUUUAAAUAAUGUCUUUUAUAAAAUAAUAAAAAGAAGUUAAAAAUUAGGUUAGCCAUUUAGGCGUUUAGGGUUUAGCAGUUAAGGAUGAACAUAUUAUUAUUAUUGUUGUUGUUGUUGUUAUUAUAACAAUUAUUAUUUACAUAUUAAUUAAUCCAACCCAACCCAAUUAUUAACAAACUAGGAAAUAAAACCGCACUUCGUGCGGCUUUAAAAGAAAAUUAAUAUUAUUUUUUUAUUACUUUACAAUUGAUGAAACUAAUAAAAAAUAUGAAUUAUUUUUAAAAUGACGUAAUCUUAUAAAACUAAUGUUAUUUAUGAAAGUUAAUUAUUUUUUUGUUAACAUUAAAAAUAUAUAUUAAUGUGUAUAGUUAAGUGUACACAACUUUUUCAUCAAUAAAAAUUAUGUUCACAUUAAUCAACUCUCCAUUUUUCUUAGUAUUAACAGACUCUCACAUCUUACAAAGUCUGACCCUUAUUAUUCAACUAUCUUUAUCAUAGUUUAACUCAUGAAGAAAAUAGUACUCCAUGAAGCAUACAAUACUAAAAAUUUAAAUAAGUCAAAAAAUAAAAACACAAAAACAUUUCUAAAGAGAAUGUUGGUUAAAUAAUAAAAAAAACUCAAACAUAACAAAUCUUAAAUGCUUAAUAUUUAUAGAGCUUGAAGAAGCCAAAAGAUACUAAAUAAAAGGUUGCAUAAUUAAAUAUAGGAUUAUAACAUUAAAAUUAGGUCAUAAGGCAUUGGUGAGGGAAGAGGAAGGAACAUUCCUUCUUAUAUUAAUUAGUUGAUGUAUUUUAAACCACUAAAGUUUAUUUGUUGGCUUAAUAAAAUAAAUGAAUGUUUCAAAACUUAUAAUUAAUUUAUUAUUAAUGGUUAUAUAUUGUUGAAUUUAAAUAGAAAGAGAAAGAGACAUGUAAUCUUUUGUAAUCUAUUAAUUAUUUUAUAUUUUUAAUAUUUUGUAAUGUAAUUAUUUUUUAAUCUCAACCAAUAUGUUAGAUAAUAGAGAAUAUAAAAAGAUGAGAAAUAAUAAUGCCACAAAUCUUAACUACUUAAUAUUUAUAGAGUUUGAAGAAGUCAAAAGGUACUAAACAAAAGGUUGCAUAAUUAAAUAUGAGAUUAUAGCAUUAAAAUUAGACCCCACUGGCAUUAUUGAGAGAAGAUGAAGGAACAUUCCUUCCUAUAUUAAUUAAUUGAUAUAUUUAAGCUACUAAAAUUUAAUUGUUGGCAUAAUAAAAUAAAUAAAUGUUUCAAGAUUUAUAAUUAAUUAUUAUUAAUGGUUACAUAUUAUUGAAUUUAAAUAGAAAGAGGAAGAGACAUGUAAUCUUUUAUAAUCUAAUAAUUAUUUUUAUUUUUAAUAUUUUAUAAUGUAAUUAUUUUUUUAAUAUCAACUAAUUUAUUAGAUAAUAGAGAAUACAAGAAGAUGAGAAAUAGUGAUGUCACAUCACCUCCUCUAGUCCCAACUUUAUAUAUAUAUAUAUAUAUAUAUAUAAUAUUUUGUAAUGUAAUUAUUUUUUAAUCUCAGCCAAUAUAUUAGAUAAUAGAGAAUAAAAAAAGAUGAGAAAUAAUGAUACCACAAAUCUUAAAUAUUUAAUAUUUAUGGAGUUUGAAGAAGCCAAAAGGCACUAAACAAAAGAUUGAAUAAUUAAAUAUGAGAUUAUGACAUUAAAAUUAGACUCUAAUGGCAUUGUUGAGGGAAGAUGAAGGAACUUUCCUUCCUAUAUUAAUUAAUUAAUGUAUUUUAAGCCACUAAAAUUUAAUUGUUGGCAUAAUAAAAUAAAUGAAUGUUUCAAGACUUAUAAUUAAUUAUUAUUAAUGGUUACAUAUUGUUGAAUUUAAAUAGAAAGAGGAAAAGACAUGUAAUCAUUUAUAAUAUAAUAAUUAUUUUCUAUUUUCUAUUUUAAUAUUUUGUAAUGUAAUUAUUUUUUAAUUUCAACCAAUUUAUUAGAUAAUAGAGAAUAUGAAAUGAUGAGAAAUGGUGAUGCCACAUCACCUCUUGUAGUCUCAACUUUAUAUAUAUAUAUAUAUAUAUAUAUUAAUUCAUGUCUUUUAUACCACUAAAGUUUAAUUGCUAGCAUAAUAAAAUAAAUAAAUGUUUCAGAAGACUUAUAAUUAAUAUUAUUAAUGAUUACAUAUUGUUGAAUUUAAAUAGAAAGAGAAAAAAAUUACAAAGAAUAUCCACCAAUAUUUUAGAUAUUUUAGAUAAUAGAAAAUAUAAAAAGAUGAGGAAUGAUAUAUAUUAAUAAAGUUACUAUUUAUUAAAUGAGUUAAAUACAAUCAAAUUAAUUAUGAGAAGAUGAAAAGCCAAAUCUAAAAAAAAAAUCUCUAUUUAUUAGAUAAUAGAGAAUAUAUAAAGAAGUAAAAUGGUGAUGCCACAUCACCUACUCAAGUCCUAGCUUUAUAUAUACACUAGAAAAUAGAACCGCGUUUCACGCGGCUUUGAAAAAAAAUUUUAAUGUUAUCUUUUUUUUUUAUUUUGCACAUGAUGAAACUGAUAAAAAAUAUGAAUUGACUUUUUUUUAAGAUGAAGCAGCCUUAUUAAAAAAAAACUAUUAGCCAGCAAUACAAAUAAAGAAGUAAUGUAAGAUAAAAAAUAAAAUGAGAGAAUAUAUUAUAGAAUGAUUUUAUUCAUUCUAAUUGUGUGGUACAAAACAAAAAGAUGAGCUCUCAUUUUAUAGUUACAUAAUCACUCCAUGAAAUUAAUGAAAAAUUAUGGAUCAUAAUUCCUUGUGAGAUAGUGGGAGUUAUAGGGAAGCUAAAGGUUGCUAAUGGAAGAUAGUGGGGAGACUAAGAGAUAUAUGUUAUGAACAUCUACAUUUAUUUUAAUAAAUUCAUAACACUCCCCCUUUGAUGUUCAUUAUAAAAAAUAUGCCUCAUUAAAAUCUAUUAGCCAACAAUACAAAUAAAAAAGCCACACAAUAUAAAGAAUAAAAUGAGAGAAUAUAUUAUAGAGUGAUUUCAUUCAUUCCAAUUAUGUGUGUACAAAACAAAAAGAUGAGCUCUCCUUUUAUAGUUACAUAAUCACUCCAUGAAAUUAAUGAAAAAUUAUGGAUCAUAAUUCCUUGUGAGAUAGUAGAAGUUAUAGGAAAGCUAAAGGUUACUAAUGGGAGAUAGUGGAGAGAGUAAAAGAUAUAUGUUAUGAACAUCUACAUUUAUUUUAAUAAAUUCAUAACACUCCCCUUUGGAUGUUCAUUACAAAAAAUAUGUCUCAUUAAAACCUUUAUAUAAUUGUUAUUGUGUAAUAACAAUCAAAUUAAUUAUGAGAAGAUGAAAAGUCAAAUCUAAAAGAAAAUUUCUCUAUUUAUUAGAUAGAUAAUAGAGAAUAUACAAAGAUGAGAAAUAGUGAUGCCACAUCACUCUCUCAAGUCUCAACUUUAUAUAGAUAUAUAGAUUUGAAAUGAUUGACUCAAUUAAUCCACAAUAAUUCAUUCAACUCGUCUAAAUUAGAUUAUGUUGAAUUUGAUUUGCUACACCUACAUUGAGCAACAAACCUCAACGACAUUCUACGAGCUCUUUGAUUGUUUAUAAAAUUGAUUUAGAGUACAUAAAGUGUAUCGACAAUGAAAGUGCAAAACAAAUUAUUGUACAUAUUAAAAUGUGCAAAACAAUGAAUUAUAUGUACAAACGAGUGCAAACACAUUUUUCAAUAAGAAGUUAAAAGAUAUUUAUGCAUGAAAAAGCCUACGUUUGUAGUUAUUCUAAAUUUUAAAAACAAAAUUUACAUUUAGAUCCCUAAAAUUUACGUAUAAGUAUAAAAGUUUCAAAUAUUGUCUAUUAUUUUUUUAACAUGCCUAUUCCUUAUGGAUAAUUCUGUCUCAUCACUAAUGUUGUUUCUUGCUUAGAAAAAAUAAAUGUCAUCUCCUUUUACAAUUUUUAUAGCGUCUCGAAAUAGACAAUAGGGGAUUUUGAAUUUUUUAAGUCUCAAGAUAGUCUCUAAUCGUGUGAGAAAGAUUUUCUUUCAAUAAUUUGGAGCUAAACAUAACAUAUUUUUUAGACUAAAAUCUAACUCUGCUGGUUAGUAGUUGGUGGUAUCCUUUUCAAGACUUGAGUCUUUAGAUUCGAGUUUUAUAUAGUGUACAUGUGUAUUUAAUUAAUAAUUUUUUUCAAAAAAAAAAAUUACAUCAAAUACUAAUAUUCAUGACAUAAUUUAGUUCAUAAUUUUUUUAAAUACAUCGAAAAAUAUAAUUUUUUAACAACUUAUAGGCACGACAAAUUUCAAGAUAUAAAUAUCAGUCAAAAUAAAUGAAAGAAAUAAUGGUGUCAAUUCUAAUUUCUUAACUAAAUUAAUUAUUGCAUGAGCCCCGAAUACGACAUGAGAGUUUGAUGGGCUAACUUGGCACAAGAACGCGAAUAGUUAACUCAUUUAAGAAAUAAUUCAACAAAAAAUAUAAUUGAUAAGAAUUCAGUAUUGAAAUGAAUUUUUUACGAAACAUUGAAUUAAUGAUUAUUAAGCAAGAACAAUAAAAAAAUAAAAUAAAAAUAAAUAUUAACCAUUGAUAAGCUUCAACAAGAACUUAACACAACCCUCAAUCCUAAUUCAAAUCAUAAAUGUCAUUCAUAUAUUCAUUAUAAAUCAAUAACAAAGGUUAUAAAUGUUUAGAAAUUCUAGAGGGAAGGAAGCUAUCUCCGGGGAAUCAACAACUAAAUUUGAUGUAAUUGUGGCACACGAUGGAAUAUGGAAACUACACCAUAAUUUCAAAUGCCGCCAUAGACAUUGACUUAUCUACAAUAACAAUGAUCUAAUUAAAAUUAAAAUAAAGUUUAUGGGCAUUUAUUAUUUUGCCAUUUCUCAUUUGCAAACAGGGAUAUAAUUAUAAUUUUACUUAGUCAAAGCAAUCAGUAAUUUUCUUCAUUAUCGGAGUGAAGUAAAAACAUUUAGAUUUUAAUGAGUGUACGGAAAAUUUAUCUUUAAAAAUACUUUCUUAAUGUGUGUGUAUAUAUAUAUUGAAAUAUUAUGCUAUCAAAAGUUAAUUUUAGAAAUUCCAAAUCCAAUAGCUAACACAAUUCUUUAAAGAAAAAAAAAAAAAGGUUGAUAAUCAGCAAUUAGUAUUACUUUCUAAACUUACUUCAACUGGUCGUUAAUGAGGGGCCUUGGGCAAGAGUGAUGAAUGUUUAGUCGGUGCAUUUGAUUGAUAGAUAUAUAAAGGGCCGAAACUUGAGAUUAUAUUACUUUUACAAAUUUUAAUCCAAUCACAUAUUUACUGAAACACAAAAUGAGUUAGGAUACUUUAUUUAGAACCCACAUUUUAAUAAGGCUUCAUUUGAUGUAGUUUUUCAAACAGUGAUUAUUUGAGUAAAGUUUCCUCAAUAGAGUUUUUAUCAAAUAAAUUUUAUUUAUUUGGUUGUCGAUAAGAACUUUUAUUAAAAAUUAUAAAAUUAUUUAAAUAAACAUAUUUUUUUAAAAUUACAUUAUAAAAAGAAUUAAAUAAAGUUAUAAAAGUAAAAUAUAUUUUAGAUAUUUUAAUAUUUAAGAAAAAAAUUUUGAAUCUCUACUUUCAGAAGCUCAAAUUUUUAGUUUUUAGUUGUAGAGACAAAAUAUCUUAUUUAAUCUUUAAAAGUUCUGCUAAAAACAAUCAAAUAACUAUAAAAUUUUUAAUAAGAGUAUAUAAAAUUAAAUAAGCAUUUAUUAAUAAUCACUUUAGUGUACUUAUCUAAUGACCAUAAGUGUUUAUUUAAUCUCAUAAGUUCUUAUUUAAUCUCAUGAGCUCUUUUCAAUUUUUUUUGUUGUUUGCUUUUUUUAGUAGAGUUUUUGAAAAUUAAAUAAACUAUUUUGUCUCUAUUAGGAAAAACUCAAAUUUUAGGUUUUUGUGAGUAAAUGUUUAAAUUUUUUUAAAAAUAUUAAAAUAUUAAAGUAAAAGUUGUAGAGACAAAAUAUCUUAUUUAAUGUUUAAAAGUUCUGCUAAAAAUAAUCAAAUAACUACAAAAAUUUUAAUAAGAGCAUAUAAAAUUAAAUAAGCAUUUAUUAAUAGUCACUUUAGUAUACUUAUCUAAUGACCAUAAGUGUUUAUUUAAUCUAAUGAGCUCUUUUUAAUUUUGUUUGUUUGUUUUUUUAGUAGAGUUUUUGAAAAUUAAAUAAACUAUUUUGUCUCUAUUAGGAAAAACUUAAAAUUUAGGUUUUUGUGAGUAAAUGUUUAAAUUUUUUUUAAAAUAUUAAAAUAUCUUUUCUUUAUUUCAUAAUCUUAUUUCAUUCUUCACAACAUAACUUUAAAUAACUCACCUAUUAAAAUAAUUUCACAAUUUAUAAUAAAAAUUUUAAUUGACAAUCAAAUAACAAAUUUUUUUUUAUAAAAACUCUAAUAAUAAAAAUUCUACUUAAAUAAAUUAUAUUUGAAAAGGUAUACCAAACGAACCUAACAUAAAAACAAAAAUUUUUACAUCCACACAAUUAAGCUUAAAACAAUUUCAAAUGAAUUUUAGACUACUCAAAGUACAAUACGUACCAAGUUUGGUAACUUAUUGGGGUCCGCUUGUAAUACAGCUCAUGAGCUCUUUUUAAAAAAAUUUUGAAUCUCUACUUUCAGAAGCUCAAAUUUUUAGUUUUUAGUUAUAGAGACAAAAUAUCGUAUUUAAUGUUUAAAAGUUCUGCUAAAAACAAUCAAAUAAUUACAAAAAUUUUAACAAGAGCAUAUAAAAUUAAAUAAGCAUUUAUUAAUAAUCACUUUAGUGUACUUUAUCUAAUGACCAUAAGUGUUUAUUUAAUCUCAUGAGCUCUUUUUAAUUUUUUUGUUGUUUUUUUAGUAGAGUUUUUAAAAAUUAAAUAAAUUAUUUUGUCUCUACUAGGAAAAACUUAAAAUUUAGGUUUUUGUGAGUAAAUGUUUAAAUUUUUUUACAAAUAUUAAAAUAUUUUUUUCUUUAUUUCAUAAUCUUAUUUCAUUCUUCACAACAUAACUUUAAAUAACUCACCUAUUAAAAUAAUUUCACAAUUUAUAAUAAAAAUUCUAAUUGACAAUCAAAUAACAAUUUUUUUUUAAUAAAAAUUCUACUUAAAUAAAUUAUAUUUGAAAAAGUAUACUAAACAAACUUUUUUUAGACUAAUCAAAGUACAUCUUCUCAUAAAAUAAUUUCACAAUUUCUAAAAAAAACUCUAAUUGACAAUUAAGUAACAACUUUUUUUUUUUUGUAAAAACUUUAUUUAUAAAAAAUCUAAUAAUAAAAAUUCUAUUUAAAUAAAUUAUAUUUGAAAAUGUAUACUAAACCAACCUAACAUAAAAACAAAAAUUUUUACAUCCAGACAAUUAAGCUUAAAACAAUUUCAAAUGAAUUUUAGACUAAUCAAAGUACAAUACGUACCAAGUUUGGUAACUUAAUUGACAUCUUCUCAUAUAACCUUCGAUCAAGUCGAUUCUGACCUGACGACUAAUUGGUACAUCACCGUUGUUCUCUAUACUCGCAUGCAUCCGAUCACAAAUCUCACUCCAAUUGUCGUCUUUCUUCGGCGUUUUAGCGCAUCCUUCUUGAAUUUCCCGCAUUUCGUUCCCUCCUGUUACAAGUCUCCGGUCAGGUCAGUUCACUUGACGAUUAAUUCGGCAAAUCUCGAAUCUCUUCUCUAUCCCUCUCGUUUUCUCGUGUCUCCUUUCAGUUUAAGUGAUUGAAUCAAUUUUAUCGCAGUCUUAAGAGAAAUUAAGUAAUGCUCUUGGAUUUAAAAUUUUUUUGCUUUCGACUUUAGAUCUCGAAAGUCAAACUCUGCUACGAAUCCAUAGAUUCUCAAUGUUUAUAAUCUUAUUUGUGUUUGACCAGGUAACUGGAUCGUGAAAUUCGUCGUUUUGUAUCAAUUCAGGCUUUCGCGAGCUCAUGGAAUCACCUGGUGAGUUGUGGUGAAACGUUAUCGUUUCAAUUUUCGCUUAAUUCUUUAUUGCAUAUUUUUUCUCUAACAUUUCAGUUUAAUUUAGAAAAGAAAGAGGACCCAAAAAGAGAGAGAGAGAGAGAGACUCUACCAUACUCAAUUCCUUGCUCAUUCUGAUUUGGCCUGAAUGUUGGCAUUGACUAUUAUUUGUUUUCAUUUCGAUUUAAUUCUCAUUUAGACAGUCUUUACUAACGGUCAAUAAUAGUUUAAGGAAAAUGAUAAUAGGGAUUCUGCAAUAAUCUUUCUGCAUUGUUCAAGUUAGUAGACGAUGAAUAGGAUGUUUAUGUUUACCUCAUUUUGAACCCUGAGGGCUUCGUUGAGUAGUUGAUUCAACAUAUCCAGCAACGGUUGAUGUGAGAACAGGAUGCCACUUAGAUAGGCUUAAACUGAUUUUGGAGGUUUGUAUUGGUUCUAUUGUACGUCUUGCUUACAAAUUUUUUAUUUUUUAUUUUUAAUUUUGUAUAAUAUGCUCUUUGUUGGUAAAUCUCAUUUGACUUAGAAGAGAUAGUUUUAUCCCAACAGUGGGAUAAAUCAUUGAGAUGCAUGGCAGUGUGAAUAUAGUAGACAAAAUCAUUGAGACACAUGGUGGUGUGAACAUAGUAAACUUCAUGGAAGCAAUGAAGCUUGAAAUUGAACGUCUGCAGCUGAAUCUUUCUGCAGCUGAAAGGGAUAGAGCUUUAUUGUCAAUCGGAACUGAUCGUGCCUCUAUAAAUCCAAAUGUAUUGCUUGAUGAAUCUUACAUGGGAAGACUGUGUCGAGUAGCAACCACUCUUGCAUUACUUGGCCAAACUUCCCUAGAAGACAAAAUUGUUGGUGCAAUUGGCCUUGAGAAUAGUGAUGAUAGUGUUUUAGACUUCUGGAAUAUUACUAGAAUCGGAGAGAGUUGUUCUGGUGGCUGGUGGCGGGUGCAAGGUUCGUGCAGAAACUAAGGUGCCUGCUCUUGCUUCCUCAACUGCAACAUCUGUUGGAGCUUCACAAUCCCCUUUGUUGUGUUCUCAAUGUGAAAGAAAAGUUUGCAAAGUUUGUUGUGCAGGAAGAGGAGCUCUACUGUUUUCAAAUUAUAAAUCAAGGGAUGUGACCAACUACAAUGGCUUCUCAAGUCAGAGUGGAUCAAGCCAUGGAAGCCAAGUUGAUGUACCUACCAGUCGUUCACUAACACUGGAUGGCGUUGUCUGUAAACACUGCUGCCAUGAGAUUGUGCUUGAUGCAUUGAUGUUGGACCAUGUUAGGGUCUUGAUUAGCUUGCGAAGAAGUUCCCGUGCAGACAACACAGCAUACAAUGCUUUGAAUGAGGUUGUUGGAUCCUGCUUAAAGGAUAGUCUUUCUGAAAGGAUUCAGUCUUCCGAUAACGUGCAAGCUGCUGAAGUCCUUCACCAAUUAUGUGGUGGACAGGAAUCAGUUGCUGAAUUUCCAUUUGCUAGCUUUUUGCACUAGGUAUGUUCUUGGUUUGUAUUCAGUUCUCAUCAUGUUAUGUUUUCCUUUUAAAUUUCUUUUCUUGAUUAAAAUUUUUAGAAAUAUGUUUUAGUAUUUGUUCUUAUGAUAUAUGCCCAGAACAUUCAUCCCACUUAUCCAUGAGAAUCCUUGUCUGGUUUGAUUUUCAAUUGAGACAUUUUUGGGAACCCUGAGCAGGUUCCAUAUGCUAAUAAUCUUUGAGGUAAGGUGUUGUAGGAUGCCUUGAGAAGCUAAAAACCAAUUACAAGGAAAAGCUCUUGCAUUGUUUUGUGCAAUCUGUGUGCUAGCAAGUCAUGUCUCUAAUAAUUUCAUAGUUCGCUUGAUUGGAAUUUUUUAUCUUGAUAUGGAUUGUUUAUUCUAGAUUCCUUGGUGCCACUGUAGGUUGAAACAGCAAAAGAUUCAGCACCGAUUUUGUCACUGCUUGCUCCAUUAAAUUCUGGAUCAAGGCACUCAUAUUGGAGAGCUCCACCUAGUACUACUUCUGUUGAAUUUGUUAUUGUUCUCGGUUCUGUUUCUGAUGUCAGUGGGGUUAUCUUGCUUGUUAGUCCUUGCGGCUAUCUGUGGCUGACACUCCGAUGGUAAGUGCCAUAUUUAUUCCCUUAUUUCCUUGUUGUUCAAUAAAUUUGGUGAUAAGCCAAGUGGCCUUAAUAAUGAAGCCCAGUACCAGGGGUGGUGGGUAAUCGAUAUUCAACUUGUGAAUAUUCCUAAGCAAGCACGGAAUCAACAUAGACGUCGGCAAAAAUUCUCCAUGCUAUUAUAACGAAAGUCAUAUUUUGAAAUGAUUAAAAGAGUCCCUUUGUAGUGCCAUUGCCAAAGAAAUUGCAGCUGGGGGUUUAGUUUCAUGUAGGUUAGUUUCCGAUAAUAAACUUUCCAUUUCAUUAAUUGCUGAUGAAAAAACCAAGUAAGAACAGUUUCGUUGCUCGUCAUUUAUGUAUAUUUUGGUAAACUGUAAUUUUAAAUUCUCAACGAUCUUCCCUUGGUAGGUAAGAAGAUGGUCCACUCACUUUAUAUUUAUGAUUGUAGAUCAGGUUUCUAUUGGUUUGCCUUUAUCAUUGGGAACCCAAGUUUGAUAUUAACAGAGAUCACGUCAAUAAUAUCCUAUUUGGGUAGAUGUGGGUGAGGAUUUAAAAUCAAAUUUGAAAUUGGGGGAAAGAAGAGAAAAGGAACCACAAUAAUUAAACAAAAUAUUAGGAACUAUUCUGAUGAGUUUUAAUCUCGAGAGGAACAAUUUUCAAAUGCAAAUUUAACUGCUAGAGAAAUUGUAGCUUUUUGUCAUUAGUUAAGAGGAAAGAGAAUAAGAACUAUCCAGCCCUUUCCUUCAUGAAUGUGUGUUGAGGUUGCUGUAUUAUUUAGUCAGUAUUUGUAAUUUUCUUCCCUGCAGUGCUCUCUGCCUCCUGAAUUUGCUACUGAGUCCAUAUUUUUCUUUGAGCUGUUGCUUCCUAUUGCUGUUACAAGUACAAAUCUGGGCAAGCAAUAAGAUACACCGGGAGGAAAGGUCAUCAAUGGGAAAAUGGGAUGUCCAAUCCCUCAUCACAUCUUCUUCAGACUUGUAUGGUCCAGAAAAGACAGCUAGUGUUGAAAAAUUACCUAGGCAUGUAAAAUUUACUUUUAAGAAUCCUGUUAGGUGCCGCAUUGUUUGGAUCACAUUACGUCUUCAGAGACCUGGUUCGGCUUCAGUUAAUUUCGGGAAGGACUUCAGUCUUUUGUCUCUUGAUGAAGAUGAAAACCCCUUUGCGCAAGUAGACAGACGUGCUUCAUUUGGAGGAGCAGUUGAAAAUGAACCAUGUAUUCAUGCCAAAAGAAUUCUUGUAGUCGGAAGCCCAGUAAAAAGGGAGGGGCUUACCUCAUCACAGAGCUCUGAGCAGCUAAGUAUUAGAAACUGGUUGGAUAGAGCUCCACAAAUGAGUAGAUUCAAGGUAUUAGUUGCUUUCACUCUUUGUUCAUUCAUAAUUCCAGCUUUCUGCUUGAUGCCCUGCCUCUGAUAAACCUCUUUUUUUCUCUUCAGGUCCCAAUUGAGGCCAAGAGAUUGAUGGACUACGAUCUCGUCUUGGAACAAUAUCUACCUCCAGCGUCACCUUUGCUUGCCGGAUUCCAUCUAGACGCUUUCAGUGCAAUAAAACCUAGGGUUACCCAUUCACCUUCCUCAGAUUCAGAUAUCUGGGACAAAUCAGUAACAUUUUUAGAAGACAGGUACAUCUCUCAAGCUGUGUUGUAUUUACAAGUAUCCGCACUCCAGGAACCACAUAACAUGGUAACUAUUGCGGAAUAUCGACUGCCGGAGGCUAGAGCCGGAACGCCAAUGUACUUUGAUUUCCCAUGACCGAUACAGUCCCGACGAGUUUCAUUCAAGCUUCUUGGAGAUGUUACAGCAUUUGCAGAUGAACCUUCAGAACAAGAUGAUUCAGGAUUGAGAGCUCCACUUGUGGCCACAGGUUUGUCUUUGUCAAACAGAAUCAAGUUAUAUUAUUAUUGUGAUCCUUAUGAGCUCGGAAAAUGGGCAAGCCUUUCUGGAGUUUGAUCGUUAUUUAUAUGUCAGAGAAAGGGUUUUGGGUUUGAUUUUGAUUUUGAUUUGUAAUUUUUGUCAGUUUAUUGAAAUUUUUUGUUGUAUAAAAGCAGAAUGUAAAGGUAUAAAAAUUCAUUGAUGCUGCAAUGUCUGUGCUUUUGAGAAAGAAGAAUUAAUUGUCUUUUCUAUGCCAUUGGAGUUUCCCACUGCUUGUAUACUUGGGCUGUCGAAUGCUCUGUGAACCUUAAGGGCUAUAAAGUAAUUUUCAAGACUGAAGGAUUUAUUAAUCGAGUUCAAAAGAUUGUAAGUUGGUGACUGGUGAGCGUUGGCAUUUAAAAAUCAAUUGUUAUUCUCUCAAUAAUCUCUCUCUUCUCCUCGUGAAGUGUUUUCUUUUUCGAGUGAAGGUGGUUUUCCACUUGCAUACGUCGGGGGUCUUAUGAUAUGUAAUGUGUGAAAUUUCUUUCUCAUUUUACCAUAAAGAAAAAUGUUGUAAUAAUCUAAAGCUCGAGUCUUAAAUUAUCUUAAAUUUAUAUUUAGAGUGGAGCUAUUCGCAACCCUAUAUUAAAAUUACAAUUAAAAACAAUUGAAAAUUAAACACUUAUAGAUUCUUUUUACAGCAAAUUACUUAAUUCAUAAUCAAUCCUUUAAAAAAAAAAUACAUAUGUUAUUUCUUAUCUAACUAAAAUAAAUUGUACAAAUUUAGAAUAAUCUAUUGUUCUCUUUUGAUUUCUUAUUAUUUAAAUAUUUUUAUACAUAAAGUUACUUUGAAAUUAUAAUUUGAAAUAUGUGUUAUUUCAGCCAAUGAUUAACACUAAAAAAUUUAUCACCCAUAUAACUUUUUAAUUUGUGUGUAGGGUAAUAAUAAAAUCGAAAAUAAUUAAAAAAAUAGUACAAUAAUGAUUUUUAACAAUAAAACAAAUCAAAUGAAAAUUGAAAAUUUAGAAAAGUGUAUCUAAAAAAAGGAACGUUUUCAAAAAUAAAAUGAAUAUAACUAAAAAGAGAUUUUAUGAGGAGAUCACUGGGGUGCCAAUAGUCCAACUUGUAAUUAAGAAUCUCCCAUUAUAUUGUCAACCAAAAAGACACUUGAAUAAGAAGAAGAAUUUAUCAGUUUGAUUUUAUUUGUAGAUCCAACAUUUCUCAUAUCCUGAACGCCUUUUCGUAUCAAAUUAAAACAGUAGUAGCAAAAUCGUAGUAUUAAAAUCGUAGUGCACAUUCAAUUAACCAACUAAUAGUCUUUGGUAUAAGAUUUUAUAUUAGGUAGCCAAGUAGGUUGUCCAUCCCACUCAGACAUGCACGAAAGCUAAAUUCAUCAAAUGAAUUACUUAAGAAGUAUUUGAUAAUUUUGAAAUUAUCAAAAGGUGUUAUACUAUUAAAUAUUUUUAUACUUAAAAUUGUUUUGAAAUUAUAAGUUCAAAUUAAAAUAAUAGUAGCAAAAUCGUAGUGCACAUUCAAUUAACCAACUAAUAGUCUAAGAAGCAAAGAGAGGAUUACAAGUUCACAACACCAUUACAAAGGAUUCAAAAUUCCCACACGAAUACAUCAAUGUACAGAUUAUAAACAAUCCGAAUUGGACACAAGAAAAACCCUUCAAUAGAUUGCUUGCCUUCCCAAUGCUAUAUACUGUGCAAACUGCGCAUUGGCCAAGAAAAUGUUUUCAAUUUAGUGUAUUUUCAAAAUGCUUAUUUUCUCAUAGUAUAAAAAAUAAAAAAAAUAAGAAAGAAUUCUCACAUGUUUCAUCAGCAUGAUUAAAAUCAAAGAAGAAAGCGAGACAUAAUGUCUCUGACAUAAUAAAAUUACAAAAAUUUCAAGGAAAAAAAAAGGUUAAAACAUGUAAUCUUCAGAAGCAUAUAAUAAAAGAACACUUCCACAAAUUACUACAAUUUCAUGCAGUAGAGAUUGAAGAGUUGAAUUCCACUAAUUUUAAUAAUGAAAACAACAACAGAGGAUUAACUGAUGCUUUGACUUAUUAGUUCUGCAGAGCAUCUCCAAAAGCCUAUAUAAAUUUUACUCUUCAAAUACUUAUUUGCUUACCUAUGUGGCAAAUAAAAGGGUGAAAAAAUAUGAUAUUCUCCAAAAGACUCUUCAAAUAGAAAAAAGUUAAUAUUAUUUUAAUCAUAUAAUUAAUUUUUUAAAGAAAAAGUCAAUAGCAAUUAAAGCACUUCUCUCUCUUUCUUCAAUGAAAAGUAAUAAAAUAUAAAUUGAAGAGGGAGAAAUUAACUCUCCAAAUUUGAAGAGAGAGAAUUAAUUCUUAUUUAAAGAAUCUUAAUUGAAGUGUCUUUUGGAGCUUUAAAUAUUGAUGUGGCUCUUCAAAUAAGUAAUAAAAUCUUAUUUGAAGAGCCUUUAAAUAAGGUGCUUUCAAAAGCAAAAUGGAAUACAUAGAUAAAAACAUCAUCUUAAACAAAUCACAAUCUAGAAUUAGAGCAUUUUCGACAUACCUAAGGAAAACGAAUACGUGAAAACGGGUGAUUCAUUUGUUAAGGAGUGUUGAUUUGGUCGUCUCUGCAAAUUCUUUAGGGACUCGGUUCCAAUUCCUCAUCAUCAAAACUGUAAUAUAAUUCCCCUUCAUCAGAACUCGAAUCGAUGCAAUAUAAUUCCCCUUCAUCAGAACUCGAAUCAAAUUCACUUGCAGCAGUUCCACUCGCGCUUGGCAAAUCAUCCAAUUUCCAAACUUCGGUAGCAAAAUUGAGAGUAAAAGUGUUGGCUUUGAUCUCGCUGGGAUUUGCAUAUACUGGACAUACUCCGCAACGUUUUAUCUUCUGACCCUUUUGGACCUUUAUUAUGUUUCGGUAACGCUCAUUGAAGAACUUAAGUGAGACAGUUGUAUGAUGGUAACCAUCAGGAAAGCCAACAUUCAAGCAAGGUUUAAAACCAAGUAUGACAUGAUCUGAAUCAUGGGGGUCUUUAAUAGAGUCCCAAUAGAAACUCAGAUCAACAUGUUUGGUUUCAGAGAGAGUCUUUAUUUCUAAGUCGGAUCGACAGUAAACGUAAAAAUAACGAGAACGAUCAGAAUAAAGUUGCUUAAAAUCAAGAACAGCACAAAAAGCAAACCCGAUUAAGUUUCUGCAAAAAGAGUGCGGUGGCAGUUGAAUACGUAUCGAAGAUCCUGAACUUUGAUUGCUGAACCAGUCAGGAAUUUCGCUCCCAGGUAAAACAAUUUGGGAUUCCCUGAGUUCAGAAAGUUUCUGUGAAACGACAUUUAAAAAAAGAAAAUUGUAAAAUGAAAACCAUGAUUUCAGAUAUAACAAAGAGGGACAGAGUAAACAAGAGAGGGAAUUUGAUACCUCGUUGUAUGCAUUUUCAUAGCCCAGUCUCAGUGAUGCUGCAAUUGCCAUACGUAGUGAAUCUGCCAAAAUCUUGUUGUUUGCUUUUCCAUCAAGUUUCAAGCAGUUAGUAAACCCAAAAUAAAUUGGUUGUGGCGUCACAUAUUCCGGAUGCCAUUGACGAAGGUCAGGAGAGGGUUUGGAUAGCUUUUCGAGUACGGAUGCAUCUAGUUCUUGUACACAUGACGGAAUCUCUGGCAAAGAUUGAAGCCGGUUGCAGUUCAUUGCAAUUAGUGACUGUAGACACAAUGGAAGUUCAGGUAAUGACCGAAGCAUGUUACAAUCCUCCAAGUGAAGAGUUUCUAAACCCAAUGGAAGUGCUGGUAAUGACUGAAGCAUGUUACAACGCCACAAGUGAAGAGUUUCUAGACCCAAUGGAAGUUCUGGUAAUGACUGAAGUAUCUUACAAUCCCUCAAUUCAAGAAAUUUUAGGCCCAAUGGAAGUUCUGGUAAUGACUGAAGCAUAUUACAAUCCUCCAAGUAAAGAUAACUUAGCCACGACAGUUGCUUGAUACUUGCAGGUAAACUCUCAAAGUUAUUUCCAUUUAAAUUGCCAAUGUUAUCCGGCAACUUAUCAAGUACAGAGCAACCACUUACGGACAAAAGUACAAGCCCCGUUUGCAAUGCCUCAAAUCCAACUUUUCAAGAUCAGUUAGGCACUCUACUGAUGAUGGAACUUCUUCUAUUGCAGUCUGGCCCAAGUUUAGCGAUGUUACUUUCCCAGAAAUCUGUGGAAACUCUAUGAGAUUAACACAAUAGGAGAAAUCAAUAGUUACUGGACAAACAAAAUGAAGAUUGCUAGGAAAAGACCUAAGACUUUUGCAGCCCAUAAAAUCCAACCUACUGAGAUACUUGAAAUUCUGGAUAUAUGAGGGAACACAAGCCAAGUUUGUAUAAUCCAAAAGAUAUGUUUCAACAUUUGGGGUUUCUAAUGGGCCUGGCAUCUUAAUGAAAUGUCGAGAAUGGCUGAGGUUAAUAGAUUUUAACUUGAAAGCUUCCUGCAAUAACAGAUAUAUAAAGACUAUAUUAAUUAAAAAGCAACAUUGAAUUCAACAAUUAAUUGCACGUAUAUUUAAAGAAAGAAAAAAUUAAUGUUUUAGUUUUAGUACAGAACUUACCUUUUCUCCUUCCCAAAGUUGCUCAACUUUACUAAAACGCAAAUUCAGUUCAACAAGGUUCUUUGGCUUGAAAUUUGAUGGCAGUGUCCUUAAGGGAUAUGUGUCCCAAUGAAGAUAUCUCAAUUUUUUAGGAAGAUAAUCUAGGCCAUUUGGAAGCUGCACUUUAGAGUAUGAAAGUUGCUCUUCAAUGCUCAUACUUAGAAACUUUUCAAUCUCAGGUACAUAAAAUUUGAGCAAUCUUAGAUUAGACAUUUUUGUGAAGGCUCCAGGGUCUAAAUUGAUGCCUUUUAUUUUGGACAAAUCCAGAAAUAUGCCUUCAAUUGCAUCGGUCCCCUUAUUAAAAAAAAAAACAAAGAAUGAGUAACCCUAAAACAGAAAAGAAACAUUCGCAAACUUUAUUAACUAAGAACUCCUUAAACAAAAACAAAUUCUGCAAUCUUUGAUUUUAUUUUUUAAAAAUAUUAAAUAUCUAUAUAUGAGAAAAGAAAAUUUUGGGGACCAUUGCAAAAUUAAACUAACCAAAAAAAAAAUUCAAAAUUUCUCUAAUUUACAAACCUGUUAUCUUAAUAUCUAGAAGUUGAGAAGACAAGGCGUAUUUGAUUGGUAUAAGAUUUCGAUUUUUUUUUUAGUCCAUAGAAUCCAAAAUGUUUGUUCAAAAUCAGGGAAAAAAACGAAAGUUAUUUUUUUUUCCACUAGCUGUAAUUGUAUCCAAGUCAAAUUGAGAUACGACCCUUUUCGAAAGGAUUUAAUCAUCUUAUAGCCUCCUUAAGAUACAUUUAAGCUAAAAGGAGUGAUUGGAGGCAGAACUUAGUGGGCCAAUCAGUUCAUUUUAUUAGCGACUGUUGCUUAAAAAAAAUUAUACUCUAAAACACACUUACUUUUUUGAAAAAAAAUAUAAUUAUAUUUAAGUAGAACCAGGUGGGCCAAUCCUCAUGGCACUCACUUUGUUCUGACACUCUUCACUAAAUUUGAAGAAAAAUAAAAUUAUACUCUUCACACUCUUAUUCAACAUUCCAAAAUUGAUAAAAUCUGGAGUUUUCUUUAAAAUUUUAAAAUUUGAAGACUUGUUCUCUUGACACCCUCAGUCAUUAAUUUUACCUAAUUAUGGUUUUGGUUGUUUUGUUCAUAAAAAUGCUUUUACUAAAGGAUGUUCUGGUAAUGAAAAAAUUUAUAAAAAAACAAACAUGGGUGUGCUGAUAUAGUUGGAAAAAUAUGAGUGCAUAACUCCAAACAAAUAAAAGAUACAUAAAAAAAAAAAAGGAGGAUUCUUACCAUAUUAUGCUUUAGUACGCGGCGGAUUUCCUUAGGAUCCCACAACCUACUGCGUCUGCCUGGCUCUUCCUCAGAUUCUUGGCGAACAAUCUCUCGGCCCAUUUCUUGCAAUAAAUCAUGCAUUUGCAAGCAGUUAUCUGACACUGUUAUAAGUGACUUGUCCACGAGGACAUCCAGUCUGUGAGACCCAGAAUCAUCAAGUAUCCUUAACACAAAAUCUUUAUCCUCUCCCUCAAGGAAACACGCAAUAUCUAGAAACAUACUCUUCACCCUGGGCGUUAAUUCUUUAAAACUAAUCUUUAAUGUAUCAUAAAUACCAUGAAUAUCAGAUUCACAAAUCCGAUUUAAGUCGUCCAAUACAUUUUCCCAAUGGCUUUUCCCCUUGAGAUACAGGGAGGAACCCAACACUUUAAGAACUAAUGGAUUGCCAUCGGCAUACCAUACAACCCUCCAUGAGUGCCGGUAGAGAUCUUCAGGACAAUGAUUUUCUUUAACAGCGAAGUUACAAAAAUGCUCGAAAGCCUCAUCAAAUUUCAAUCCAUUGACCCUAUAUAUUUUCUCCACUCCAAAUUUUUCGAGGACUCGUUUAUCCCUGGUGGUUACAACAAUUCUACUUCCUGGACCAUAUUGAUCAAGCCCUCCAAUCAAACCCUCUAAUUGUUCAUCUUUAUUCACAUCAUCGAGUACAAUCAACACCUUCAUGCGUCGGACCCUCCCUUUAGUAAAUUGUGGAAUAUUGGGACCAGCUACUUCAAGUUUUUCACUUAAUAUUGUCGAAAGCAUUUCCUUUUGUAGGUCUUCUAGGCCACCCUCUGUUUCUGAUUUUCUCCUAACAUUUUUUGCAAAGUAUUUACCAUCAAACUCACCAGAGAAUUGAUCGAAAAUAGCUUCAGCAAGGGUAGUUUUGCCUAUACCACCCGUGCCCCAAAUUCCAACAAUAUGGACAGUAUCCCACAAAUCCAUACACAGAAAUGGUUUAAUCUGCUCAAUUCGUGAAUUUAAUCCAACUAGGCCAUUGGAUGAGUCCGUUGAGACUGUUAUUUUUUCCAACUUCUUCAAAACAUCAUCGACAAUUUUGUUUACAAGUUCCGCAUCGUGCCUAAUAUAAAGGUGCAAAGAUGCAAAAACAUUGAGUCAAAUCGGGCCAAGACAGAAACAGAGAAAAGAUGAAUUAGGAAAGAGAGUUACCUGAAUUUCGUGGAUUCAUGGCCGGCUAGAUGGGAUGUUUCUGUCAGUGCAUCCCUCCACUUCUGAACCAUUUCUGGUUUAUCUUCGAACUGUUUUUUGAGCUCAUCAAAACGGUCUCCAAAUGUUCCGUUUUGAUGCCGCACAUCAGAUGGACUUACUCCAUAGAAGACUGGAAUAAUAAUUUGGCCGUUUGUGUUCUUGCAUUCAAGAAUCUUGACAAGUUCAUUCAGGCACCAUUUUGAAGAAGCGUAGUCCUUUGAGAAAAUGACCACCGAAAUUUUUGAACCUUGGAUUGCGUUCAAAAGGGCGGGUGAAAUCUCAUCUCCUCGCCUAAGCUCUUCAUCAUCAAUAAAUGUUUUGAUUUUUUUUCCUUCAUACAAUUUAUCAUAAAGAUAGCAAGUAAAGCUCUUACGAGUGUCCUCCCCUCUAAAGUUGAGGAAGACUUCAUAAUUGCAAGAAGAAGAAGAGGAAGCCAUGAAGGAAAUUCUAGAAAUUUGAAAGUAGAUUUAGGGAAUUAUAAAAAGCUGAAGGAAAUUGGAAUUUUGUACAGUUUCUCCAGCGAGGAACUUUCACCUCCGCACUAGAUUCUUAAGUUUUGAAAAUUAUGAGACCUUUAUAUUGGAAGAUAUUAUAAUCGAAUCAAAACUUAAAAUUUUAAUAUUGUUAAUCUUUAAUCUUUAAAAAAAAAUUACCUCGCCGUUACAGUUUGGAUUAAGAUUUGAGCAAGCAUUUACCUAAAUUUUAUCUCCGCCUGUAAAUUCUUAUGUUUUAAAAAUUAUGAGACCUUUAUAUUGGGAGAUAUUAUAAUCGAAUCAAAAUUUUGAAUUUCAAUAUUAUUAUUCUUUUAAAAAAAAAAUUGAGAUAACAGAGUGAUUGAUAAUAUAGGAGAACUUGUCUAGGCAAGCACAUGCAUACACAGAAAUGUGAUGGAUUCAAAAAGAAAUUAAAGUGAUAAUGUACGUGGAUCCUUAAAAUAAAAAGCGAAAUCGCUUGGUGGCCCAGUAAAAUUAGAGAACAAAGAAGAAUUAGUUAUUGAUAUACAAAAGAGAAACACUCCAAAAUUUCAAGCAAAAAUAGUUUCAUAUACCAUUUCAAUUUUGUAAGGGGUGAGGUUUUGAAUUUCAAUAGUUUCCUCUAAAAUCAAAAGGCAACAAUUAAGUUAGAAAGAGCAAAGAAGACUUAUUAGUACCUUAUUAAAGGUAACAUUAUGGAACUUUCAAUUUCAUUACCUCACUCUUCAAUUUUUAUUGAGAUUUGUGCAAGAAUUUACCUAAAUAUUACCUAAAAUUGAGAUAUCAGAGUAAUAUCAAAUAGAAAAACUUGCCACGGUAAGCCAAAAGUCUAGUCAACCACAUGCAUAAAGCUAAAUAGAACAACUAACAAGAGAACAGAGAAACGCGUGGGUCCCUAAAAGAAAAGGCAAGCACAUAGAUGAAAAAGCCAUUACAUUUCGAUUUUACAUGUCAUUAAUUUCUGUAACACGGUGUGUGGCAGCAUAUGCACAAUCAAGUGAGGCAAAAGGGAUUCGAUUAUCGUGGCAGAACAUGAACGAGGACGCGUGAUGAAUAAUUCCUUCGAUAAAACGAAAAACAAACGCAGAGAAAAGAAUUUCUUAUAUGACAAGAAAUCAAAGAAAUCAAAGUAAUGUUUCAUUUUCCCUUCCCUACCUUUUUUUUGUUUUAUUUUUAUAGCAAAGAAUUAUAUCAUGAAAAGAAUCAAUUUAAUCACCUUUUCUAGCAGCACAAUUUUUCUUUUAUAAAAUUUGACCAGGGAGACAAAGAAUAAUUAUUCAUACCUUCAUCACUAAGGAAAUACUUUUCGGUAUGGCUAAGGUGAGAAAAGGCUUUCCACAAAAACUUGUACUUUGUAUUCCUGUAAAUUUUCUUUAAAGUCAAUAAAAACCAUAAGUUCUUUACAAUAACCAUCUCUUUGAUAAAAAAGUGCCGUAUUCCUUUAGAAUUUAAAACCGGCAAAACUGAAUCAGUGUCUUUGAAGAGACAUAAUGGUCGUAAUUCUUUAAAUGAGUUGGCUAUGGAAAUCGUUAUCCAAGAUUCUUUUACGCCAUAUUCUUUCGUAAACCAAAAUUCAUUUUGGAAUACUCUGUUGAGAAUGUCAAAUAAAACGGCAUUGAAGGAAGUUUUCAAAGGCAGAAUCUGCACUUGUCAGAUGGAUGAUCUGCACUUGUCAAAGACACAAUCCGCGUCGAACGAAUCGACACAUUUCCUUUCGUAUUCACAUAUGCAAUUUUUGAAAAAAUGUAGCUUUUACAUCUAUAAAUAACACUCAGUGUAUAAUGUUUUAUUCAAGAAAAGAAAACAAGUUUCUUCAUGGUAUCAGAGCCAUGAAUACGCUCAAGUUUCUUCAAGUUUCGCUGCUCUGUUUGUAACAAAAACAGAGAAAACCAAAAUCUUCCCACAACCAUUUUUUCCACCAUUUUCUUCCUUAAAAUCAUUCCUACCAUUAUAGAAAUCCAUGCCGAUCAAAAAACAAGCCACCCAUACGUAAAAAACUUGAGUUUACAAAUUUAUCAACAAUCUCAUAAAUUAGAUACAAAACAACGUGAUGUUAAAUCUCCAGAACUGCAGCAGUCUUAAAACGACAUGUCGUUUCUAUUCCAUCAGAACCGACAUAUCAUUUCUUUAAGCAGAGGCCAAACGACUUGUCGUUUUUUUUUUUAUCUAAAAAAGUUAUUUUUUCUUAUUUCAAUCUAGACGCCAAAAAAAAAACAAAAAAAUGGAGAAAACUCCAACUGAAUCUGAUCCUGUUGUCAUUCAAUCUGUUCAAUCUGAUGAGUAUUUAAUGUUGGAAUUAUCUUCACUGAGACAAACUACGAUAUUUGGUCUUAAAUAAUGGAGUUGCAUCUCGCAGAAAGAGAAAAACUCUCAUAUAUUUGUAGCAACACAAAGUCAUCUGAGGAAUCUUCAAAGGAAUAUGAGAAAUGGUAUAGUGAGAAUGAAAAGGUAAAAAAAUGGUUACUCAUAUCCAUGUCUCUGGAUAUCAUGAAGUGAUAUUUACGAAUUCCUACAGCCUACGAAAUAUGGGAUGCAUUAUCAAAAGCCUUCUAUGAUGGAAUCGAUGAAUUACAAGUUUUCACUCUAAACCAGAAGGCGUCUCUACCAAGAAAAAUUGACAGCCACUAUCUAAAUUCUACGGAGAAUUGAUCGAAAUAUUUUGAGAACUUGAUCACCGAGAUAAAGUGAUCAUGAAGGAUCCAGAAGAUGUUGUAAUAUACAAAAGGUCUGUUGAAAGAUUGAGAGUUCACAUUUUUCUUGUUGGGCUAGAUGAAGAAUUUAACCAAGUUCGUGGAGAAAUUCUAUGAAAAGAUAUUAUCCCAGACUUAGAAGAAUGUUAUUCUUUGAUCUGAAGAGAAGAUGUACGGCAAAACAAACUAAACAAGAAGGUCGACUCAGAAACGUUUGCUAUGAUAGCACGACAACAGCCUCAAAGGAAGCUUGUUGACAAGUCAUCACUCCAUUGCACUCAUUGUAGGAAGAAGGGUCAUAUGAAAGCACAAUAUUUUGAAAUCAUUUGAUAUCCUGACUGGUGGGAUACUUGAAAGAAAAACAUCAAGCAGGGAUAAAAAACUGCAGUAGCUGAAUCCACAUCCACUACAGAUCUUAGAAAAGAAUCUUCAGUGCAAAUCGCAACCUCUGUUAGUCCAGGUAAGGCCCUUAAAACUCUUAUACUUGUUAUUAAUAGUACAUGGAUAAUUGAUUCUGGGGCAACUGAUCAUAUGACUUUUGAUUCUCGACAAGUUUCUCAAUUGAUACCAUCUUCACAAAAACAUGUUUCCACUCCAAAUGGAACCACAACCUUAGUUAUUGGGGAAGGAUCUUUACGACUCACAUAUAAAUUAAAUUUAGACUCUGUGUUAAUUGUUCCAUCUUUAGAUUAUAAUCUUUUAUCUGUGUCUCAAUUAACCACUUACUUAUCAUGUGUUGUAAUUUUUUGGCCUGAUCAUUGUGUGUUUAAAGACAUCCAAACGAAGCAAACGAUUGGUUAUGGUAUUAGACGGGGCCACUUGUACUAUUUGGAGAUGACAUCAACAAACACUGGAAAGCUAAGCCCUGCACUAGUCGCAGAUAGUUCCAUAAAAAAAAGGAAAUCAGAAAUUUGGUUAUGGCAUAGACGUUUAGGGCAUGUGUCAUUUGGUUACUUAAAAAAAUUAUUUCCUAGUUUAUUUCUGAAAUUUGAUAUUUGUAACUUUAAAUGUGAUGUUUGUGAACUUUUAAAAAGUCAUCGAACUACUUUUCCAUUGUCCUUAAAUAAGAAUCAAGUUCCUUUUAUGGUAGUACAUUCUGAUGUAUGGGGGCCAUCGAAAGUUUCUACAAUUGGAGGUGCUCGUUGGUUUGUUACAUUUAUUGAUGAUUGUAGCAGAAUGACAUAGAUUUUUCUGAUGAAAUCGAAAGACGAAGUAAACUCUUUAUUUUAAAGAUUUCAUAAGAUGGUGACGACUCAAUUUCAGACACAAAUUCGAGUUCUACAUACUGAUAAUGGAGGCGAGUAUAUGAGCACAACAAUUCAACAGUUUCUGAAAUCACAAGGAACUGUCCAUCAAACCACUUGUGUGGGGACACCCCAACAAAAUGGCAUUGUUGAACGAAAAAACAGACAUUUACUAGAAGUUGUUCGAGCAUCACUAAUCCAGGCCCACAUGCCACUAUCUUAUUAGGGAGAAGCACUGGCAUCCGCAGCAUACUUGAUCAAUCGAACACCUUCAAGCUCCCUUGGAUUCCAGACUCUUUUCCAGGUUCUAAAUGAUGCAAUUAUGUCACCAAAUGUGCCGAAUUUACCCCCACAUGUGUUUGGCUGUGUUGCCUUCGUUCAUUUGCCGCAACAAGACAAAUUAUCUCCUCGAGCACUACGUUGUGUGUUUGUAGGGUAUGCCUUACAGCAAAAGGGAUACCGAUGAUAUGAUCCACCAUCAAGAAAAAUAUACAUCACCAUGGAUGUCGUCUUUCAUGAAGAUAUCAUAUACUACUUGUCAAAGCCUGAAUUUCAGGGGGAGUAUAAUGAAGAGGAAAUUCAUAAUCUUAUAUAUCUUCCACCUAAAGAAGAUCAAUCUUCCAUUGAGGUUGUAAACCUUCAAGAUACUGGAAAAGAAAAUGGUGGUGAUUCUCAGGCUGAGAUAAGUGAAGACACAUUUGGGGAGCAAAAUAACUUAGACACAACUGCAAUCGAGAAUGAGUCACAUGAAGAAAUACCUAACUAAUCGUCUGCAGAGGAUGUUCCUACCACAAGUCCUAGUCUAGUCAGAAGAAUUCUUCCUCAGCGUCAAAAUAGAGGUAUCCCUAAACCCACAUAUGAGCCCGACCUUUCUAGUAGAGUCAAAUACCCUAUGAUUUAUUUUGUGUCUAACCAUCGCUUGUCAGAAUCAAAUCAGUCAUUUGUGAAUCAAUUAUCUACUGUAUCUAUUCCUAAUAGUGUGCAGGAAGCCUUAAAAGACCCAAAGUGGAAAGCGACUAUGAAUGACGAAAUGUGAUCUCUUCAAAAAAAUCAAACAUGGGAACUAGUUGAUCUUCCACCUGGAAAGAAACCAGUGGGUUUCCGAUGGAUCUACACUAUAAAGUACAAAGCAGAUGGCUCUAUUGAACGAUACAAAGCAAGGCUCGUAGCUAAGGGUUACACCCAAACCUACGGGAUAGAUUAUGCCAAUAUGUUUGCACCGGUAGCAAAAAUUAAUACUAUUCGUAUCUUAUUAUCAUUAGCAGUCAACUUGGAUUGGCCAGUGUAACAGUUCGAUGUAAAGAAUGCUUUCCUCCAUGGAGACCUGUCUGAAAAAAUUUAUAUGGAUAUGCCACCAGGAUGUAGUGGACCAGAACGACUCAAUCAGAAAGUAUGCAAAUUGAAGAAAUCAUUGUAUGGGUUGAAGCAACCCCUAAGAGCAUGGUUCGGGAAAUUCACAAAGGCUAUGGUUCUUUUUGGGUAUAACCAAAGCAAUUCAGAUCAUACCUUGUUCAUUAAAAAAUGACAAGGUAAAAUCACUGCCCUCAUUUUCUAUGUGGAUGAUAUGGUAGUCAUAGGUAACGACGGGGAAGCAAGAGAGGCUCUUCAGAAGUACUUGUCGAGAGAGUUUGAGAUGAAGGAUUUAUGAGCCUUAAAAUACUUUCUUGGAAUUGAGGUUUCUCGAUCUAAGGGAGGAAUUUUCCUGUCUCAAAGGAAAUAUGCUUUAGAUCUAUUAAACGAAACGUGAAUGACAGCUUGUCAGCCUAUUGACACCCCAAUAGAAGAAGGACUGAAGUUUUGUAUUACCUCAGACUAAGUUCCAGUAGACAAAGGAAGAUAUCAAAGGCUGAUUGGAAGAUUGAUGUACUUGUCCCACACAAGGCCAGCUCUUGCUUAUGCAUUGAGUGUUGUAAGUCAGCUUAUUCAUAAUCCCGGAGAACAACACAUGAAAGCAGUAAUGCGGAUCCUAAGGUACCUGAAGUCAAAUCCAGGAAAAGGAAUCCUAUGUUCCAAAAAUGGAGAUUACAGCAACAUAGAAGUUUAUACUGAUGCAGAUUGGGCCCGGUCAGUUAGUGAUAGACGCUCUACCUCAGGAUACUUUACCUUAGUGGGAGGCAACCUUGUCACAUGCUGCUUCACUUGCUGCCAAUCCAGUUCAUCAUUCAAGAACAAAACAUAUAGAGAUUGAUGUUCACUUUGUGAGAGAUAUAAUUUCCAACGGCGGAGUGGAAGUAAGAUAUGUCCCUACUGAAUAUCAGCCUGCAAACAUCUUCACAAAAGCUCUUCCUGCUGAUAUGUUUCAACAGUUGCGAGACAAGCUACAUAUUCUUCCUAGAACAUUGCGCUUGAGGGGGCAUUAUGAAAAUAUUGUAGCAGAGCUACCAAACUUGAGUAAUACGAAUUCAAAGUUGUUAGAUGACAUGGCAGCACACUUGGCAUUCAUUGGUGUUUUGGAAAGUUAAAGUGAUCAACCUUAUCUCUUAGCUUAUCAUUAAUUCAAGCUGCACUUUUGUAUUUAUCAAGAUCAAGAUAAAGAUAACAAUUGUGCUAGGCUUGAUCUUAUUCUUGGCAUUAUCGUGUUUCCUGUAGAGCAUUAUAAAUGUAAUGAUUAUGAGAUGAAUAAAAUAACGAAAAUGUGUUUUGUUUCUUCUUUAAGCUCAUCUUUAUAAUUUAAGUUGGUAUCAGAGCAUGGCGAGCUCCAAUUCUGCGAAAUUAGUCAAUAUGAAUACUGUAAACCAAACACCACAAAUUUCUAAUUUUUUGACUCCUGUCAAAUUGGAUAGGCAAAAUUUUAUGAUAUGGAAGUCUCAAGUGCUACCUUCCAUUCGUGGUAACAAUCUUGAAAGCUUGAUCAAUGGAGCAAAACUUGUACCCACUAAAUUCUUGGUGCAAGUAGAAGAGGAUCAAACAGUAACGACUGUGGAAAAUCCAGAAUAUAUACAAUGGCUGAGACAAGAUCAGCUUUUACUUAGUUGGCUUUUGUCCACUAUGACUGAAUCAGUUUUAAGCAUAGUGGUGCAGUAUACAACCUCUUUUGAGGUUUGGAAUGCCUUGAAGACAUUGUUUGCAUCUCAGUCAAAGGCUAGAAUUUUGUAGCUCAAGAUGCAACUCCAAACCACGAAAAAGAAUGCUAUGACCAUGAGUGACUAUGUCAACAAAAUGAAAAAUUUAGCUAAUAGCCUGGCAAUGGCUGGAAAAUAUGUUACUGAAGAUGAUUUAAUUUCUUAUAUUCUUGCAGGUUUAGGAACUAAAUACGACCCUGUGGUUGUAAAUAUUACAGCAAGAACAAAUGAUUUAUCUCUGCCUGAAGUAUCCUCUCUUUUGCUCAAUCAUGAAAGUCGAAUGGAACAACUCUCAGCUGCUGCAAAUCUUGAGUCUAAAGGCAGUUUUAAUGCAAAUUUUGCAGGAGCUUCUUUUCACAAAAGGAAAGUUAUAAGAAAAGGCUUUAUGUCAGGAAGUUUAUGAGGCAAUGAACGUGGUAGAGGCAAAGGAAGAACCAAUUUUAGCCGUGGUGGAAAUAGGCCAACCUGUCAGAUAUGUGGCAAAUAUGGACAUUCAGGAUAUCAAUGUUUCUUCCGCUUUGAUCGGGGGUUCUCUGCAAGACAAGAGGCAACACAAGCAGGUCAAGCCUCUGCCUAUAUGGCACUCCCUGCUGAAGAAAUAGAUAAUGGAUGGUAUUUGGACAGCGGAGCAACACACCAUGUUACAAAUGAUUUAAACAAUCUGCAGAUUAAGUUAGAAUUUAAGGGAGGUGAGAAGCUGGUAGUAGGUAAUGGUAAAACUUUAGCAAUAUCUCACAUUGGCAGUGCACUUAUUUAUAUUCCAAACCAUGAACCAUUGUUGCUUAAUGACAUUUUAUAUGUGCCCAAAAUCACCAAGAACUUAAUUAGCAUUUCAAAAUUACUUUCUGAUAAUAAACUAAUGCUUGAUUUCUGUGACAAUGUUUGUACUCUUAAGGACAAAGUUCUGGGGAAGAAGCUGCUGCAGCGAAAAAUUGAAAGAGGCUUAUAUCGGCUACCAGUGCUUUCAAGACAAGCCAUUCUAUCUGAUUCAAAAAUUAUUUCCAAUAAAUCUUAUUAGUCUUCUCUUCCAUUUAGCUGUUUCAAUUCUAGCUCAACAAUAAGUUCUGUAAAUGAACAAGAAUUUAUUUCCAAUUCCAAGCCUAGCAGUUUUAUAAAUCUUUUGCACAGAAGGAUGAGACAUCAUCAUCUUGCUGUACUAAAACAAAUUCUACCUUUGUGUAACAAAACAAGUCAGUUAAAUAAAAAUCUCAUUCCUCAAUUCUGUGAUGCAUGUCAACAAGGAAAAAGUCAUAGGCAAACUAUCAAAGCAUCAAAUAGUAGAGCUUCAGAACCUUUAGAAUUAUUGCAUCUUGACUUGUGGGGGCCUGCACCUUUAAUGUCUAGAAAUGGCUACAAAUAUUAUUUGAGUAUUGUAGAUGACAACACACGUUUUACAUGGAUAUUUCCACUUAAAGUUAAAUUACAAGCGUUUGAAGCUUUUAAGUAUUUCAAAGUUCAAGCCGAAAAACAAUUAGGAAAGAAAAUCAAAAGUUUACAAACUGACGGUGGAGGAGAGUUUCAAGCAUUUACAAUUUUUUAAAAGAACAGGGUAUUAUUCACUGACUUUCUUGCCCACACACGCAUCAUCAAAAUGGUAGAGUGGAGCGAAAACACCAACAAAUUGUAGACACUGGUUUAACACUUUUGGCAUAGGCUGGCAUGCCACUCACUUUUUGGUGGGAUGCUUUUCAAACAUCUGUUUAUUUAAUUAAUAGAAUGCCUACUUCCAUCUUAGAAAACAAAUCACCAUUUCAAAUACUUUAUGAUGAAGAAUAGGAAUCAAUAUUAUACUAGGAUUAGUUUCCUUAUUAACUAAAGUUUAAGACUUUUAAAUUCCUUUCUAAUUUAGAAUUUUGUUUCCCUUUCAAUUUAGGAUUUUGUUUUACUUCAUGAAUUAGGAUAAUUAUUACUACUAUAAAUAGCUCCCUCUUGUAGCCUUUAAAGGCAGAGAAUUUUGAGUUUAAUAAUAUUUCAAUUUUCAAAUCUCUUUGUGAGUAUUUGAACAGUUAAUUCUCGGUAUUCUGCGAAAUCAACGAGUCUUAAAUCCCUAAGUUCGCGGUAUUCUUUUGAAUCAACAUGAAUUUAGUUGUUCUUUUAUUCUGGUAUUCUCUAGAAUCAACGGAAUAUUUUGAAUAUUAAACUUCCACUGCAUCACUUUACAAGAAAAUACCUGAUUAUUCUUUUCUAAAAGUUUUUGGAUGUGCUGUAUUUCCUCAUCUUCGAGAUUACAACAAACAUAAAUUAGAUUUUUGAUCAGAUAAAUGUAUAUUUUUAGGCUAUAGUACAGCUCAUAACGGGUAUAAGUGUCUCCACAAGUCAGGAAAAAUUUUUGUAAUGCGACAUGUUGUCUUUAAUGAAUAUGAUUUUCCUUUUAAAAGUGAUCCCUCCUUCAAAAUCUCAAAGAGUUAUCCAAAUCAUGAUUCUAGUACUCUCUUUCAGUCUCCUAUGUUUGCAGGUUUUGAAAGUCCUAGAGCCUAUAAGACUCUCUCGGUUAUUCAUGCAACAGACUCUCUACUAGAGUUGGUUCAUAACACAAUAGUUAUAGAUCAGGCAUCAAGUCAAGAUGAGGAAACCAAUUUUGAAUCCAACACCAAAAGCCCACCUGGAAAAGCCAACCUUGAAUCAAGCACUGAAAUCCAAGCAACUGAAAACACCACACAAUCUUUAUCUAUCCCCGCGUUUAUCAAUCAAGAAGCCGAUCACACAAUCUCUCAACCACCUAGUUCAACUCCUCAUUCUCAACAGCCAACACAUACACAAUCCACUCAUCCAAUGAUCACUCGUGCCAAGGCCGGCAUCUUUAAACCCAAACCUAGACUUUACCUAACAACCUCUCAUACCAAAAUAAGUGUACAUGCCAGUGUUAGUGAAGCUUUGGAAGAUCACAAUUGGCGUAAUGCUAUGACAGAAGAAAUGAAUGCUUUGGCUAGGAAUAACACACGGUGUUUAGUUCAACCUACUUCUGACAUGAAGAUUGUGGGAAAUAAAUGGGUUUUUCGGAUAAAACAAAAGGCUGAUGGUUAGAUAGAGCGAUAUAAGGCUCGGUUGGUUGCAAAAGGAUUUCAUCAGACCCCAGGAAUCGAUUUCAACGAGACUUUUAGUCCUGUUGUUAAAGUUGCAACAAUUCGAUUGGUGUUAAGUAUUGCUGUGAUGAAAAAUUAGGGUGUAAUACAACUGGAUGUGAACAACGCCUUUUUAAAUGGAGACUUAGUAGAAGAUGUUUACAUGAUGCAGCCUGAAGGCUUUAUCAACAAAGCACAACCAAAUCAUGUGUGUAAAUUGAGAAAAGCAUUGUAUGGGCUUAAGCAGGCUCCAAGAGCUUGGUUUGAAAAACUCAAGAGAGCAUUGAGUGACUGGGGUUUCACAAAUUCUAAAUUAGACACAUCACUAUUUAUUUUGCAGCAAGGAAGGGAUAUAAUAUUUGUCCUUAUUUAUGUGGACGAUAUUUUAAUAACAGGAAGUAAAGAAAGUUUGGUGCAAGAAGUUAUUGAACGACUUAAUUGUCAGUUUGCUUUAAAAGUGCUCGGACCAUUAAGCUAUUUCCUUGGUCUUGAAGCUCAUCGCACAGAGAAUGGCCUACAUCUUAGCCAACACAAAUAUAUUUGUGAUCUCUUGAAGCGCACAGAUAUGGAUGGCUGCAAGGAAACAUCUACUCCUAUGAGUGUAGUACCGAAACUUUCAGCUGAAGGUGGUAAGCAAUUUUCUGAUCCUACACUUUAUCGUAGCAUCGUUGGAGCCUUAUUAUACGUAACUAUUACUCGGCCUGAAAUUUCUUAUGCUGUUCAUCGUUUAAGUCAGUAUAUGCAAAAUCCUUUACAGCCGCAUUGGCUUGGGUGUAAAAGAAUCCUUAGAUAUUUACAAGGAACAGCUGAUUAUGGAAUUUAUUAUACUACCAAAGGAAGAAUGACGCUCACAGGCUAUACAGAUGCAGAUUGGGCAAACAAUAUUGAUGAUAGAAAAUCAACUGGAGGCUACUGUAUUUAUCUUGGCAAUAACUUAAUCUCAUGGAGUUCAAAGAAACAAAAUGCAGUAGCAAGGUCUUCAACUGAGUCAGAGUAUCAAGCACUUGCAAAUACCACAGCAGAAAUUUUAUGGCUUCAAUCUGUGCUUAAAGAGUUGCAGGUGCCACUAACUGAAAUUCCAAUUAUUUGGUGUGACAACACUGAAGCUGCUUCACUUGCUGCCAAUCCAGUUCAUCAUUCAAGAACAAAACAUAUAGAGAUUGAUGUUCACUUUGUGAGAGAUAUAAUUUCCAAAGGUGGAGUGGAAGUGAGAUAUGUCCCUACUGAAUAUCAGCCUGCAGACAUCUUCACAAAAGCUCUUCCUGGUGAUAGGUUUCAACAGUUGCGAGACAAGCUACAUAUUCUUCCCAGAACAUUGCGCUUGAGGGGGCAUCAUGAAAAUAUUGUAGUAGAGCUACCAAACUUGAGUAAUACGAAUUCAAAGUUGUUAGAUGACAUGGCAGUACACUUGGUAUUCAUUGGUGUUUUGGAAAGUUAAAGUGAUCAACCUUAUCUCUUAGCUUAUCAUUAAUUCAAGCUGCACUUUUGUAUUUAUCAAGAUCAAGAUAAAGAUUACAAUUGUGCUAGGCUUGAUCUUAUUCUUGGCAUUAUCGUGUUUCCUGUAGAGCACUAUAAAUGUAAUGAUUAUGAGAUGAAUAAAAUAACGAAAAGGUGUUUUGUUUCUUCUUUAAGCUCAUCUUUAUAAUUUAAGUAAAGGGACUUUUGCAUAGCCUCUGGUGUGUGUGUGAUUUCUCUUUCGUUUCCUCAUCAAAUUCUGUAAUUCUUGCUUCGAUAAAAAGCUUUUAAUCUCUUCUGUAGUGUGUGAUCAGUGCGUAAUCAUUUUGAGCAAUAACAGCUUGUGGGUUUUUCCUUCAAACAGUGUCGUUUUGGUCAGUUUGUUAGUUUCUGUGUUCGUCUGAUUCCAUUGCUCUUGUUCUCUGUUCUUGAUCUGUUCGUGGAAUUUUUCUUUGGUUAUUUGUUCUCAAAUUUCAACUGUAUAUAAAGUUUGAACUCUGAUUGCUUAUAAUGUAUUGAUUAAGAAUAAUCCUAAGAGUUCCCGAUUGAAAUUUUUAAUGACUAUUUUUAUUGUUUUGGAUAUACAAAUUGAAUUAAGAAAAAAUAUUGUCAAAUUCAGAGGAUAAGGGGAAAUAAUUAUGCUUCAAAAGGCCAGAGAUUAGAGAAUAAAGAAGCAUUCAUUACUCUAUCAAAAAAAAAAAAAAAAAAAAAGCAUUCAUUACUGAUAUACAAACUGCUUUUAUUUGGAUUUUGGAAGGGGUGAAGUUUUGAACUUCAGUUGUUCCUCUAAAAUCAAAAGCAGCAAUUAAGCGUUCUCAAUUAGAAAGAGCUAAGAAGACUUAUUGGUACCUUACUGAAGCUAACAUUAUGGCACAGUUGUUCAUAUAUAAUGGCUGCUCUGUUAUGCUAGCUUCUCUGUUUUUGCUUCUAUUUUUGCUUACAGUUUUGAACAUAAAUUCUUGCUCAAAUAACCCAUAAUUAAAUAACACUAAUAUGGCUCGUGAAAUCCCAUAAUAGCUAAUUACGCAACUUUCUCCUCCUCCUCAAUUCUGUCUUCCCCUGCUCGUACACUAAAUUCAAAAUUCAAUGCCCCGAAAAACAACACAAGAAAUCUUUGAGUUAAUUCGCGACCAGUUUAUAUAUAGUAGCAAUUGAAAAAGGAAAAAGAAUAAAAGAGUUCAUUAUUAUUCAGACCUUCACUUAUUAGGAAGUUUGUUCUGCUGUUGGGUGAGAUCAAGCUCUCAGCAUAUACUUCCACAUUAUACUUUCUAACAUUUUCUUGAAAGCCAUCAAUCAUAAAAUCUUCAUACUUUUUUCCAUCCUUUGGAUCAAUAAGUACAAAUUUCUCAUCUAAAACAGACAAAAUAAAAUCACUGUCCUUCAUGGAACAUAAUGGCUGCAAUGCCUGAACUGAAUUGGCUAAUGAAAUUUGAGUCCAGGAUUCUCUCAGCCCAUAUUCUUUCAUAAUCCAAAAUUCUUUUCUUUCUCGACAUGGAACAUAGUCUUCUUUUCUUUCUGGACAUAUGUCUCUGUACUUUUCUCUCUCUACUGAUCCACACUUUUUCAUACUUCUAACUAUCAUUUUGUUUUUUUUUUGUUAAGUUGUGAUUUAUUCAAUUAUUUUGUAUUUUUAAUGAAAAUUAUUUAAUAUUUAGUUAGUUUUGAUAUUGAUUAGUGAUUGAAAGUGUAUUUUAGAAGACUUCCGGUCUCUUGGAAAAAGGAAAAAUGGAGACGAAGAAGAAGUGUUCUUGAUUUUUUUGUAGGCAUUAAAGUUAAACGGUUUGAAAUGAUAUUUUGUUUUAAUUUCACUCAUUAAUCUCAUUCAGGAUAAAAUUAUAAAUGCAAAUAAAUGGGGUUUCAUGAGUUUUUUUUAAUAGUGUUAAAAGGUCUACUCACUAAAUAAAUAUGUUUAACCCAAACCAAUGCGAUUAGUAAGUUAUUGGGUUGGGUUGAUCAGGUUAAAAAUUAAAAUUAAAAAUUAAAUAAUUAAAAAAGGCAUAAAAACUAUCUGUUACUUGAAAAUAAAAAGAAUUUCUAAUAGUUAGUUCUAAUGUCCCAUAUCCAAAACAUCCAUAUUAAAUAAAUAUUAUAAGUUAGAAAUACAAUAUCCAAGAAAGAAUGAAUGAAAUACCAUAUUUUUGUUGAGAAUUAAGAGUGUGAUUUUAAUUUUGAUAUUGGAGUCUAAAGUGCCACGUUUAAAUAAUCUCUUUUAUAAAAUAAUAAAAAGAGAUUAAAAAUUAGGUUAGCCAUUUAGGCAUUCAGGGUUUAGCAAUUAAGGAUGAACAUAUUAUUGUUGUUGUUUUUUGUUGUUGUUGUUGUUGUUGUUGUUGUUAUUAUUAUUAUUUAUAUGUUUACUAAUCCAAUUUACGUAUAAGUACAAAAGUUUCAAAUAUUGUCUAUUAUUUUUUUAACAUGCCUAUUCCUUGUGGAUAAUUCUGUCUCAUCACUAAUGUUGUUUCUUGCUUACAAUUUGUAUAGCGUCUCAAAAUAGACAAUAGGGGGAUUUUGAAUUUUUUAAGUCUCAAUAUAGUCUCUUAUCUUGUGAGACAGAUUUUCUUUCAAUAAUUUGGAGGUAAACAUAACAUAACUUUUUGGACUAAAGCCUAGCUCUGCUAAUUAGUAAUUGGUGGUAUCCUUUUCAAGACCUGAGUCUUUAAAUUCGAGUUUUAUAUAGUGCGCAUGUGUAUUUAAUUAAUAUUUUUUUAAAAAAAUUACAUCAAAUACUAAUAUUCAUGACAUAAUUUAGUUCAUAAUGUUUUUUUAAAUACAUCGAAAAUAUAAUUUUUUAACAACUUAUAGGCAUGACAAAUUUCAAGAUAUAAAUAUCAGUCAAAAUAAGUGAAAGAAAUAAUGGUGCCAAUUCUAAUUUCUUAACUAAAUUAAUUACUGCAUGAGCCCCCAAUACGGCACGAGAGUUUGAUGGGCUAACUUGGCACAAGAACAAUAGUUAAUUGAUUUAAGAAAUAAUUCAAUGAAAAAUAUAAUUGAUAAGAAUUUAGUAUUGAAAUGAGUUUUUUUCGAAACACUGAAUUAAUGAUUAUUAAGCAAGAACAAUAAAAAAAAUAAAAUAAAAAAUAAAGAUUAACCAUUGAUAAGCUUCAACAAGAACUUAACACAACCCUCAAUCCUAAUUCAAAUUAUAAAUGUCAUUCAUAUAUUCAUUAUAAAUCAAUAACAAAGGUUAUAAAUGUUUAGAAAUUCUAGAGGGAAGGAAGCUAUCGCCGGGCAAUCAACAACUAAAUUUGAUGUAAUUGUGGCACAAGAUGGAAUAUGAAAACUACACCAUAAUUUCAAAUGCCGCCAUAGACAUUGACUUAUCUACAGUAACAAUGAUCUAAUUAAAAUUAAAAUAAAGUUUAUGGGCAUUUAUUAUAUUUGCCAUUCCUCAUUUGCAAAUAGGGAUAUAAUUAUAAUUUUACUUAGUCAAAGCAAUCAGUAAUUUUUAGGGGUGUUCAAAAUUCAAUCCGAUCCGCUCAAUCCGUCUGAUCCGUAGAAAUCCGAUCCGUAAAAAUCUGAUCUGUGGAUUGGUAGAUUGGAUUGAAUUGAAAAUUUGAUAAUCCGCAAUCGGUGGAUUGGGUAUGGAUCUACUUCUGUAAAUUCGUAAAAAUCCGUGAAUCGGCAAAAAAUAAAAAGUAUUUAUUUAUUAAAAAAUAAAACUUGUAAAUAUGGCAAUAGUACUUACUAGUAAAUAAAUAAGUUAAAAUAUAGUUACAUUAACACUAUAUUAUAUCUUAUCCGAUAAUAAUAAAAAAUAAAAAAUAAUUAAAUAAACAAAUAUAACUUUCUAAAUAGUUAAUUUUCAUGUACUGAUCUAAACGAAUGAGAUUUUUUUUUUUUCAUUUUGGUGUGUUAUGUUUUGAACUUUAAAUGUAAUUUUUAGUUUUAUUUAAACAAGUAAUUUAUUUAAAUCUUAUUUAAUUUUAAAUUUGAUCGGCAAUAAAAUUAUUUAUAUUAAUUUUUUUUUAUUUAGUUAGUUCGUAGAUUGGACAGUAUUAAAAAUUUUCAGUCCGUAAACCAAUUCGCAAAAUGGUGGAUUGGAUAUGGAUUGGGUCAAAUCCGCAUCCAAUCCGCAGAUGUAUGAAUUGAAUUUCACCAAUCCAUGAAUUGGAUUGGAUUAAAAAUUUAUAAUCCGCAAAAUCGUGGAUCAGAUAUGGAUUGAGGUCCAAUCCGUAAAAUUUGAUCCGGAAACACCCCUAGUAAUUUUCUUCAUUAUAGGAGUGAAGUAAAAACAUUUAGAUUUUAAUGUAUGUACGGAAAAAUUUAUCUUUAAAAAUACUUUCUUAAUGUGUGUAUAUAUAUUGAAAUACUCAAACCAAUUUUGGUUAUUAUAUAAUUAAACAAAUUUUAAAAUAUGAAAAAUAUAAUGUAGUUAUAGUGGAUAAACAAUAAGUGAGCGCAAUAUAAUUAAUCAAAUAUCAUGCCAUCAAAAGUUAAUUUUAGAAAUUCCAAAUCCAACAGCCAACACAAUUCUUUUAAAAAAAAGCUGACACAAUUAAUAAAAUUAGUGACAUGAAUUUCACACCAUUGAUAAUAAGCAAUUAGUAUUACUUUCUAAACUUGCUUCAACUGGUCGUUGAUGUCCGGGGUCACCAAAAGUAUAAGCAAUAAUAAGGGGCAUUGGGCAAGAGUGAUGAAUGUUUAGUCGGUGCAUUUGAUUGCUAGAUAUAUAAAGGGCCGAAACUUGAGAUUAUAUUACUUUUACAAAUUUUAAUCCAAUCACAUAUUUAAUGAAAACAAAAUGAGUUAGGAUACUUUAUUUAGAACCCACAUUUUAAUAAGGCUUCAUUUGAUGUAGUUUUUUAAACAGUGAUUAUUUAAGUAAAUUUUCCUCAAUAGAGUUUUUAUCAAACAAAUUUAUUUAUUUAGUUGUCGAUAAGAGUUUUUAUUAAAAAUUAUAAAAUUAUUUAAAUAAACAUGUUUUUUAAAAUUACAUUAUAAAAAUAAUUAAAUAAAAUUAUAAAAGUAAAAUAUAUUUUAGAUAUUUUAAUAUUUAAGAAAAAUUUUCAAUCUCUACUUUCAAAAGCUCAAAUUUUUAGCUUUUAGUUGUAGAGACAAAAUAUUUUAUUUAAUCUUUAAAAGUUAUGCUAAAAACAAUCAAAUAACUACAAAAAUUUUAAUAAGAGUAUAUAAAAUUAAAUGGUAAUUUUUAAAAACCUCCCCUGAGGUUUGGGCUUGUUGCAAGUAGAUGGCGAGAAUCCAUUUAUUUGUAACAAACCCCCUACCGUCAGUUAAUUUUUGCAUUAACCGUUAGUUGACUGUGCAAAGACAAUAUUGUCCCUAAUGACAGUUUGUAGACUGACAUAGCUAAAAAAAAUGCUGAGAUUGUCGGCACGAAAAUCACAAAUAAUUUUUUUUUGACAAUUUUGUCCUUGUUAAUUCCAAGAUUUACAAUGUCAUAAGUAAGGAUUAUGACUAUUUUACCCUCUUAAAAUUAUUGAUAAUUCCUUAAAAUUUCUACAAAAAAGAUAAAAUUAAAAACUUGAAGAAAAAUAAAGUUCUCAAGCCGGCUAACCAAACACAUAGAAUAAAAAAUCCAUCGUUUGACAACAAAAACAACUUUCCAUAAACCCAAACAAAAAUAAACAAGUCCCCAUUACUCUAAUUGGCUUUGCUUGGAGCUGUUACUAUUGUGCAUACAUUUCUAGGCAAAGCAAAAUGACCCCAUGAUAUAAACCUUAUAAAACAUGCCUCCACUAUUCUUAAUUUUGGUAUAAUAAUAAUAAUAAUCACAAAAAAUUAAUUGAAAACUUGACUAAUUAUCUUUGGUGGAGAAUUUUAAACCGAAACCGAUUCAGGAACCUUAAAUUGAUCAAAAGGAAGCUAAUAAUGACAAAAAAGUAACCGAUCAAAAAUCAUUAAGCAUAAAAAAAUAUUGAAUUUAAAUAACUAAAAAUGCCAUCGGAAAUUGAAAUUAAUUAUUUAACAUAUAGCAUGAAAACAAAUCUUCACUAUUGGUGCUAGGCGGCUGUCGUUUAGCUUGGUUCUAAGAGGUGGCAGUCAGUCAACUUCGAGACGGUGCGUUCGAAGUCAACUAAGCUGCAGCAGAGGUUGCAGGGGGCAGAUUGCAGCGAAGUCGCGGUGGAGCAGAGGUCGCGUCGCGGUGGAGAAGAGGUCGCGUUGCGCUGGCUUGGCUUCACGGUGGUGGGAUGGCUGGGCGGGCUGGCCAGCUGUGUGCGCAUUGUAUAUGAUUGUUUUUCACUUUUUUAAUAUUUUCUUGUGCAUUAGUUCAGAUUAGAUUAGUGAGUUUGUGUGUGUGUUUGCAGUUGAUUUGGUUAAGAUAUUUAGGUUAAAAUAAUUUUUUUUAAUAAAUUUUUUUUUUCAAAAUGUCAACAAUGCCCACAACUACCCAAAUGGCAACUAAGCAGAGUAAAAACGUAGGGGUUUUUUUUUAUAAAUAAAUAGAUUCUCGUCAUCUAUUUGCAACAAACUCAAAUCUCGGGGGAGGUUUUUAAAAAUUACCCUAAAAUUAAAUAAGCAUUUAUUAAUAAUCACUUUGGUAUACUUAUCUAAUGACCAUAAGUGUUUAUUUAAUCUCAUAAGUUCUUAUUUAAUCUCAUGAGCUCUUUUCAAUUUUUUUUGUUGUUUGUUUUUUAGUAGAGUUUUUGAAAAUUAAAUAAACUAUUUUGUCUCUACUAGAAAAAACUCAAAUUUUAGAUUUUUGUGAGUAAAUGUUUAAUUUUUUAAAAAAAUAUUAAAAUAUCUAAGAUAUCUUUCCUUUAUUUCAUAAUCUUAUUUCAUUUUUUCAUAACAUAACUUUCAAUAACUUACCUAUUAAAAUAAUUUCACAAUUUCUAAUAAAAACUCUAAUUGACAAUUAACAAUUUUUUUUUGUUUGUAAAAACUCUAUUUAUAAAAAAUCUAAUAAAAAUUCUAUUUAAAUAAAUUAUAUUUGAAAAGGUGUACUAAACCAACCUAAGAUAAAAACAAAAAUUUUUACAUCCAGACAAUUAAGCUUAAAACAAUUUCAAAUGAAUUUUAGACUAAUCAAAGUACAAUACGUACCAAGUUUGGUAACUUAUUGACAUCUUCUCAUAUAACCUUCGAUCAAGUCGAUUCUCACCUGACGACUAAUUGGUACAUCACCGUUGUUCUCUAUACUCGCAUGCAUCCGAUCACAAAUCUCACUCCAAUUGUCGUCUUUCUUCGGCGUUUUAGCACAUCCUUCUUGAAUUUCCCGCAUUUCGUUCCCUCCUGUUACAAGUCUCCGGUCAGGUCAGUUCUCUUGACGAUUAAUUCGGCAAAUCUCGAAUCUCUUCUCGCGUCGUUUCACUUCAAUUUUUUGUGUCUCCUUUCAGUUUUAGUGAUUGAAUCAAUUUUAUUGCAGUCUGAGAGAAAUUAAGUAAUGCUCUUGGAUUUAAAUUUUUUUUGCUUUCGACUUUAGAUCUCGAAAGUCAAACUCUGCUACGAAUCCUUAGAUUCUCAAUGUUUAUAAUCUUAUUUGUGUUUGACCAGGUAACUGGAUCGUGAAAUUCGUCGUUUUGUAUCAAUUCAAGCUUUCGCGAGCUCAUGGAAUCACCUGGUGAGUUGUGGUGAAACGUUAUCGUUUCAAUUUUCGCUUAAUUCUUUAUUGCAUAUUUUUUCUCUAACAUUUCAGUUUAAUUUAGAAAAGAAAGAGGACCCAAAAAGAGAGAGAGAGAGAGAGACUCUACCAUACUCAAUUCCUUGCUCAUUCUGAUUUGGCCUGAAUGUUGGCAUUGACUAUUAUUUGUUUUCAUUUCGAUUUAAUUCUCAUUUAGACAGUCUUUACUAACGGUCAAUAAUAGUUUAAGGAAAAUGAUAAUAGGGAUUCUGCAAUAAUCUUUUUAAGGAAAAUGAUAAUAGGGAUUCUGCAAUAAUCUUUUUAAGGGAUGUAUAACUUAUUAAUCAGAGUCCUGUUAUUAUGGUUUGACACUACUGACAUAUUGUGUUGGUAUUUAUUUGUACUUCCCUUGGUUGAAUUAUUUGCUGUCCCCAUGCCAUUCGAUAUGGUGCUACUUGGUUUUUGAUCAUCCAUGACGCUAUAUAUAUGUAAAGGAUGAAUUGAUUGUUUUGGCUUGUAUUCUCACAUUUUAUGAUUGAUCGAUGGAAAGGUCUUCAUGUAUUAAAUUCAACCUCACAAGCGUAAGAUUGACAGAUUCUGGGCAAAUUUUCAGGAAAAGAAACUAGACUUCAUGGAAGCAAUGAAGCUUGAAAUUGAACGUCUGCAGCUGAAAGGGAUAGAGCUUUAUUGUCAAUUGGAACUGAUCCUGCCUCUAUAAAUCCAAAUGUAUUGCUUGAUGAAUCUUACAUGGGAAGACUGUCGAGUAGCAACCACUCUUGCAUUACUUGGCCAAACUUCCCUAGAAGACAAAAUUGUUGGUGCAAUGGCCUUGAGAAUAGUGAUGAUAGUGUUUUAGACUUCUGGAAUAUUACUAGAAUCGGAGAGAGUUGUUCUGGUGGCGCGUGCAAGGUUCGUGCAGAAACUAAGGUGCCUGCUCUUGCUUCCUCAACUGCAGCAUCUGUUGGAGCUUCACAAUCCCCUUUGUUGUGUUCUCUGUUGUGUUCUCUGUUGUGUUCUCAAUGUGAAAGAAAAGUUUGCAAAGUUUGUUGUGCAGGAAGAGGAGCUCUACUGUUUUCAAAUUAUAAAUCAAGGGAUGUGACCAACUACAAUGGCUUCUCAAGUCAGAGUGGAUCAAGCCAUGGAAGCCAAGUUGAUGUAUCUACCAGUCGUUCACUAACACUGGAUGGCGUUAUCUGUAAACACUGCUGCCAUGAGAUUGUGCUUGAUACAAGUUCACAACACCAUUACAAAGGAUUCAAAAUUCCCACACGAAAACAUCAAUGUACAGAUUAUAAACAAUCCGAAUUGGACACAAGAAAAACCCUUCAAUGGAUUGCUUGCCUUCCCAAUGCUAUAUACUGUGCAAACUGCGCACUGUCCAAGAAAAUGUUUUCAAUUUAGUGUAUUUUCAAAAUGCUUAUUUUCUCAGAAUAUAUAAAAAAAAAAAAAGAAUUCUUACAUGUUUCAUCAGCAUGAUUAAAAUCAAAGAAGAAAGCGAGACAUAAUGUCUCUGACAUAAUAAAAUUACAAAAAUUUAAAAAAAAAAAAGUUAAAACAUGUAAUCUUCAUAAGCAUAUAAUAAAAUAACACUUCCACAAAUUACUACAAUUUCAUGCAGUAGAGAUUGAAGAGUUGAAUUCCACUUAUAGACACCGACCUCUUAUUUUGUCUAAUGUUAACAAUGAAAAUAACAACAGUAAUGAAAACAACAACAGAAUACAACAACAGAAAACAACAAUCCGCUCUGCAAAUUCUCUUGGGACUUGGUUCCAAUUCCUCUUCAUCCGAAGUUCCACUCGAAUCAAAUUCACUUGCAGCAGUUCCACUCGCGCUUGGCAAAUCAUCCAAUUUCCAAACUUCGGUAGCAAAAUUGAGAGUAAAAGUGUUGGCUUUGGUCUCGCUGGGAUUUGCAUAUACUGGACAUACUCCGUAACGUUUUACCUUGUGACCCUUUUGGUUUUGGUAACAAUUAUUGAAGAACUUAAGUGAGACAGUUGUAUGAUGGUAACCAUCAGGAAAGCCAACAUUCAAGCAAGGUUUAAAACCAAGUAUGACAUGAUCUGAAUCAAGGGAGUAUUUAUUUCUAACACUUGUGGUUGCGGGCCCACUGAAACCUAGAUCAACAUGUUUGGUUUCAGAGAGAGUCUUUAUUUCUAAGUCGAGUUGAGAGCGGCCGAAAACAUUGCAGCAAUAACAAGAACCAACUUUCUUAAAAUUAAGAACCGCACAAAAAGCAAACCCGAUUAAGUUUCUGCAAGAAGAGUGCGGUGGCAGUUGAAUACCUAUCGAAGAUCCUGAACUUUGAUUGUUGAACCAGUCAGGAAUUUCGCUCCCAGGUAAAACAAUUAGGGAUGUCCUGAGUUCAGAAAGUUUCUGUGAAAUGACAUUUAAAAAAAGAAAAUUGUAAAAUGAAAACCAUGAUUUCAGAUAUAACAAAGAGGGACAGAGUAAACAAGAGAGGGAACUUGAUGCGUUCUAAAUGUUCCAUUUUCUCCAAGAUUUCUGGGAAACGCUCAAGGUUCAAGCAGCCAUGAAGAAAAAGCUCAACCAAAGAUUUCAAUUUACAAAACCUAGUUGAAAUCCUCUUCAGCCGUUCGCAAUCCCUCAAAUCCAACUUUUCAAGAUCAGUUAGGCACUCUAUUGAUGAUGGAACUUCUUCUAUUGCAGACUGGCUUAAGUAUAGCCGUGUAAUUUUCCCAGAAAUCUGUGGAAACUCUACGAGAUUAACACAAUAGGAGAAAUUAAUAGUUACUGGACAAACAAAAUGAAGAUUGCUUGGAAAAGACCUAAGACUUUUGCAGCCCACAAAAUCCAACCUACUGAGAUACUUGAAAUUCUGGAUAGAUGAGGGAACACAAGCCAUUUCUCCUUCCCAAAUUUGCUCAACUUUACUAAAACGCAAAUUCAGUCCAACAAGGUUCUUUGGCUUGAAAUUUGAUGGCAGUGUCCUUAAUGGAUAUGUGUCCCAAUGAAGAUAUCUCAAUUUUUUAGGAAGAUAAUCUAGGCCAUUUGGAAGCUGCACUUUAGAGUACGAAAGUUGCUCUUCAAUGCUCAUACUUAGAAGCUUUUCAAUCUCAUACUUAGGUACAUAAAAUUUGAGCAAUCUCAGAUUAGACAUAUUUGUGAAGGCUCCGGGGUCUAAAUUGAUGCCUUUUAUUUUGGACAAAUCCAAAAAUAUGCCUUCAAUUGCAUCGGUCCCCUUAUUAAAAAAAAAAAAAAAACAAAGAAUGGGUAAGCCUAAAACAGAAAAGAAACAUUCGUAAACUUUAUUAACUAAGAGCUCCUAAAACAAAACAAAUUCUACGAUCUUUGAUCUUAUUUUUUUAAUAUAUUAAAUAUCUAUAUGCGAGAAAAGAAAAUUUUGGGAACCAUUGCAAAAUUAAACUAACCGAAAAAAAAAAUCAAAAUUUCUCUAAUUUACAAACCUGUUAUCUUACUAUCUAGAAGUUGAGAAGACAGGGCCUAUUUGAUUGGUAUAAGAUUUCGAUUUUUUUUUUAGUCCAUAGAAUCCAAAAUGUUAGUUCAAAAUUAGGGAAAAAAAUGAAAGUUAUUUUUUUUCCACUAGUUGUAAUUGUAUCCAAGUCAAAUUGAGAUAUGACCCUUUUCGAAAGGAUUUAAUCAUCUUAUAGCCUCCUUAAAGGAGUGAUUGGAGGCCUAACUAGGUAGGCCAAUCAGUCCAUUUUAUUAGCGACUAUUGCUUAAAAACAUUUAUACUCUAAAACACACUUACUUUUUUGAAAAAAAAAUAUAAUUAUAUUGAAGUAGAACCAGGUGGGCCAAUCCUCAUGGCACUCACUUUGUUCUGACACUCUUCACUAAAUUUGAAAAAAAAUAAAAUUAUACUCUUCACACUCUUAUUCAACAUUCCAAAAUUGAUAAAAUCUGGAGUUUUCAUUAAAAAUUUAAAAUUUGAAGACUUGUUCUCUUGACACCCUCAGUCAUUAAUUUUACCUAAUUAUGGUUUUUAUGAUUUUGGUUGUUUUGUUCAUAAAAAUGAUUUUACUAAAGGAUGUUCUGGUAAUAAUAAAAUUUAUAAAAAAAAACAUGGUUGUGCUGGUAUGAUUGGAAAAAUAUGAGUGCAUAACUCCAAACAAAUAAAAGAUAUAUAAAAAAAAAUGGAGGAUUCUUACCAUAUUAUGCUUUAGUACGCGGCGGAUUUCCUUAGGAUCCCACAACCUCUUGCGUUUGCCUGGCUCUUUCUCAGAUUCUUGGCGUCGCCCCAUUUCUUGCAAUAUAUCAUGCAUUUGCAAGCGGUUAUAUGACACUGUUAUGAGUGACUUAUCAACAAGGACAUCCAGUCCAACAGACUCAGAAUCAUCAAGAAUCCUUGCCACAAAAUCUUUAUCCUCUCCCUCAAAGAAACACGCAAUAUCUAGAAAUAUGCUCUGCACCCUGGGCGUUAAUUCAUCAAAACUAAUCUUUAAUUUCUUAUAAAUAGCAUGAAUAUCAGAUUCACAAAUCCGAUUUAAGUCGUGCAAUACUUUUCCCCAAUGGCUUUUCCCCUUGAGGGAGGAACCCAACACUUUAAGAACUAAUGGAUUGCCAUCAGCAUACUUUACAACUCUCCGUGAGUCAGGUUUGAAAUCUUCAGGACAAUGCUUUUCUUUAAAAGCGAAGUUACAAAAAUGCUCGAAAGCCUCAUGAAAAUCCAUUCCAUUAACCCUAUAUAUUUUCUUCUCCUCCACUCCAAAUUUUUCGAGGACUCCUUUAUCCCUAGUGGUUACAACAAUUCUACUUCCUGGAACAAAUUGAUCAAGCUCUCCAAUCAGACCCUCUAAUUGUCCAACUUCAUUCACAUCAUCGAGUACUAUCAACACCUUCAUACGCCGGACCCUCUCUUUAGUAAAAUGUGGAAUAUUGGCACCAGCUACUUCAAGUUUUUCGCUUAAUAUUGUUGAAAGCAUUUCCUUUUGUAGGUCUUCUAGGCCACCCUCUGUUUCUGAUUUUCUCCUAACAUUUUUUGCAAAGUAUUUACCAUCAAACUCACCAGAGAAUUGAUUGAAAAUAGCUUCAGCAAGGGUGGUUUUGCCGAUACCACCCAUGCCCCAAAUUCCAACAAUUUGGACAGUAUCCGACAAAUCCAUACACAAAAAUGGUUUAAUCUGCUCAAUUCGUGAAUUUAAUCCAACUAGGCCGUUGGAUGAGUCCGUUGAGACUGUUAUUUUUUCCAACUUCUUCAAAACAUCUUCGACAAUUUUGUUUACAAGUUCCGCAUCGUGCCUAAUAUAAAGGUGCAAAGAUGCAAAAACAUUGAGUCAAAUCGGGCCAACACAGAAACAGAGAUAAGAUGAAUUAGGAAAGAGAGUUACCUGAAUUUCGUGGAUUCGUGGCCAGCAAGACCGGAUGUUUCUCUCAGUGCAUCCCUCCACCUCUGAACCAUUUCUGGCUUCUCUUUGAACUGUUGUUCGAGCUUACCAAAGCCGACCCCAAAAAUCCCAGUUUGAUGCCGCACAUCGGACGGACUUACGCCAUAGAAAACCGGAAUAAUGAUUUGGCCGUUUGUGUGCUUGCAUUCAAGAAUCUCGACAAGUUCAUACAGGCACCAUUUUGAAGAAGCGUAGUCCGUUGAGAAAAUGACCACCGAAAUUUUUGAACCUUGGAUUGCGUUCAAAAGGGCAGGUGAAAUCUCAUCUCCGCGCCUAAGCUCUUCAUCAUCAAUAAAUGUUCUGAUUUUCUUUCUUUUAGACAAAGCAUCAUAGAGAUGGCAAGUAAAGAUCGCACGAGUGUCCUCCCCUCUAAAAUUGAGGAAGACUUCAUAAAUGCAAGGAGAAGAAGCCAUGAAGGAAAUAUUAGAAAUUUGGUGACAGAAACAGAGAAUUAAUCUUGAGAGCUGAGAGAGGAGAUGUAAGAAUGAACAUGUGUGAAUAUUCUUGCGAGUACAUAGUAAAUAAUUGAAUGGCUCGAGCUUUCUUAGUUUCCUGGAAAUUUCCUGGAGCUUUCGUAUACAUGAUUUGUCAAGUCAAGAAACAUAGUCAUGAUAAUGGGGCAGACCAGGAAGAAAAGGAAAUUGGAAUUUUGUACAAUUUCUCCAGCGAGGAACUUUCACUGUCAUUACCUCACCGUUACAGUUUGGAUUAGGGUAAUUUUUACCCCGCACCCAAAUGUUUUGACAUACAGCACAACGCACCCAAUUCUUUUGCCCAUGAGCACCGCGCACCCAUUUCCGUUUAUUUUUCAGUUAACUGUAACAGAUCAGGGUAAAAUUGGAAUAACGCAUCAAAAUUUAAAAAUAAAAAAAUAGGUAAACUCGAUGUUUGCGCCAAAAUAAUUUCACAUCACUGUGCUUAUGUUCACUGCGUUUGCGUGUGAGACCAAGAAGCAUGGCCACACCUCCAUUGAUGCCAAAAUCGAGGAGGUGGGUGAAGAAGAAUUGGCGCCAAAAUCAUUCACAUAUGAUGUGCAAGGAAAUUAUUUCAGCCUUUAAAUACUUUUUUAUUACAGCAGCAUCAGCUAUUGCUCUGUUUCGAAGAUCUGCUCAAUUUCUAAGACAAUAGUUGGUUUGAGAGUUUAAGGGAAGUGAAUCCACUGAGCGUGCUAUUGAAGAAGUGGAGGUCAGUUUCAUUUCUUGCUCAAUUGUUUUAAUUUAUUCCAUUUUGUUUGCAUGUCAAUUAUUUACACAUUUUUAGCUGGAUUUUGCUUAUCUAUAAAACUUGAAUCAUUGUUAAUCAAAUCAGCUAUAAUUUACGCCUCAAUGUGGUUUGUAAGUUUAAGUUAUGUUGGAUUAUACCUGAAUAAUGUGGUGUUUGCGUUAUUGAUUUCAAUUUCUAUUGAUGAUUUUGAGUAUACAUAUUAGUGGAUGAAAGUUUUUAAUUAGGAUGAUUGGUCACGCAUAUAUGUCAUAGCAACUGUGUUUUUUUGGGUUAUGGUUGUACUGUAGAUCAGUAGUAGUAGUGAUUUGGAUAUAAACGCUAGUGCUUUUAUUGUAAAUGAUAGUGAUGAAGAUCCAGUGUUACAGAAUUUGAUGUAAAAGUUAUUGGUUUUUGGCUAAAUAUCUUAGAUAAAUAUGAUGCUCAUGCAAUCAAAUCCAAUGCUUAUGCAAUUUACACCAUGUUUAUGAUAAGUAAUUAAAAAAAUAAAUGACUAUUCCAGGUGAAAAUGGAUGAUGAUGAUAUUACAACUGUUCUUUGUACAUUCAAGGGCAAGACAUAUAAUGUUGGUGUAAUUGAUCCAGAUAAGUUUAGUAGAGUUUCUGUAAUUAACAAGGUUUUAGUUAGAGUCUAUGGAAGAAAGAUGAGGCCUGAUGAGAAGUUUACACUAAGUGUUUGGGUACCAUGGGUCUAUAAGGAAGUAGAGAUUAUGUCUGAUCAUGACUUAAUAUUCCAGCUGAGAGAGCAUAAUAAGAUGUUGUUCUACUGCAUGCAAUUGUAUAUUGAAGAAAUCCAUGUACCUCAUGAGUUUGUACCUAGAAGGGCUUUGUUUCAGCACUCAGCAGAAGAAAGCUUACAAGGGUAUGCUGAAACAAACUUUCCAGCCACUACUGACCUGCACAAACCUUAUACACAUGCUACAUCCACCAACACAAAUCCUUAUGAAAAUGACAGUAAUGACCAUUCGAACCAUGAACCCCCUGUCAAGAACUCCAGCAGCAUAAUGAUGCAUAAUGUUGCACUUGAUAGCAUCCAAUCACAGACCAAACCAGAUACCAACCCUGACCUAUAUCAAGACUUUUUGGAUACCUAUUUCAGAUCAUCACCACAACAGAAAACACCAUCAGCUGCCCAAACUAAUGCCGAAAAUAGUGAUAGUGAUAACACAUCUUCAUUUGGUACAAAUAAGACUCCUACUGAGCAGCUUCAACAAAACUUUGCCAUCUCUUCUGAGUUGUCCCCUUUAUUGCAGCAACAUGGACAUCAUGCAUCCCAAAAUGAACCUAUACCUUUUCACCAACCUGAGUUCUCAUCUCAACCAAUAACUCAAAACCCUCAGUCACAAGUUGUACAAGCAGAAAACUUCCAGCAACCAGAAGCCACUACACCAGCACUAGUAGAUUAUAACUCAGAUGAUAGCCAUUAUAGUGUAACUGAUAGUGAGGAAGAUCCAGAUCAUCCAUUAGGUGCUCCAAACAUUAAUAAUACUCCUAGGAAACCUUCUGUUAAUGUUGACUUAGGCUCUAUGCCUUCUGAUGAUAGUGAUGAAGAUUGUAUGCUAUCUGAUUGUGAGAGUGAUGACAAUGAGUUUGGGGAAGAAUCUGAUGAAGAGAUUGAUCAAGUGCUGGUCAGAAUGGAUGCUGUUAUGAGAGAGAACAUGUACAUUCCUAGUGAUACACCUGUUCAAUUCUUUAUUGGGCAGUGUUUUAGGAACUUCAGGCAGCUGGCAUGGGCAAUAAGGACUUAUGCUGUGGAAAACAAGUUCAAGGUUUAUAAGCACAAGUUUGAAAAAUCCAGAGUAACUGUUGGAUGUAAUUAUUUCAGGUGCCCAUGGUUUUUACAUGUUGCAAAAACUAGAUUUGGACAAACCUUUAUUGUUAGGAGGCUUCACAACGUACAUACAUGUCAGAGAGACUUAAAGAAUCCUGAAUGCACUGCAGAGUUCAUUGUUGCCAAGUUUGCUGCAACUAUAAUUGAGCAUCCAGAUACAAAGGUUGGGUGGAUUCAAAGUGAACUUAGAAGGAUGUAUGGAGCUAAGAUACACAAGUAUAAAAUUUAUAGAGCAAAGAAGAAGGUUUUACAGAGACAAUGAGCUGAUUAUGAGUCUAGUUACAUGUUGAUCAGAAAUUAUGCUCAGGCCAUACUUACUAAGAUGCCACAGGCCUUGGCAUUGGUUAAGGUUUUCAGGAUGCAUGGUCAACAACCUCAAACUCACUUUGACAGCACUGUUAUAUCUUUCCAUGCCCUCAGAGAUGGCUUCAACCAAGGUUGUAGACCCUUCAUUGGUAUUGAUGGAUGCCAUUUGAAGGGUCCAUAUAAGGGUGUUCUUUUAUCAGCAGUUGCUAUUGAUGCCAACAAUGGAAUCUUCCCACUUGCAUUUUGUGUAUGUAGUGUCGAGAGUACAACCAGCUGGACAUGGUUUCUAAGCCACUUUAGGGAAUUUUUACAAGAUACAAGACAACUGACCUUUAUGUGUGAUAGGCAGAAAGGAAUUCAGAAUGCUCUUGCCUUAGAGUUUCCUAAUGCACAUGUUAGAUUCUGUGCUAGACACAUCUUAGCAAAUAUUAAGUUAAAACAUCCUCAAUCUGACUUUAAAGCAUAUUUCUGGGCAGCAGCAAGAGCAUCAAACAGAAGGGCAUUUGAUGAUGCUAUGCAAAACAUAAGAGCAGCACAUGAGGGUGUAUAUGAGACUCUUAGGAGGAUACCACCAAAUUUCUGGUCAAGGCAUGCCUUUGACAAUAAUUGCAAGUCUGAUCAUUGCACUAACAACGUAACUGAAUCUUUUAAUGCAUGGAUUGGGAUUCAAAGAAAGUUGCCAAUAAUCUCAAUGCUGGAGUGGAUUAGGAAGAAGCUGAUGAAAAGAAUGAUUGGAAGAAGAAAUAAGGCAGAGUCUUGGGACAGUGAUAUACCAAGAAGAAUUUAUGCACAAAUGAUGAAGAAUUUACAGAUUGGCAGUGCAAACCCUAUCUGUAGAGCUAGUAAAUGGCUUUAUGAAGUGGAUGAAAAUACCAAGACUUAUAUCGUUGAUCUUGAACACCAUAUGUGUGACUGCGGACAAUGGCAAGUUAGUGGGAUUCCAUGUGUACAUGCAAUGCCUUGUAUUGUGAAUAGUCAAAAAGAUCAAGCUCAGUUCAUUAGCCAAUGGUUGAAGAAAGAUACUUACCUAAGGUGUUAUUCUGGAUUGAUUAAACCAAUUCCAGAUAGAACGUCAUGGGUAGAUGCUGGUGGUGAUGAAAUACUGCCCCCUUUAGUGAGAAGACCACCUGGACGACCUAAGAUGACAAGAAGAAGAGAAGCUGAUGAGGUACCAGCACAUAAUAAACGAUACAAGAUGCAAUGCACUAUUUGCAAGGGAUUUGGACACAACAGAAGGGGUUGUCCUGUUAACCCUCAUAAUGCUCACAAGACAACAAGACAAUAUAAGGUGAGUGUGUAUGCUUGUAAGAGAAUAUUCAAUUAUUUUUUGAACCAUGUUCCUCCCAUGUGAUGACAGCUAAUGUGCCUUGUUUGUUUGUGCUUUUUUAUAGAAUAACCUGAAGAAGCACGUGACAAGGACAAAUGGGGAGCAAAGUGAAGGUAUAAGAGUAAUUUACUAAGUUAUAUUACUAUAUUACUUUACAGCUGUAUUAGAUAAUUAUAUAGUUGUGUAUCACCAAACUAUAUUAAAUUAACUUAUUUAUUUAACGUUGCUUUAUUGGUAAUUUAUAAGGCCAAGUUCACGGAAUUACCUCAACUAUUUUGGAAAGCCAAGACAAUGACAUGGUCCAAGUAACUGUCUCAGGCCAAAACAUAACAAAGAACCAGCAGACUGCAUCUAACAAACGCAAGAUUGGCAAUCAAGCAGGGCCAUCAAAAGCAAAUGAAGUCAUUGGCAAGAGCAUGAAUGGGGUCAUAUCUGUAGCUCCAUGGGUAGGUGAACAGGGAAGAAAAGUAAUGUCAGCCGCUGGAUUAACCUUCAGCAAAGAGGAUGAAGUCGGCAACUAUACUGAAAUGAAGCAUUUGGACAAAGGGAAGGCACCAGCCUUCCCUUCGUAAAGGGUAAAACCAUAGUUUUCUAUUGAUAUAAAUUAAUAUUGGUUUUGGAAAUGAUAUUUAUAAUUUGUAACUUGUUUUGUAGUGAUUCUUUGGCUAUGAUGGAGACAUUGGCAGCAAACUUAUUAACAAACAGUGGAGGCAACAUUAUCAUUUUUUGACACCUUCCACAAUGCCACAUCAACCCACCAGGCACAAGGUUAAGGUUAUCUGGAUGCUGAUUUCAUUAGGAUCAAGUGGCCAAGUAAUGACCAGGCAUGUCAUUGUUUUCUUUUUCUUUUUUAUUUUGGAGCUGAAAUUGGUGGAAGUUGUUGGACAUUAAGCUUAAGCAUUAUAGAGCUGGAAGCUGUGAUGACCUACUAUAAGUAUGAUUGGAAGGGUUUAUGGCAUUUUGAAAGUUUUUGGGAUUAAGAUACAUAUAGGACUGAUAUCAACCAAACCAACACUUUUUUUUUUUGUUUUUUGGUCACAUGUAUGUAAACACCAGAUUGGAUGUGACUAACAUUGUAAGUUGCUGCCAAUAUGCAUUUAUAGAUAAAAUAACUUAUUGCUAUUAUUGAUAUCAUAUUUGAUUAAAUGGUAUAUGUCAAGAAACGAAUGCAUUUUAUUGAUCAUAAGAUUUCAUUUUACACAUUGUUCUAGCAUUCCUUACAGUACAAUACAAGCAAUACAAGUAUAGUUAUCACUAUAAUCGUGAUUUGAUACUUCUUAUUUUUAUGAAGUAAACCUUCAAUAUUGAUGAACCUGUUGUGGAAGUCCUCAAUGUUAAAUUGUUGAAUCUCACUUGCCCUGUCUGCAGCUUCUUCUUCAAACCUUUGUAACGCUGCUUCAAUUUCUAUAGCCUCACCUGUAGAUGGUUUCCACCAUCUAAAGAAACCACAAGAUGGGUCAUUAGGGCAUGUGUAAUAUAGUUUGUUGGGGUUUGUUUUUGAUUCUGACACUUUGAUUUCUGCCCUUCUUCGACAGUAGCAUACUGUGUUAUAGAACUUGAUGAUGCCCCCAUUGAUUUUAGGUAAAUCCCUUCUUCUGUUAUAAGUUGAUGAACUUGAUGCAUUCCUUGAAGUGGACAUUUUCUUCAAAUUUCCAAUGUCGUGUCUGUUAUAUUCUUUUUGAAAUACAGCACAACGUAUCUGAACUUCAAGUUGUUGUGCUUGUUUUGUGUGUGAAUGAAGCUGCUGUUGAAGUUGUAUUGUUUCGGUGGGUAAAACCAAAUGUUGUACUACUGUAAGUUGUUGCUGAGUAAAAAAAAUGGUGGAGUUUCCAGGUGAGUCAAUGAAAAUCACUGAGGUGUGAAGAGGGUAGGAAUUUAUAUGUGUUAAACAUCACAGCUUGUGGUGAUGCAUCAGCUCAAAUUUAUCAAUUUCUUUUACUGUUCUUGUAACCAUAUAGCCGUUAUUACUGUUGCUCAGAUUUUAUAGCCGUUGGAUUUUUGAUGCGCAUGGUAAUAAACCAAUAUGCUAAGGGCAAUAUAGUCAAUAUAAUUUAACAGUUAUAGUUGGUCUUCGUGUGUAAAUACACCUUUAAAUAAUGGCCAGUGGUAAAUUCCUUAGUUCAAUGACUCACCUGGAUGCAUUUGAAUUCAACGCAAGGGUAUAUUUGUCAUUUAAUCAAAAUAUAGACUGAUCCGUUACAAUUAACUAAAAAAUAAACAGAAAUGGGUGCGCGGUGCUCAUAGGCAAAAGAAUUGGGUGCGUUGUGCUGUAUGUCAAAACAUUUGGGUGCGGGGUAAAAAUUACCCUUUGGAUUAUGAUUUGAGGGUGCAAGUAUUUACCUAGAGUUUACCUCCGCACUAAAUUCUUAAGUUUUGAAAAUUAUGAGACCUUUAUAUUGGGAGAUAUUGUAAUCGAAUCAAAACUUAAAUUUUUUAUAAUGUUAAUAUUUAAUCUUUUAAAAAACAAUAACCUCGCCGUUACAGUUUGGAUUAAGAUUUGAGUAAGUAUUUACCUAAAUUUUACCUCCGUCUGUAAAUUCUUAAGUUUUGAAAAUUAUGAGACCUUUAUAAUCGAAUCAAAAUUUUGAAUUUCAAUAUUAUUAUUCUUUAAAAAAAAUUUUGAGAUAACAGAGUGAUUGAUAAUAUAGGAGAACUUGUCUAGGCAAGCACAUGUAUACACAGAAACGUGAUGGAUUCAAAAAGAAAUUAAAGUGAUAAUGCGAAAUCGCUUGGUGGCCCAGUAAAAUUACGACUGAAUUUUUUUUUUUUUUUUUACAAAAUUCAAGCUCAUAAAUGACAAAUUUCAUUUCCCUUUCACACGUCAUUAACUUUUGUAACAUGGUGUGUGCAUCGUCAAGUGAGGCAAAAGGGUUUCAAUUACAGUUGGAAAACAUGAACAAGAAUGCAUAAUGAAUAAUUCCUUCGAUAAACCGAAAAUUAAGCACAGAAUAAUCCUAAAAUUUAAACUCUAAUAUCUUAUAAUGUAUUGAUUAAAAAUAAUCCUAAGAGCUCCCAAUUGAAACUUUCAUAAGUAUUUUAAUUGUUUUGGAUAAACAAAUUGCACUAGGAUAAAAAUUUGGCAAAUUCAGAGGAUAAUGGAAAAUAGUUAUGCUUCAAUAGGCCAAAGAUUAGAGAACAAAUAAGAAUUAUUUAUUGAUAUACAAAAGAGAAACACUCCAAAAUUUCAAGCAAAAAUAGUUUCAUAUAUCAUUUCGAUUUUGAAAGGGAUGAGAUUUUGAACUUCAAUAGUUUCCUCUAAAAUUAAAAGGUAGCAAUUAAGCUAAAAAGAGCAAUGAAGACUUAUUGGUACCUUAUUAAAGGUAAACAUUAUGGAACUUUCAAUGUCAUUAUCUCACUGUUCAAUUUUUAUUGAGAUUUGUGUAAGCAUUUACCUAAAUCUUACCUCCGCCUUUAAAUUCAUAAGUUUUGAUUAAUUAUGAGACCUUAUAUUGGGAGAUAUUAUAAUCAAACUAAAACUUAAAAUUUCAAUAUCAUUAUUCUUUAAAAAGAAAUUGAGAUAUCAGAGUAAUAUCACAUAGAAAAACUUGCCCACGGACGGUAAGCCAAAAGUCUAGUCAACCACACGCAUAAAGCUAACUAGAACAAGAGAACAGAGAAACGCGUGGGUCCCUAAAAGAAAAGGCAAGCACAUAAAUAACUUUCAAAAUGCCCAAGCAAAUACCGAUGAAAAUCACUGUUUAAGAAUAAUUUAUUAUGUGGUUGAAGCUUUCUUUUUAUCAAUCUUCUUUCUACCCAUUAAUUUUCCCACGACUUUCCCGUUUCAUUUCUUGAAUCUCCAUGGAUUAACUUUCAAUAAACCAUAAAAUAAACUAAGGAAUCAUUUUCUCGAAUACAGCUAUGAUUUUAAUAAAUGGGCGGACCAUCUAGAAUAGUAUAUAUAAUUCUGUUUAAUUAAUAAGUUGAAAAAACCAUCAAGAGAAAUUCUAAUAUUAUGAGCUUGACACGAAUUCUUCACUAAUUCCAAAACAAGGAGCUGUUUUAUAAGAACUGUGGUUGGAUUAUUAAGUUUUACAAUUUGAAUAUAAAUAAGAAAAUAAAAUCAGUCGCGUUGAUGUUUUCGAUACAUUUCGCUGCUAACUUUUUUUUUUUUUUUAUUACAUGAGACUAUUGCUCAAAUUACAACUCAUAUUACAUGAGAAUAUAACUGAUAUUUACAAAUCAGACUAUAACUGGGACCAAUAUACAUCAAUACUAAUGGAGCGCUGCCCAGAUUUUAACCCUCUCAAAUAUUCAAGGGAUGUCUACACCUCACACUUGGGUAAGGAAACAGACUGUCUUCACUUAAAUUUACUUGAGGAAUGAAGACCCCCACAAUACAUUGUGGGGGUUCACCACUCGACCAAAGGCCGAGUGGCUCAUUUCGCUGCUAACUUAAUUAAUUACUUUACUUCAACUUUAUUUCCUUAGGGGCACUUUAUGGUGGGUCCAAGAUGGGACCUACAAUAAUCAAUCCUAAAAUUUAGUAUGGUUACCAAAUAGCUAGUAGCUAGUGUUAUUUUGUGUUUGGUGGAAGAGAUUGAAUAUUUAGUUUUAACUUAACCAUUCAACUAAUUAGAAAAUAAAUAAAAUUAAAUGAAAUGUUUAGAUAUCAAUUUAAAUAUUAAUAUCGGGGAUAUAAAUUAGUUAUAAUAUAGUUCAUUACAUAAAAUUGAUUAAAUUAAUAAUUACCCGUGAACAUAGAUGUAUAUGCUUUCCAAUUUCCAAAGUGCUCAAAGCACUUUUCUCACCAAACUUUCCUCUGAAUUUCCCGUAGCUGACUCCUUUGUUUGCGUUUUGUGAAAUUUCUAGGAACUUUUUUCGAUUUAGAAUAUUGUACAUUUUUCUUUUCAGCUGAGAUUAAUUUAACUUAUAGAAAAUCUUAUCCUUUUUUAAUAUUAUUUAAAUAAAAUUUGUCUAUCUUUUAUUUUAUUAGUCUACUUUUUACCCAUUAAUUAAGACUUUUCAAUUUCUUUUUUACCUGAGGUUUUCAGUGACUAUCUUUCAAUAAACCAUAAAAAUUACUUAGUCAUUUAUCGAACAAUUAGAUGACCAUAUUUCAAAAUAUCAACUAGAAGUUGUCCUGAAAUAUUUAAUUAAUAGUUGAAGAAUUGUGAUUAGUGUGGGCAUCUACAUAAAAAUUAUAUUAAAACACCGCUAAAAGAUAAAAAUAAAAUAAAAUAGUACAAACAUACACCCAUAGGUUAAAACAAAGAAAAAACACGAACCAAUACACUAAAAUGUUUUAGCUGUAGUUAGUUUUCAGUUUCAUUACUUAAGUCCCACGUGCAUGUCACGUGACUGAGGUCAAAAAAUGAUUGUCACAUUAAAGUUCAAAAUACGGAGCAGGGUAAUUAAGGAGUGGAGCUAUUGGCACCCCUCCAUUAUUCUUACAAAACUCCACUUUAAAUCAAAAUAUAAUUAAGAAUAAUUGAAAAUUAAACACUUAUAGAUUUCUUUACAACAUGUUGAGUGAUAAAAAAGCACCAGUCGGGCAUGUCCCCAUUUCUUACCCGGUGCCGAAUCUCCACGGUCGAAUGGUAUGAGUAGACUCUUGGUGAUGUCUUCUAUGUGGAGCACGUAACAACAGACCAGGAACUAGUACCAACCAAAAACGAGUACUGAUCGAAACAAGCAUGACCAGAAACGCAUACCGACCAGAGACUUGUGGGUCCGUAAAAGAAAAGGCAAGCACACAAAUGAAAAAGCCAUUACAUUUCUAUUUUACAUGUCAUUCCUAAUUUUUGUAACACGAUGUGGCAGCAUAUGCACAAUCAAAUGAGGCAAAAGGGAUUCGACUAUCGUGGCAGAACAUGGACGAGGACGCGUGAUGAAUAAUUCCUUCGAUAAAACGAAAAACAAACGCAGAGAAAAGAAUUUCUUAUAUGACAAGAAAUUAAAGUAAUGUGACGGAACAUGAUGAAGAAAUUGCAGAUCGAUCAAUUAUCCCCAUGGACUCCUAUAAAUUCAACCAAAAUAACAAUUCCAAUAUUACCAAAUUCUUGAGUUAAAUUUAUUCAAUGCUUUUUUUUAAGAGAAAUUUUUUCCAAUGCUACUUUCCCUUUUUUGGGGAAAUUAGAACUGCGGCAUGUAUAGAAGACAUUGAGGUAUAAAGCAACAUUAAUUUCAUGGGUUAUGCGUUAUACGCAUAAUAUAUUUUCAGUCCAAAUUCAACUAUGCAAAGAGGCUUGAGAACUUAAAAUUAAGCACAAACUAAACAGACGAAGUAAAUACAUGAUUAUGCAACAUAACAUUAAUUCUCUUAAUUUAUAACCGUUUUGCCACAUGAAUCUUGCACAGUUAAUCCUAAUUGAAGACUAAAAAAGAACAAUUGGAACAAGGUUUUGAAAUAGAAUGAUAGACAAUCGAUAUGAUCCAUUUCCAGUCGUCAACGCUAAUUAACUGCAGUUUCUAGACUCCUAAUUAUACUAGCCAUAAGAAACUGUUUAGAAAACUGGUGAUCAGAUUAGAUUUUGAAAUGAAAUAAUGUUCAUUUUCCCUUCGUUACCCUUUUAUUUAUUUAUUAUUUUUAUACCAAAGAAUUCUAUCAUGAAACGAAUCAAUUUAAUCACCUUUUCCAGCAGCACAAUUUUUCUUUUAUAAAAUUUGACCACAGAGACAAAGAAGAAUUAUUCAUACCUUCAUCAGUAAGGAAAUACUUUUCGGUAUGGCUAGGGUGAGAAAAGGCUUUCCACAAACACUUGUACUUUGUAUUCCUGUAAAUUUUCUUUAAAGUCAAUAAAAAUCAUAAGUUCUUUACAAUAACCAUCUCUUUGAUAAAAAAAGUGCCGUAUUCCUUUAGAAUUUAAAACCGGCAAAAUCGAAUCAGUGUCUUUGAAGAGACAUAAUGGUCAUAAUUCUUUAAAGAGUUGGCUAUGGAAAUCCUUAUCCAAGAUUCUUUUACGCCAUAUUCUUUCGUAAACCAAAAUUCAUUUUGGAAUACUCUGUUGAGAAUGUCAAAUAAAACGGUAUUGAAGGAAGUUUUCAAAGGCAGAAUCCGCACUUGUCAAAGGGAUGAUCUGCAUUUGUCAGAGACACAAUCUGCGUCGAAUGAAUCGACACAUUUCCUUUUGUAUUCGCAUAUGUAAUUUUUGAAAAAAUGUAGCUUCUGCAUCUAUAAAUAACGCUCAGUGUAUAAUGUUUUAUUCAAAAAAAGAAAACAAGUUUCUUCAUACUCGUCGUCCGAACAUACAGAGACCGUCUCUCAUAACUUCAGCCGAAUACUUAUGAUGAUGAUCAUUUGUGAUUUCAUCAGGCAUAGGGUUGAUGGUGAAAAAUUUUGUAUGUGUGAAGAAUUGAGCUGUGGAUAUAGGGGACUUAAGUGUAAUCGAAAGAGAGUUAUUAGGCCAUAGUGUAGAUUGCAUUCAGUUUAUGAGUCGAUAUGCAAAUAAUUUGUUGACGUGGCGAAAUUUGUUAUGGUCGUUACUAUUGUUUCUGGAAAUUUUCUAGAAACCUCAGCAUAAAAGGGGCUUUUGGAUAGCCUCUGGUGUGCGUGUGAUUUCUCUUUCGUUUCCUCAUCAAAUUCUGUAAUUCUUGCUUUGAUAAAAAGCUUGUAAUCUCUUCUGUAAUUGUGAUCAGUGCGUAAUCAUUUUGAGCGAUAAAAGCUUGUAGGUUUUUCCUUCAAACAAUGUCGUUUUGGUCAGUUUGUUAGUUUGAUCUGUUGGUGGAAUUUUCUUUGGUUAUUUGUUCUCAAAUUUCAACCUUAUAUAAAGUUUGAACUCUAAUGGCUUAUAAUGUAUUGAUUAAGAAUAAUCCUAAGAGUUUCCGAUUGAAAUUUUUAAUGACUAUUUUUAUUGUUUUGGAUGCACAAAUUGCAUUAAGAAAAAAUAUUGUCAAAUUCAGAGGAUAACGGGAAAUAAUUAUGCUUCAAAAGGCCAGAGAUUAGAGAAUAAAGAAGCAUUCAUUACUGAUAUAAAAACUGCUUCUAUUUGGAUUUUGAAAGGGGUGAAGUUUUGAACUUCAGUUGUUCCUCUAAAAUCAAAAGCAAUAAUUAAGCAUUCUCAAUUAGAAAGAGCAAAGAAGACUUAUUGGUACCUUACUGAAGCUAACAUUAUGGCACGGUUGUUCAUAUGUAAUGGCUGCUCUGUUAUGCUAGCUUCUCUGUUUUUGCUUCUAUUUUUGCUUACAGUUUUGAAGAUAAAUUCUUGCUCAAAUAACACAUAAUUAAAUAACACUAAUAUGGCUCAUGAAAUCCUAUAAUAGCUAAUUACGCAACUUUCUCCUCCUCCUCAAUUCUGUCUUCCCCUGCUCGGACACUAACUUCAAAAUUCAAUGCCCCGAAAAACAACACAAGAAAUCUUUGAGUUAGUUCGUGACCAGUUUAUAUAUAGUAGCAAUUGAAAAAAGAAAAAGAAGAAAAGAGUUAAUUAUUUUUCAGACCUUCACUUAUUAGGAAGUUUGUUCUGCUAUUGGGUGAGAUCAAGCUCUCAGCAUAUACUUCCACAUGAUACUUUCUAACAUUUUCUUGAAAGCCAUCAAUCAUUAAAUCUUCAUACUUUUUUCCAUCCUUUGGAUCAAUAAGUACAAAUUUCUCAUCUAAAAAAGACAAAAUAAAAUCACUGUCCUUCAUGGAAUCAGAAUUGAGCUUACAAAAACCGAAGUGGACAGUUCCAUUCAGAUUGGUCGCCCGAGAACAAUGAUGAGAAGACUUAAAAUCAGUUUCAAAGGUUUUCCAAGUAUUGUUCCUCUAAACCACUUGUAUAUUUUACCAGAACUCUUGGUUAAGAAAAUCCUAGUCCAUGGAGUAUGAUAUAUCAAUCAUGCAACAAUGACCUACAACAUCUAUGUGGAUUGAUUUUUGCAAAAUAAAGAACAAUGCUGACUGAGGAAUAAGGUGCAUACCCGAUUAGCAAUAUCUCAGCAAGUAACCAACAAUUUUUUAUCUGAUAAGAAAAAAUUACAAUUUCUUGAAUAUACAUGAAACAUUUUGCAGAAAGAACCAUGUCAUAAUUAUUAGUCCAACUGAAGAAUUAUCAAUACUUAUCACAUGAAACGAAAGAUACCCGAGUUCACUUAAUGAAAUUCUCUUUUUUUUUUCUCUAACAUUGAGAUAAGCAAAAACUUUUAACUAAAGACAAUCAUCUAGUGAUCUCAAACAAAUGAGGUUAGUAUGAAACCAUCAUAAUUUGUUCGCUCAUUGCCUAAUUUUAUUAAUGCAAGAGCCUGGAAGCAACUCAAAAAGAAAAUAACCGACAUAGGAAGUGUCAUCUCAUAUCUCACCAAUGAAUGGGAACAGCUUGAUGUGGCUGAGCAAACUGGCAGAAUUGUCAUUUUAACACACGUUCAAGAAACUCAGCAAAUUCUCAUAUCUGUUUAAAUUCCACAGCAAAGAUAGUUACAAGAAAUCUAAUCAAAAUUUAAAAUGUCAGAAGGCAAAUCUUCCAAUUAGGAUCAAAAGAAGAUAAUUAUAAUUUGUCAUUUCAAUUCUGAAUGUACAAUUUUAUUUUUUUAUGUGUGCAUUAAUUAAGAUUCUACCUUCUCUGCAAAAUUGUGAUGGACUUGGUAAAUAAUGAAUUGUAUCGACUUGAAUUUUAUACAACUUAUUGAGAUAAUAAUACGCCAAAUUCAACACCGUCCAUCCCAAAUCACAACAAGAAACUCAAACUUUUAUCCCCUCAAGUGGGUUCUUGAAACUGAAGCUUUAGUGCCAGUACAAUUUUGAAAGAUUGUGAUCAAACUAAAACAUCAAAUAAAAUAAGACGUAACAAAAACACGUCUUCAGAAAAUUAGUAUAGGAAUAAGAUAAGCUACACAGACCUACUUCAAUGAAUUAGAAAAAUUAUGAUAAACUUGAUGCAUUUCGAAAAACAACAAACAAAUAUUCCCAGGAAAACAAAAAAAAGACAACUUUGUUUAAGCUUAGACAAAAAUAACUAAGGACAUAUGAAUGCAUCAUAAUAGUAUCUCUAUGGGUAAUUUUCAGAAAUCUCCCCUAAGGUAUGGUGUAUUCUUAGUUUGAUAGAAAAUAUCUAAGUAUUCUUAUAGACCUCCCCUACUGUUAGUAUUCCAUUUCGUAUAUGUUAGGUAGAUGAGGGUAAGAUCGUAAUUUGAAUAAGUUAAUGAUAAAAAAUCCAGAAAUUUUAAGAUUUUCACAUUGGCCUCUGGGCUUUAUUCAUCUCUUUCAUCCACCAAAACCAGAAAUACAACUCACCUCUCUCCUCCACCUAAAUCGAAGCAAGGUAGCUCAAAACUCAUUUCAAAAAAUUGAUCAAUUACUUGGGUCACAAACUAGAGACAAUGACGACGAAGUUGAUGACGCCAAUAUCGACGACGAAGCUGAUGACGCCAAUAUCGACGACGAAUGAUUCGCAACUGCCAGGUAAGAGAGUAUAGUAGGUUUCGCCAUCGAACGCCCAAUCAUCCAGUUGUUUUGGAGCCGCGUUAUUUUUAUUAGCUAAAAUUAGAAUUUUUAGUGAAAAAUUGAAAGUGGGUCUCAAAAUUUUUUGAGAGCGUAUAUGUUUCUCCUGAUUUUUCGAUCGAUUCGUGUUAGUUGCAGUUAAAUGAUUAAUCCAAUUCGUGUUGAAGAUAGAGCUAACUCGAAUAUCUCUAUAGUCCUGUAAUUGAUUGAAAAUGGGUCUUGAAAAUUGUUUUAGAUUUCAGCUGUGUGCUUCUGAUUUUUUCCAUGGAUUCAUGAUAGAUGAAAAUGGUUGAUGAAGAUUUGCUUGACAUGUAUAUAGAUGGUAUUUUGUUAAAGGGGUUUUAAUUUUUUCCUUUUUUGGUGGUUUCGAUUGUGGUAUUUACAUGCCUUAGGUUGAGAAAAACGAAAAUGGUUUGUUGCACUCUUUUGUGUUGGAUCAGUGAGUUUAGGCGAUUUGAAAUGGUUUGCGGCAUUCAAUUGAUUGUUUUAUUUAUGUGGUUUGAUAUGGGAAAAGUAUAAUAAAAUUCAAUUGUUCCAUAUGUCAAUUUGGAUGUUUUGAAAUUAUGAACUACAAAAAGUUAAAAUUAAUUUCUUAUUAUAUUUUCAAUUGAAAGUUACUAUUGUCUUCUUUUUAGUACUUAGUAUGCAUUUUUCCCCAUCUUCUAGUGGUGGUGUUGCACCCAUUUUGAAUUUGAUCGGCAUCUUCUUCUGUACAUGCAUGUUUCUUGGACUCCAAUUUUUGUUUCAUAUGAUGAAGCUAAUUUAAUUCCUCCUUUUUAAUAUCAACUUUGUUCAUCUAGGUUUGCGAUUUUGAUCUUUCUCAUUUGAAGGCAAACACAUUUAUGUCAUCAAAAUUUCCAAUAUUUUUUAUUUUAUAGUAUCCAAACUGCUUAUGGCAAUAUGAAAUUGAGAAUAUUUCUUUCAUCAUGUUAACCUAAGUGGAUGGUGGAUGAUGUUUGUGUAAGAGAUUUAAGUUAUUUGUAUUAUAGAAUAUGUCUUAUGUUUUGAUUUGCAAUUUCACCAUUAAAUUGGCUUUGUAAAUGAUUAGAAGCUAAAUGCAUAAAAUGAAAACAAUAGUAACAUUUCUGAGUGGGGUAUAAUCAGAUGCUAACAUGGCGAUCCAUGACUUGUAAUUUCUAUUGUCGUUAUAAUUGGACUAGAUCGAGGUAAACUGACUUUUCUUGUUCUGUUUUUUUUUUCAUUUCUUUGUUCUAGAUUUUUCUUUCUUUGUUUUACUUCUGGUUUCUUCUUCAGCAUAUUCAAUAACUAGCAUGAGCAAAUGGAGAGGAAAAGGGUAGAAUAUGCUUUUAAAAAAAAAGAAAAGAAAAAAAGAGAUAGCUCUAAUUCAAAAAUAAGGAGGAGAAAAGGGCAAUGAUUGAAGUUGUGGAGAAGAAAUUCUUAAUGCAUAGGAGAUGACAACAAAGUGUUGCAACUGGGAGCAGUUUUAAAGUGCUAUUCGAUUGCUUUUGUAAUCAAAUUGUCUUUUGUACCUAUUUAUACACACACAUAUUUGUAUUUGUAAUUUGAAUUUUACAUUUUCUCAAGACAACUAUGUUUAUUUUAAAAAAAAUCUAAAUGUAACUAAAAUAUUAAAGUUUUUGUACUUAUUACUCCAUUUGAUGAUUUUUUUUAUUUUUUUGCUGACGAAUAUUCCAUGUCAAUUUUUUUCCCUUCAGCUCGUUUAAGGUGUUUUAUUGUCUGAUGUGAUAUUUGGUGCUCGGGAGGAAGGGUGUUUUAAGUCUUUUUUGGUGUCAGGGGCAAUUUUGUCUUUACAUCAGUCAACAAAUAGUCAAUGGAUGGAAAUGCAAACAGCAGGGGAGGUGUCUGAUAAUACACGGAUACUUUCUAUCAAACUUAUAAUACACAAAAUCUCAGGGGAGGUUUUUGAAAAUUACCCAACUGUGCAAAAUUAUGAAAAAAAUGAGCUAAACAUAUAUAGCAUUUCAGAGGAGUGCUUACUUGACAAAUCACUAAUACAAAGCUGCGAAUGGGCAUUCGGAAUGUUUUGAGAGACUCGUAUGGAUAAAAUAUGUAGUUAUUUAAGUAAUGACAGAAGGAGAAUCGUGUGGCUUGUCAAAGCCGUUAGCUCCAUCUCAUUUGCCUCGUCCUCUCGUUUUGUUUCUGUGGGGACAUAUUUGAUAUUUUGGAUUUUGUCUAAAAUUCGUCAUGUUUUUGGAUACUAACAUCUGCGCCUCUAGACCAAUAGCCAUUUGAUUAAGUGGGAGAACCCUUACACUAGUGUAAGAAUUUGAACUUUUAUAAAAUUAUUUAUGAGAUUAUUUAUAAUUUUUUUUAAUUAUCAAAUAAUUGAGUAGAGUCAGUUUAAUCCUUACGAAAUAUUUACUAUUCAUAAAUAUCUUUUUUUUUCUCUAUCUUACAAUUGAAUAUUCUCUCUCUACUCCAACAUUAUGUAACCUAAAUAUUUAAUUUCACUCUUUUUUAAUUUAUUUUUUUGUCUUUUCUUAGUAUAUUAUAAUCUUUAUUUCAUGUUUUCUAUAUAUAAGAAUUUUUUUAUAUCUAUUAAAUUUUGUGUUUAGUGAAAAUUAAUUUCUUGAUAUUUUUAAUUUUUAUAAUUGAUAAAAAUAUAUCAAUGUUCAUUUUUAAAUGAUGGGUUUUGUUCAUUUUAGUUUGUUAUAUUAAUUUUUUGUAGGUAAAAGAAUAUAUUUGAAUGAAUUGAAGGAAAAUUGUGAAAUUGAGAAGAGAAAGAGAAGAAAAAGUUAAUUAAAUAAUUUUUUCAAAAAUUAUUUAAAUAAUAAAAUUCUUAAUUAAAAACAAAGAUGGAGAGAGAAAUUUAGUGGGUUCAAAAUACUUAUUUUAAAUCCAAAAAAGAACCAAUAAAAGAAAUCAAAAGAUGAUUCUUUUCUUUCUGACAUAUUUCUCUGUACUUUUCUCUCUCUACUGAUUCACAAUUUUUCAUACUUCUAACUAUCAUUUUAUUCAAGUAUUUUGUAUUUUUAAUGACAAUUAUUUAAUUUUUAGUUAGUUUUGAUAUUGAUUAGAGAUUUAAAGUGUAUUUUAGAAGACUUCCGGUCUCUUGAAAAAAGGAAAAAUGGAGAAGAAGAAGUGUUCUUGAUUUUUUGUAGGCGUUAAAGUUAAAUGGUUUGAAAUGAUAUUCUUUUUUAAUUUCACUCAUUAAUCUCAUUCAAGAUAAAAUUAUAAAUGCAAAUAAAUGGGGUUUCAUAAGUAUUUUUAAUAGUGUUAAAAGGUCUACUCACUAAAUAAACAUGUUUAACCCAAACCAAUGCGAUUAGUAAGUUAUUGGGUUGGGUUAAUCAGGUUAAAAAUCAAAAUUAAAAAUUAAAUAAAUAAAAAAGGUAUAAAAACUAUCUGUUACUUGAAAAUAAAAAGAAUUUCUAAUUGUUAGUUCUAAUGUCCCAUAUCCAAAACAUGCAUAUUAAAUAAAUAUUAUAAGUUAGAAAUACAAUAUCCAAGAAAGAAUGAAUGAAAUACCAUAUUUUUGUUGAGAAUUAAGAGUGUGAUUUUAAUUUUGAUAUUGGAGUCUAAAGUGCCACGUUUAAAUAUUCUCUUUUAUAAAAUAAUAAAAAGAGGUUAAAAAUUAGGUUAGCAAUUUAGCCAUUUAGGGUUUAGCAAUUAAGGAUGAACAUAUUAUUGUUGUUGUUGUUAUUAUUAUUAUUAUUUAUAUGUUUACUAAUCCAAUCCAAUCCAAUUAUUAACGAAUUUGAAAAAAUUGAUUCAAUCAAGCCAUAAUAAUUCAUUCAACUCGUCUAAAUUGGAUUAGGUUGAAUUUGGUUUGCCACCCUUGUUUUGAGCAACAAACCUCAAUGUGAUUCCAUGAGCUCUUUGAUUGUUUAUAAAAUUGUUUAUGAAAGUGCAAAAUAAAUUAUUGUAUACAUUAAAAUGUGCAAAACAAUGAAUUAUAUGUACGAACGAGUGCAAACACAUUUUUCAAUAAGAAGUUAAAAGAUAUUUAUGCAUGAAAAAGCCUACGUUUGUAGUUAUUCUAAAUUUUAAAAACAAAAUUUACAUUUAGAUCCCUAAAAUUUACGUAUAAGUACAAAAGUUUCAAAUAUUGUCUAUUAUUUUUUUAACAUGCCUAUUCCUUGUGGAUAAUUCUAUCUCAUCACUAAUGUUGUUUCUUGCUUACAAUUUGUAUAGUGUCUCAAAAUAGACAAUAGGGGGAUUUUGAAUUUUUUAAGUCUCAAUAUAGUCUCUAAUCUUGUGAGAAAGAUUUUCUUUCAAUAAUUUGGAGGUAAACAUAACAUAACUUUUUGGACUAAAGCCUAACUCUGCUGGUUAUGGUGGUAUCCUUUUCAAGACCUGCGUCUUUAGAUUCGAGUUUUAUAGUGUGCAUGCGUAUUUAAUUAAUAAUUUUUUAAAACAAUACAUCAAAUAUUAAUAUCCAUGACAUAAUUUAGUUCUUAAUUUUUUUUUUAAAUACAUCAAAAACAUAAUUUUUUUAACAACUUAUAGGCAUGACAAAUUUCAAGAUAUAAAUAUCAGUCAAAAUAAGUGAAAGAAAUAAUGGUGCCAAUUCUAAUUUCUUAACUAAAUUAAUUAGUGCAUGAGCCCCGAAUACGACACGAGAGUUUGAUGGGCUAACAUGGCACAAGAACCUGAAUAAAUAAUUGAUUUAAGAAAUAAUUCAAUGAAAAAUAUAAUUGAUAAGAAUUCAGUAUUGAAAUGAGUUUUUUAUGAAACACUGAAUUAAUGAUUAUUAAGCAAGAACAAUAAAAAAUAAAUAUUAAUCAUUGAUAAGUUUCAACAAAAGCUUAACACAAUCCUCAAUCCUAAUUCAAAUUAUAAAUGUCAUUCAUAUAUUCAUUAUAAUCAACAACAAAGGUUAUAAAUGUUUAGAAAUUCUAGAGGGAAGGAAGCUAUCGCUGGGCAAUCAACAACUAAAUUUGAUGUAAUUGUGGCACGAGAUGGAAUAUGGAAACUACACCAUAAUUUCAAAUGCCGCCAUAGACAUUGACUUAUCUACAAUAACAAUGAUCUAAUUAAAAUAAAAAUAGAGUUUAUGGGCAUUUAUUAAAAUAAAAAUAGGAGUGAAGUAAAAACAUUUAGAUUUUAAUGUAUGUACGGAAAAAUUUAUCUUUAAAAAUACUUUCUUAAUGUGUGUGUGCAUAUUGAAAUACUCAAACCAAUUUUGGUUAUAUAUAAUUCAACAAAAUUUAAAAUAUGAAAAAUAUAAUGUAGUUAUAGUGGAUAAGCAAUAAGUGAGCACAAUAUAAUUAAUCAAAUACUAUGCUAUCAAAAGUUAAUUUUAGAAAUUCCAAAUCCAAUAGCUAACACAAUUCUUUAAAGAAAUAACAAGGGGCAUUGGGCAAGAGUAAUGAAUGCUUAGUGGGUGCAUUUGAUUGAUAGAUAUAUAAAGGGCCGAAACUUGAUAUUAUAUUACUUUUACAAAAUUUAAUCCAAUCACAUAUUUAAUGAAAACAAAAUGAGUUAGGAUUGUUUAUUUAGAACCCACAUUUUAAUAAGGCUUCAUUUGAUGUAGUUUUUCAAACAUUGAUUAUUUGAGUAAUUACAAAGUACAAUACGUACCAAGUUUGGUAACUUAAUUGACAUCUUCUCAUAUAACCUUCGAUCAAGUCGAUUCUGACCUGACGACUAAUUGGUACAUCACCGUUGUUCUCUAUACUCGCAUGCAUCCGAUCACAAAUCUCACUCCAAUUGUCGUCUUUCUUCGGCGUUUUAGCGCAUCCUUCUUGAAUUUCCCGCAUUUCGUUCCCUCCUGUUACAAGUCUCCGGUCAGGUCAGUUCACUUGACGAUUAAUUCGGCAAAUCUCGAAUCUCUUCUCUAUCCCUCUCGUUUUCUCGUGUCUCCUUUCAGUUUAAGUGAUUGAAUCAAUUUUAUCGCAGUCUUAAGAGAAAUUAAGUAAUGCUCUUGGAUUUAAAAUUUUUUUGCUUUCGACUUUAGAUCUCGAAAGUCAAACUCUGCUACGAAUCCAUAGAUUCUCAAUGUUUAUAAUCUUAUUUGUGUUUGACCAGGUAACUGGAUCGUGAAAUUCGUCGUUUUGUAUCAAUUCAAGCUUUCGCGAGCUCAUGGAAUCCCCUGGUGAGUUGUGGUGAAACGUUAUCGUUUCAAUUUUCGCUUAAUUCUUUAUUGCAUAUUUUUUUCUCUCUAAUAUUUCAGUUUAAUUUAGAAAAGAAAGAGGACCCAAAAAGAGAGAGAGAGAGAGAGAGACUCUACCAUACUCAAUUCCUUGCUCAUUCUGAUUUGGCCUGAAUGUUGGCAUUGACUAUUAUUUGUUUUCAUUUCGAUUUAAUUCUCAUUUAGACAGUCUUUUUUAACUAGCAAUAAUCUUUUUAAGGAAAAUGAUAAUAGGGAUUCUGCAAUAAUCUUUUUAAGGAAAAUGAUAAUAGGGAUUCUGCAAUAAUCUUUCUGCAUUGUUCAAGUUAGUAGACAAUGAAUAGGGUGUUUAUGUUUACCUCAUUUUGAACCCUGAGGGCUUCGUUGAGUAGUUGAUCCAACAUAUCCAGCACCGGUUGAUGUGAGAACAGGAUGCCAUUUAGAUAGGCUUAAACUGAUUUUGGAGGUUUGUAUUCAUUCUAUUGUAUGUCUUGCUUACAAAUUUUUUAUUUUUUAUUUUUAAUUUUGUAUAAUAUGCUCUUUGUUGGUAAAUCUCAUUUGACUUAGAAGAGAUAGUUUUAUCCCAACAGUGGGAUAAAUCAUUGAGAUGCAUGGCAGUGUGAAUAUAGUAGACAAAAUCAUUGAGACAGAUGGUGGUGUGAACAUAGUAAACUUUGUCAAACACAGCUAAGAUAAACAAAUUGUUUCAUUAGCCUUUAUCUUAUCUGCUGUGAUGAUUCAAAUUAAUGCUGUUUGGUAGGUUGCAAAAAACGAAAUGAGCUGACUGUUCAUAUUAUUUAGUCAGAUCUAUUGCAAUAAGUUGAAGUUCACUGUCACAUGGGUUGGGAGUAGCGUGGGCUGUGAGUAGUAGAAUGGAUUUAUGGAGUUGAUACAAGUGCCCAUAAUCUAUCAUGUCAUUCUAGGAUUAAAUGGAUUGCACAUUACUGUAAAGAUGGAGGUUAAAUUUAUAUAAUUCGGAUUGAUUGUAAAAUGGGAGGCAGAGAUGAGUUAGAAAAAAAAUGACCUGUGUCCUUUUUGAGCUGUUUCUAAAUCUCCCUGGUGUGCUUCAUGCUUAACACGUGUCUGUCCAAAUAAUUUUGCUUAACCUGUGCUUGUCUACUUCUUGUGCUAUUCUGUGCCUGGUCCUGAGCUGUGUUGGUAGAUUGACAUAAUUUUGCUCUGCUAAAUGUAUAACUUAUUAAUCAGAGUCCUGUUAUUAUGGUUUGACACUACUGACAUGUUGUGUUGGUAUUUAUUUGUACUUCCCUUGGUUGAAUUAUUUGCUGUCUCCAUGCCAUUCGAUAUGGUGCUACUUGGUUUUUGAUCAUCCAUGACGCUAUAUAUAUGUAAAGGAUGAAUUGAUUGUUUUGGCUUGUAUUCUCACAUUUUAUGAUUGAUCGAUGGAAAGGUCUUCAUGUAUUAAAUUCAACCUCACAAGCGUAAGAUUGACAGAUUGUGGGAAAAUUUUCAGGAAAAGAAACUAGACUUCAUGGAAGCAAUGAAGCUUGAAAUUGAACGUCUGCAGCUGCAUCUUUCUGCAGCUGAAAGGGAUAGAGCUUUAUUGUCAAUUGAAACUGAUCCUGCCUCUAUAAAUCCAAAUGUAUUGCUUGAUGAAUCUUACAUGGGAAGACUGUCGAGUAGCAACCACUCUUGCAUUACUUGGCCAAACUUCCCUAGAAGACAAAAUUGUUGGUGCAAUUGGCCUUGAGAAUAGUGAUGAUAGUGUUUUAGACUUCUGGAAUAUUACUAGAAUCGGAGAGAGUUGUUCUGGUGGCGGGUGCAAGGUUUGUGCAGAAACUAAGGUGCCUGCUCUUGCUUCCUCAACUGCAACAUCUGUUGGAGCUUCACAAUCCCCUUUGUUGUGUUCUCAAUGUGAAAGAAAAGUUUGCAAAGUUUGUUGUGCAGGAAGAGGAGCUCUACUGUUUUCAAAUUAUAAAUCAAGGGAUGUGACCAACUACAAUGGCUUCUCAAGUCAGAGUGGAUGAAGCCAUGGAAGCCAAGUUGAUGUAUCUACCAGUCGUUCACUAACACUGGAUGGCGUUAUCUGUAAACACUGCUGCCAUGAGAUUGUGCCUGAUGCAUUGAUGUUGGACCAUGUUAGGGUCUUGAUUAGCUUGCGAAGAAGUUCCUGUGCAGACAACGCAGUCAUACAAUGCUUUGAAUGAGGUUGUUGGAUCCUGCUUAAAGGAUAGUGUUUCUGAAAGGAUUCAGUCUUCCGAUAACGUGCAAGCUGCUGAAGUCCUUCACCAAUUAUGUGGUGGACAGGAAUCACUUGCUGAAUUUCCAUUUGCUAGCUGUUUGCACUAGGUAUGUUCUUGGUUUGUAUUCAGUUCUCAUCAUGUUAUGUUUUCCUUUUAAAUUUCUUUUCUUGAUUAAAAUUUUUAGAAAUAUGUUUUAGUAUUUGUUCUUAUGAUAUAUGCCCAGAACAUUCAUCCCACUUAUCCAUGAGAAUCCUUGUCUGGUUUGAUUUUCAAUUGAGACAUUUUUGGGAACCCUGAGCAGGUUCCAUAUGCUAAUAAUCUUUGAGGUAAGGUGUUGUAGGAUGCCUUGAGAAGCUAAAAACCUAUUACAAGGAAAAGCUCUUGCAUUGUUUUGUGGAAUCUGUGUUGUGAAAAUAGGUAGAGAAAAAGUUUAUGGAAUAAUUCUCUUAUUUCAUAUGUUCAUGAGACUGUACACAGUCUUUAUAUAGGGAUACAAGAGACUAAGAAAGGAAAGAAAAAAUUAAAGCAGAAUAUUACACACUGAUUUCUAGGAAGCAAUAACUCUAUAUUUACACCAAAUAUACACCUAAAUAUAUAAGGAAAACCAAAUCAAUUUGAUUUGGUCAACCUUUCAACACUCCCCCUCAAGCUGGUCUAAAAAUGUCUUUCAUGGCCAGCUUGCAAACCAAUUUCUCAAAAUGUUUCUUAGGUAGUCCCUUGGUGAGUAUAUCAGCAAUCUGCUCAUUUGUAGGAAUGUAGGGCAUGCAGACCAAACCACUGUCCAGUUUUUCUUUUAUGAAAUGUUUGUCCACUUCAACAUGUUUAGUUCGGUUGUGGAGUACUGGAUUAUGUGCUAUUGCAAUGGCAGAUUUGUUGUCACAAUAUACUUUCAUAGGUAGAGAAUUAUUUGCCUUAAGUUCUUCAAGAACUUUUUUGAUCCAAAAAACCUCACAAAUUCCUAGAGCUACUGCUCUAUAUUCUGCCUCUGCACUACUUCUUGCUACCACAGUUUGUUUCUUGCUGCGCUAAGUGACCAAAUUUCCUCCGACAAAGGUGCAGUAACCCGAAGUGGAUCUUCUAUCGGUUACACUACCAGCCCAGUCAGCAUCAGUGUAGACUUCUACUUGUAGGUGCCCGUUUUUUCUAAACAAAAGACCUUUACCCGGAGAUCCUUUUAAGUAUCUAAGGAUUCUAUAUACAGUUUCAAAGUGUUCUGGUCCUGGAGCAUGCAUAAACUGGCUGACUAAGCUCACUGCAAAGGCUAUGUCCGGGCGUGUAUGUGAAAGGUAGAUUAAUCUACCUACAAGGCGUUGGUACCGAUCUAUGUUGGUCACAUCUUCAAUAUUAGCUGGCUGUAAUUUCAUAUUAGGAUCUAUGGGUGUCUCGGCUGCUUUACAUCCGAGUAAACCUGUCUCUUCAAGCAAAUCAAGAACAUACUUGCGUUGAGACACAACAAUCCCAUCUUUUGAUCUAGCAAACUCCAUGCCCAAAAAAUACUUCAGGUUGCCUAAGUCUUUGAUUUCAAAGUCACGUGCAAGCACUUUCUUUAAUCUGCAAAUCUCAACUAAGUCAUCACCAGUCAAAAUUAUAUCAUCUACAUAUACAAUUAACACGACUAAUUUCCCUUCAAUAGAAUGUUUGUAAAACAUUGUAUGAUCUGCCUGACUUUGGGAGUAGCCGUGUCCCUUUAUAACAUUACCAAAGCGUUCAAACCAUGCUCUAGGAGACUGUUUGAGCCCAUACAAAGACUUAUGUAGUUUACACACUUUACUGUUGCCAUGAUUUCCCUCAAAACCUAGUGGUAAAUCCAUAAAGACUUCUUCUUCUAGCUCCCCAUUCAGAAAAGCAUUUUUAACAUCUAACUGGUAUAGAUUCCAAUCAGAAUGUACAGCCAAUGAGAUAAGGACCCGGAUGGAAUUUAUCUUUGCAACGGGGGCAAAAGUUUCUUGAUAAUCAAUUCCGUAGGUUUGAGUGAAUCCUUUUGCUACAAGCCUUGCCUUAUAUCUCUCAACACUCCCAUCAGCAUUACAUUUAAGUGUAAACACCCACUUUCAACCCACAGUUUUCUUUUCUUUUGGUAAAUCCACAAUCUCCCACGUACCAUUCUUCUUUAGAGCAUUCAUUUCCUCUAAAACUGCUAACUUCCAAUCUGGGUGGUCUAGGGCUUCUUUUAUGGUUUUAGGAAUUGGUAUUUGAGAGAUUUUUGUGGUAAAGGCUCUUUGUUUAUUGGACAACUUUUCAUAGGAAACAUAUCUAGCAAUGGGGUGCUUAGUACAGGUUCGGGUUCCUUUCCUAUGUGCUAUGGGUAAGUCAAGAUCAGGAAAAAAAGUGCUGAAAUGUUUAGGAGAAGAAAUGUUACCUGAAUUUUCUGAGGAAUCAGUGCUUGGAGGCAACGAUUGAGGCUGUAUCGAGUUUAUGAGAGGGUCUUUACUGUUGUGAUGAUACUUUCGAGUAUAAACACGCAGCUCUGGUGGUGGAAUUUUAUCUUGUAGUAUUUCUCCCCCUGUCUCUGGUACAUUAACACUUGGUUCCUGUAGUUCAAGGUUUCCUAGGUUUUCAUUAUUAGAAAUAUCAGUUUUUUGAGUUUGAGUUGGAGUGCCCAGAUCAGGUAAAAACUGAUUAGGCAUAGGUGUAGAAGUAUGCCAAAAAUGAUCUUCACUAUUUUCUUUCUCCCCCUGAAGAGAAUUUUGGCCAAAAAAAGGUUGAUUUUCGAGAAAUAUAACAUCCAUACUGACAUGGAAUUUCUUUGUUUGAGGAUUGAAACAUUUGUAACCUUUUUUAUUAGGUGCAUAGCCCAAGAAAACACAUUUUUCAGAUCUAGGAUCCAAUUUAGAUCUAAGAUGGUUAGGAACAUGAACAAAUACAGUGCACCCAAAGACUCUUAACUGAAUAUUGGAGGUAAUCCUACUAGAAGGAUAUAUAAGUGUGAAGUAUUCUAAAGGUGAUUGAUACUUUAAAACACGGGUAGGCAUCCUAUUAAUCAAAUAACAUGCUGUUAAAACAGCAUCACCCCACAAAUAUUUAGGAACAUGCAUAGAGAGCAUGAUAGCCGACUAACUUCAAGUAAAUGGCGGUUUUUUCGUUCCGCAAUUCCAUUUUGUUGUGGAGUAUCACGACAAGUGGAUGUGUGAAUUAUACCCUUUUCCUUACAAAACACCUCUAGAUAAUUAUUAAAAUAUUCAGUACCAUUAUCUGUAUGGAGUAGACUUAUUUUUGUUUGAAAUUGAUUUUCAACCAUGUUAUAAAAAUCUUUGAAUAACCCCUCAACUUCAGAUUUUUCUCUCAUUAAAUAAACCCAACAAAGCCGAGUAUGAUCAUCUAUGAAUGUUACAAACCAUUUUUUUCCAGUUAAAGUGUUGAUUUUUGAGGGUCCCCAAACAUCACUAUGAAUUAAAUAAAAAGGUUUUGAGGCACGAUAAAUAAGUGCUUUAUAUGAAACUCGAUGACUUUUAGAUAAAAAACAACUUUCACACUGAAAAGUAGUACAAUCAACAUUUUUAAAUAAAUUUGGAAACAAAUAUUUCAAAUAAGGAAAGCUAGGGUGUCCUAGUCUAAGGUGCCAAAGCAUUAUUUGAUCCCUAGCAGAGUUUGAACUAAUACUACUGCUCAAACCUUGAGUUUGUUUAUUCCUUGAUAAGUAGUCAUCAAAAUAGUAAAGACCUUCUCGCAAACUAGCACUGCCAAUCAUCGUCCCCAAGUCCCUGUCCUGAAAUUCACAAUGGGAGUCAAAAAAGACAGCACAACAAUUAGAAUCUUUGGUUAAUUUACUGACAGAUAACAGAUUGCAAGAAAGUUUAGGGACAUGUAGCACAUUUUUAAGCUCAAUGGUUCCAGAGAUUUUUAUUGAUCCUUUUCCAGCUAUGGAAGAUAAGCUUCCAUCAGCAACUCUUACCUUUUUGUUACCAGGGCAAGGAUAAUAGGAAUCAAAUAAACUAGAAAUGCUAGUCAUAUGAUCAGAAGCACCCGAAUCAAUAAUCCAUGGUGCAGUAGUUGAGUGGCUAAAUAGAGCAUUAAUAAUACUACCUGUUUGGGCUAGUGAACCACUAGGAGUACUAGGUGGAGGAUUAGAAGUCAGCAGCUUUAUGAGAUGGUCAAUUUGCUCCUUGCUGAGAUUUUUUUCUAGAUUCUCCACUUCAUUGGCAGACGCACGGCUAUGCUUGCUGUUUUUCCAAUCUGCAGGCUUUCCGUGGAGUUUCCAGCAAGCCUCCCGAGUAUGGCGUGGUUUAUUACAGUAAUCACACCAUACUCGAGGUUUUUGUUGCUGUUGAGUGAUGGAGCGGGUAGCAUUAUCUGCUGUAACAAGGGCAGAUUUUUCCACAGAGACAACGGAGUUCUUUUUUCCCAACAUAACACCUCGACGACUUUCUUCUCUCCUUACUUAAGAGAAAACAUCCUCAAGAGUAGGAAGUGGCUUUCUCCCAAUAAUUCUUCCUCUUACCUCAUCAAAUUCAACAUUGAGCCCAGCCAGGAACUUGAAGAUUCGCUCAUUAUUGACAGUUUGUUUGUGGUGUUUAAAAUCUUCCAUGCUCUCCCACUCGUAGUCGUUGAAUAAGUCCAGAUCUUGCCACAAUCUCUUUAGAGUAUUGAAGUAUUUUGUUAUACUAUAAUCUCCUUGACGGAUAUCUCCAAGAGCAAGCUGCAACUCAUAGAUCUGGGACUGAUUUCCAUAGUCAGAGUACAUCUGACUCACAUUAUCCCAGAGUUCUUUUGCAGUAGAGUAGCACAUAUAAUUUGCACCAAUGUCUUCAUCCAUGGAGUUGACUAACCAUGCCAUAAUCAUGGAGUUUUCGGCAUCCCAAACACCAUAAGAGGGAUCAGAUAUUUCAGGAGCCUUAACAUCUCCGGUAAGAUAACCAAUCUUCCCUCUUCCCCUAAUAUACAUUCUAACCGACUGAGACCAUCUUUGAAAAUUUCCUUCAUUCAGCCGGAUAGUUGUAAUCUGGACAGAAUGAGAUUCAGAAUGGGAAAUUUUUGGUUCUAGUCUUUUUGAGGUGACUGUGGUUUCAGAAGAUUGGUCAGACAUGGUAGGGAAGAGAUCAGAAAGAAAGGGAGCCUAGCUCUGAUACCAUGUGAAAAUAGGUAGAGAAAAAGUUUAUGGAAUAAUUCUCUUAUUUCAUAUGUUCAUGAGACUGUACACAGUCUUUAUAUAGGGAUACAAGAGACUAAGAAAGGAAAGAAAAAAUUAAAGCAGAAUAUUACACAUUGAUUUUUAGGAAGCAAUAACUCUAUAUUUACACCAAAUAUACACCUAAAUAUAUAAGGAAAACCAAAUCAAUUUGAUUUGGUCAACCUUUCAACAUGUGUGCUAGCAAGUCAUGUCUCUAAUAAUUUCAUAGUUUGCUUGAUUGGAAUUUUUUAUCUUGAUAUGGAUUGUUUAUUCUAGAUUCCUUGGUGCUGUAGGUUGAAACAGCAAAAGAUUCAGCACCGAUUUUGUCACUGCUUGCUCCAUUAAAUUCUGGAUCAAGGCACUCAUAUUGGAGAGCUCCACCUUGUACUACUUCUGUUGAAUUUGUUAUUGUUCUCUGUUCUGUUUCUGAUGUCAGUGGGGUUAUCUUGCUUGUUAGUCCUUGCGGCUAUUCUGUGGGUGACACUCCGAUGGUAAGUGCCAUAUUUAUUCCCUUAUUUCCUUGUUGUUCAAUAAAUUUGGUGAUAAGCCAAGUGGCCUUAAUAAUGAAGCCCAGUACCAGGGGUGGUGGGUAAUCGAUAUUCAACUUGUGAAUAUUCCUAAGCAAGCACUGAAUCAACAUAGACCUCGGCAAAAGUUCUCCAUGCUAUUAUAACGAAAGUCAUAUUUUGAAAUGAUUAAAAGAGUCCCUGUGUAGUGCUAUUUCCAAAGAAAUUGCAGCUGGAGGUUUAGUUUCAUGUAGGUUAGUUUCCGAUAAUAAACUUUCCAUUUCAUUAAUUGCUGAUGAAAAAACCAAGUAAGAACAGUUUUGUUGCUCGUCAUUUAUGUAUAUUUUGGUAAACUGUAAUUUUAAAUUCUCAACGAUCUUCCCUUUGUAGGUAAGAAGAUGGUCCACUCACUUGAUAUUUAUGAUUGUAGAUCAGGUUUCUAUUGGUUUGCCUUUAUCAUUCGGAACCCAAGUUUGAUAUUAACAGAGAUCACGUCAAUAAUAUCCUAUUUGGGUAGAUGUGGGUGAGGAUUUAAAAUCAAAUUUGAAAUUGAGGGCAAAGAAGAGAAAAGAAACCGCAAUAAUUAAACAAAAUAUUAGGAACUAUUCUGAUGAGUUUUAAUCUCGAGAGGAACAAUUUUCAAAUGCAAAAUUUAACUGCUAGAGAAAUUGUAGCUUUUUGUCAUUAGUUAAGAGGAAAGAGAAUAAGAACUAUCUGGCCCUUUCCUUCAUGAAUGUGUGUUGAGGUUGCUGUAUUAUUUAGUCAGUAUUUGUAAUUUUCUUCCCUGCAGUGCUCUCUGCCUCCUGAAUUUGCUACUGAGUCCAUAUUUUUCUUUGAGCUGUUGCUUCCUAUUGCUGUUACAGGUACAAAUCUGGGCAAGCAAUAAGAUACACCGGGAGGACAGGUCAUCAAUGGGAAAAUGGGAUGUCCAAUCCCUCAUCACAUCUUCUUCAGAUUUGUAUGGUCCAGAAAAGUCUGCUAGUGUUGAAAAAUUACCUAGGCAUGUAAAAUUUACUUUUAAGAAUCCUGUUAGGUGCCGCAUUGUUUGGAUCACAUUACGUCUUCAGAGACCUGGUUCGGCUUCAGUUAAUUUCGGGAAUGACUUCAGUCUUUUGUCUCUUGAUGAAGAUGAAAACCCCUUUGCACAAGUAGACAGACGUGCUUCAUUUGGAGGAGCAGUUGAAAAUGAACCAUGUAUUCAUGCCAAAAGAAUUCUUGUAGUCGGAAGCCCAGUAAAAAGGGAGGGGCUUACCACAUCACAGAGCUCUGAGCAGCUAAGUAUUAGAAACUGGUUGGAUAGAGCUCCACAAAUGAGUAGAUUCAAGGUAUUAGUUGCUUUCACUCUUUGUUCAUUCAUAAUUCCAGCUUUCUGCUUGAUGCCUUGCCUCUGAUAAACCUCUUUUUUCUCUUCAGGUCCCAAUUGAGGCCGAGAGAUUGAUGGACUACGAUCUCGUCUUGGAACAGUAUCUACCUCCAGCGUCACCUUCGCUUGCCGGAUUCCGUCUAGAUGCUUUCAGUGCAAUAAAACCUAGGGUUACCCAUUCACCUUCCUCAGAUUCAGAUAUCUGGGACAAAUCAGUAACAUUUUUAGAAGACAGGUACAUCUCUCAAGCUGUGUUGUAUUUACAAGUAUCCGCACUCCAGGAACCACAUAACAUGGUAACUAUUGCGGAAUAUCGACUGCCGGAGGCUAGAGCCGGAACGCCAAUGUACUUUGAUUUCCCACGACCGAUACAGUCCCGACGAGUUUCAUUCAAGCUUCUUGGAGAUGUUACAGCAUUUGCAGAUGAACCUUCAGAACAAGAUGAUUCAGGAUUGAGAGCUCCACUUGUGGCCACAGGUUUGUCUUUGUCAAACAGAAUCAAGUUAUAUUAUUAUUGUGAUCCUUAUGAGCUCGGAAAAUGGGCAAGCCUUUCUGGAGUUUGAUCGUUAUUUAUAUGUCAGAGAAAGGGUUUUGGGUUUGAUUUUGAUUUUGAUUUGUAAUUUUUGUCAGUUUAUUGAAAUUUUUUGUUGUAUAAAAGCAGAAUGUAAAGGUAUAAAAAUUCAUUGAUGCUGCAAUGUCUGUGCUUUUGAGAAAGAAAGAAUUCUAUGGCUUUUCUAUGCCAUUGGAUUUUCCACUGCCUGUAAACUUGGGCUGUCGAAUGCUCUGUGAACCUUAAGGGCUAUAAAGUAAUUUUCAAGACUGAAGGAUUUAUUAAUCGAGUUCAAAAGAUUGCAAGUUGGUGAGCGUUGGCAUUUAAAAAAUCAAUUGUUAUUCUCUCAAUAAUCUCUGUCUUCUGCCGACACCCCAUGCUCAGAAACCCAUUGUUCCGACGGACGUGUAACACUUCUAGAAAUUGUUUUGAUCUCUCCUCGUGAAGUGUUUUCUUUUUCGAGUGAAGGUGGUUUUCUACUUGCAUACGUCGGGGGUCUUAUGAUAUGUAAUGUGUGAAAUUUCUUUCUCAUUUUACCAUAAAGAAAAAUGUUGUAAUAAUCUAAAGCUCGAGUCUUAAAUUAUCUUAAAUUUAUAUUUAGAGUGGAGCUAUUCGCAAUCCUACAUUAAAAUUACAAAUAAAAAUAAUUGAAAAUUAAACACUUAUAGAUUUUUUUUACAACAAAUUAUUUAAUUCAUAAUCAAUCCUUUAAAAAAAAAAAUCCAUAUGUUACUUGCUAUCUAACUAAAAUAAAUUUUACAAAUUUAGAAUAAUCUAUUGAUUUCUUUUGAUUUCUUAUUAAUUAAAUAUUUUUAUACAUAAAAUUGCUUUGAAAUUAUAAUUUGAAAUAUGUGUUAUUUCAGCCAAUGAUUAACACUAAAAAACUUAUCACCCAUAUAACUUUUUAAUUUGUGUGUAGGGUAAUAAUAAAAUCAAAAAUAAUUAAAAAAAUAGUACAAUAAUGAGUUUUAACAAUAAAACAAAUCAAAUGAAAAUUGAAAAUUUAGAAAAAAUGUAUCUAAAAAAGGGAACGUUUUUUAAAAUAAAAUGAAUAUAACUAAAAAGGGGUUUUAUGAGAAGAGCAGAGGGGUGCCAAUAGUCCAACUUGUAAUUAAGAAUCUCCCAUUAUAUUGUCAACCAAAAAGACACUUGAAUAAGAAGAAGAAUUUAUCAGUUUGAUUUUAUUUAUAGAUCCAACAUUUCUCAUAUCCUAAACGCCUUUCCGUAUCAAAUUAAAACAGUAGUCGCAAAAUCGUAGUAUUAAAAUCGUAGUGCACAUUCAAUUAACCAACUAAUAGUCUUUGGUAUAAGAUUUUAUAUUAGCUAGCCAAGUAGGUUGUCCAUCCCACUCAGACAUGAACGAAAGCUAAAUUCAUCAAAUGGUGUUAUACUAUUAAAUAUUUUUAUAUUUAAAAUUACUUUGAAAUUAUAAUUUCAAAUUAAAAUAGUAGUAGCAAAAUCGUAGUGCACAUUCAAUUAACCAACUAAUAGUCUAAGAAGCAAAGAGAGGAUUACAAGUUCACAACACCAUUACAAAGGAUUCAAAAUUCCCACACGAAAACAUCAAUGUACAGAUUAUAAACAAUCCGAAUUGGACACAAGAAAAAGCCCUUCAAUGGAUUGCUUUCCUUCCCAAUGCUAUAUACUGUGCAAACUCCGCACUGGCCAAGAAAAUGUUUUCAAUUUAGUGUAUUUUCAAAUUGCUUAUUUUCUCAUAAUAUAAAAAAUAAAAAAGAAUCCUUACAUGUUUCAUCAGCAUGAUUAAAAUCAAAGAAGAAAGCGAAGACGUAAUGUCUCUGACAUAAUAAAAUUACAAAAAUUUCAAGGAAAAAAAAAAGGUUAAAACAUGUAAUCUUCAGAAGCAUAUAAUAAAAGAACACUUCCACAAAUUACUACAAUUUCAUGCAGUAGAGAUUGAAGAGUUGAAUUCCACUAAUUUUAAUAAUGAAAACAACAACAGAGGAUUAACUGAUGCUUUGACUUAUUAGCAGGUUGCUUUGACUUAUUAGUUCUGCAGCUAAGUUAAAUAAAAUAAGCUAUUUUCAAAAGCAAAAUGGAAUACAUAGAUAAAAACAUCAUCUUAAACAAAUCACAAUCUAGAAUUAGAGCAUUUUCGACAUACCUAAGGAACACGAAUACGUGAAAACGGGUGAUUUAUUUGUUAAGGAGUGUUGAUUUGGUCGUCUCUGCAAAUUCUUUAGGGACUCGGUUCCAAUUCCUCUUCAUCAAAACUGUAAUAUAAUUCCCCUUCAUCAGAACUCGAAUCGAUGCAAUAUAAUUCCCCUUCAUCAGAACUCGAAUCAAAUUCACUUGCAGCAGUUCCACUCGCGCUUGGCAAAUCAUCCAAUUUCCAAACUUCGGUAACAAAAUUGAGAGUAAAAGUGUUGGCUUUGAUCUCGCUGGGAUUUGCAUAUACUGGACAUACUCCGCAACGUUUUAUCUUCUGACCCUUUUGGACCUUUAUUAUGUUUCGGUGACACUCAUUGAAGAACUUAAAUGUGGCAGUUGAAUGAUGGUCACCAUCAGGAAAGCCAACAUUCAAGCAAGGUUUAAAACCAAGUAUGACAUGAUCUGAAUCAUGGGGGUCUUGAAUUGAGUGCAAAUUGUAACCCAGAUGAACAUGUUUGGUUUCAGAGAGAGUCUUUAUUUCUAAGUCGGAUCGACAGUAAACGUAAAAAUAACGAAAACGAUCAGAAUAAAGUUGCUUAAAAUCAAGAACAGCACAAAAAGCAAACCCGAUUAAGUUUCUGCAAAAAGAGUGCGGUGGCAGUUGAAUACGUAUCGAAGAUCCUGAACUUUGAUUGCUGAACCAGUCAGGAAUUUCGCUCCCAGGUAAAACAAUUUGGGAUCCCCUGAGUUCAGAAAGUUUCUGCGAAACGACAUUUAAAAAAAGAAAAUUGUAAAAUGAAAACCAUGAUUUCAGAUAUAACAAAGAGGGACAGAGUAAACAAGAGAGGGAAUUUGAUACCUCGUUGUAUGCAUUUUCAUAGCCCAGUCUCAGUGAUGCUGCAAUUGCCAUACGUAGUGAAUCUGCCAAAAUCUUGUUGUUUGCUUUUCCAUCAAGUUUCAAGCAGUUAGUAAACUCAAAACAAAUUGGUUGUGGCGUCACAUAUUCCGGAUGCCAUUCACGAAGGUCAGGAGAGGGUUUGGAUAGCUUUUCGAGUACGGAUGCAUCUAGUUCUUGUACACAUGACGGAAUCUCUGGCAAAGAUUGAAGCCGGUUGCAGUUCAUUGCUUUUAGUGACUGUAGACACAAUGGAAGUUCUGGUAAUGACCGAAGCAUGUUACAAUCCUCCAAGUGAAGAGUUUCUAGACCCAAUGGAAGUGCUGGUAAUGACUGAAGCAUGUUACAACGCCUCAAGUAAAGAGAUUUUAGACACAAUGGAAGUUCUGGUAAUGACUGAAGUAUCUUACAAUCCCUCAAUUCAAGAUAUUUUAGACACAAUGGAAGUUCUGGUAAUGACUGAAGCAUAUUACAAUCCUCCAAGUUAAGAUAACUUAGCCACGACAGUUGCUUGAUACUUGCAGGUAAACUCUCAAAGUUAUUUCCACUUAAAUUGCCAAUGUUAUCCGGCAACUUGUCAAGUAUAGAGCAACCACUUACGGACAAAAAUGAAAGCCCCGGUAGAUUUUCAAAUGGCGAUGGCAGCUCUGUAAUUGCCGUCCAGACUAAAUAGAUGCAAUUUAAAUGUUCCAUUUUCUCCAAGAUUUCUGGGAAACGCUCAAGGUUCAAGCAGCCAAAAAGAAAAAGAUCAACCAAAGAUCUCAAUUUACAGAACCUAGUUGAAAUCCUCUUCAGCCGUUUGCAAUGCCCCAAAUCCAACACUUCAAGAUCAGUUAGGCACUCUAUUGAUGAUGGAACUUCUUCUAUUGCAGACUGGCCUAAGGAUAGCUCUGUGAUUUUCCCAGAAAUCCGUGGAAACUCUUUGAGAUUAACACAAUAGGAGAAAUUAAUAGUUACUGGACAAACAAAAUGAAGAUUGCUUGGAAAAGACCUAAGACUUUUGCAGCCCUCAAAAGACAACGCACUGAGAUACUUGAAAUUCUGGAUAGAUGAGGGAACACAAGCCAAGUUUGUAUAAUCCAAAAGAUUUGUUUCAACAUUUGGGGUUUCUAAUGGGCCUGGCAUCUUAAUGAAAUGUCGAGAAUGAUUGAGGUUAAUAGAUUUUAACUUGAAAGCUUCCUGCAAUAACAGAUAUAUAAAGACUAUAUUAAUUAAAAAGCAACAUUGAAUUCAACAAUUAAUUGCACGUAUGUUUAAAGAAAGAAAAAAAUUAAUGUUUUAGUUUUAGUACAAAACUUACCUUUUCUCCUUCCCAAAGUUGCUCAACUUUACUAAAACGCAAAUUCAGUUCAACAAGGUUCAUUGGCUUGAAAUUUGAUGGCAGUGUCCUUAAUGGAUAUGUGUCCCAAUGAAGAUAUCUCAAUUUUUUAGGAAGAUAAUCUAGGCCAUUUGGAAGCUGCACUUUAGAGUAUGAAAGUUGCUCUUCAAUGCUCAUACUUAGAAACCUUUCAAUCUCAGGUACAUAAAAUUUGAGCAAUCUUAGAUUAGACAUUUUUGUGAAGGCUCCUGGGUCUAAAUUGAUGCCUUUUAUUUUGGACAAAUCCAGAAAUAUGCCUUCAAUUGCAUCGGUCCCCUUAUUAAAAAAAAAAAAAACAAAGAAUGAGUAACCCUAAAACAGAAAAGAAACAUUCGUAAACUUUAUUAACUAAGAGCUUCUUAAACAAAAACAAAUUCUGCAAUCUUUGAUUUUAUUUUUUUAAUAUAUUAAAUAUCUAUAUACGAGAAAAGAAAAUUUUGGGGACCAUUGCAAAAUUAAACUAACCGAAAAAAAAUUCAAAAUUUCUCUAAUUUACAAACCUGUUAUCUUAAUAACUAGAAGUUGAGAAGACAAGGCCUAUUUGAUUGGUAUAAGAUUUCGAUUUGUUUUUUAGUCCAUAGAAUCCAAAAUGUUAGUUCAAAAUUAGGGAAAAAAAAUGAAAGUUAUUUUUUUUCCACUAGUUGUAAUUGUUUCCAAGUCAAAUUGAGAUACGACCCUUUUCGAAAGGAUUUAAUCAUCUUAUAGCCUCCUUAAGAUACAUUUAAGCUAAAAGGAGUGAUUGGAGGCAGAACUAGGUGGGCCAAUCAGUCCCUUUUAUUAGUGACUGUUGCUUAAAAAAAAUUAUACUCUAAAACACACUUACUUUUUUGAAAAAAAAUAUAAUUAUAUUGAAGUAGAACCAGGUGGGCCAAUCCUCAUGGCACUCACUUUGUUCUGACACUCUUCACUAAAUUUGAAGAAAAAUAAAAUUAUACUCUUCACACUCUUAUUCAACAUUCCAAAAUUGAUAAAAUCUAGAGUUUUCUUUAAAAAUUUAAAAUUUGAAGACUUGUUCUCUUGACAUCCUCAGUCAUUAAUUUCACCUAAUUAUGGUUUUUAUGAUUUUGGUUGUUUUGUUCAUAAAACAAUUUUACUAAAGGAUGUUCUCGUAAUAAUAAAAAUUAUAAAAAAAACAUGGGUGUGCUGGUAUGGUUGGGAAAAUACGAGUACAGAACUCCAAACAAAUAAAAGAUUUAUAUAAAAAAAAAUGGAGGAUUCUUACCAUAUUAUGCUUUAGUACGCGGCGGAUUUCCUUAGGAUCCCACAACCUACUACGUCUGCCUGGCACUUCCUCAGAUUCUUGGCGAACAGUCUCUUGGCCCAUUUCUUGCAAUAAAUCAUGCAUUUGCAAGCGGUUAUCUGACACAGUUAUGAGUGACUUGUCGACGAGGACAUCCAGUCUGUGAGACCCAGAAUCAUCAAGUAUCCUUAACACAAAAUCUUUAUCCUCUCCCUCAAGGAAACACGCAAUAUCUAGAAACAUACUCUUCACCCUGGGCGUUAAUUCUUUAAAACUAAUCUUUAAUGUAUCAUAAAUACCAUGAAUAUCAGAUUCACAAAUCCGAUUUAAGUCGUGCAAUACAUUUUCCCAAUGGCUUUUCCUCUUGAGAUACAGGGAGGAACCCAACACUUUAAGAACUAAUGGAUUGCCAUCAGCAUACUCUACAACUCUCCACGAGUCACGUUUGAAAUCUUCAGGACGAUGCUUUUCUUUAAAAGCGAAGUUACAAAAGUGCUCGAAAGCCUCAUCAAAUUUCAAUCCAUUGACCCUAUAUAUUUUCUCCACUCCAAAUUUUUCGAGGACUCGUUUAUCCCUGGUGGUUACAACAAUUCUACUUCCUGGACCAUAUUGAUCAAGCCCUCCAAUCAAACCCUCUAAUUGUUCAUCUUUAUUCACAUCAUCGAGUACAAUCAACACCUUCAUGCGUCGGACCCUCCCUUUAGUAAAUUGUGGAAUAUUGGGACCAGCUACUUCAAGUUUUUCACUUAAUAUUGUCGAAAGCAUUUCCUUUUGUAGGUCUUCUAGGCCACCCUCUGUUUCUGAUUUUCUCCUAACAUUUUUUGCAAAGUAUUUACCAUCAAACUCACCAGCGAAUUGAUCGAAAAUAGCUUCAGCAAGGGUAGUUUUGCCUAUACCGCCCAUACCCCAAAUUCCAACAAUUUGGACAGUAUCCGACAAAUCCAUACACAAAAAUGGUUUAAUCUGCUCAAUUCGUGAAUUUAAUCCAACUAGGCCGUUGGAUGAGUCCGUUGAGACUGUUAUUUUUUCCAACUUCUUCAAAACAUCUUCGACAAUUUUGUUUACAAGUUGCGCAUCAAGCCUAAUAUGAAGGUGCAAAGAUGCAAAAACAUUGAGUCAAAUCGGGCCAAGACAGAAACAGAGAAAAGAUGAAUUAGGAAAGAGAGUUACCUGAAUUUCGUGGAUUCAUGGCCGGCUAGAUGGGAUGUUUCUGUCAGUGCAUCCCUCCACUUCUGAACCAUUUCUUGUUUAUCUUUGAACUGUUUUUUGAGCUCAUCAAAACGGUCUCCAAAUGUUCCGUUUUGAUGCCGCACAUCAGAUGGACUUACUCCAUAGAAGAAUGGAAUAAUAAUUUGGCCGUUUGUGUUCUUGCAUUCAAGAAUCUUGACAAGUUCAUUCAGGCACCAUUUUGAAGAAGCGUAGUCCUUCGAGAAAAUGACCACCGAAAUUUUUGAACCUUGGAUUGCGUUCAAAAGGGCGGGUGAAAUCUCAUCUCCUCGCCUAAGCCCUUCAUCAUCAAUAAAUGUUUUGAUUUUCUUUCCUUCAUACAAUUUAUCAUAGAGAUAGCAAGUAAAGCUCUUACGAGUGUCCUCCCCUCUAAAGUUGAGGAAGACUUCAUAAUUGGCACAAGAAGAAGAGGAAGCCAUGAAGGAAAUUUUAGAAAAUUGGUGACAGAAACAGAGAAUUAAUCUUGAGAGUUGAGAGAGGAGAUGUAAGAAUGAACAUGUGCGAAGAUUCUUGCGAGUACAUAGUAAAUAAUUGAAUGGCUGGAGCUUUCUUAGUUUCCUGGAAAUUUCCUGGAGCUUUCGUAUACAUGAUUUGUCAAGUCAUGAAACAUAAUCAUGAUAAUGGGGCAGACCGAAAAGAAAAGCAACAAUUCAAAUAUUUGAUUCAACCAGUAUAAAAAGGAAGGAAAAGCAAAGAAAGGAAAUGUUGAAAGUAGAGUUAGGGAAUUAUAAAAAGCUGAAGGAAAUUGGAAUUUUGUACAAUUUCUCCAGCGAGGAACUUUCACAGUCGUUACCUCAUUGUUACAGUUUAGAUUAAGAUUUGAGGGUGCAAGCAUUUACCUAGAUUUUACCUCCGCACUAAAUUCUUAAGUUUGAAAAAUUAUGAGACCUUUAUAUUGGAAGAUAUUAUAAUCGAAUCAAAACUUAAAAUUUUAAUAUUGUUAAUCUUUAAUCUUUAAAAAAAAUUACCUUGCCGUUACAAUUUGGAUUAAGAUUUGAAUAAGCAUUUACCUAAAUUUUAUCUCCGCCUGUAAAUUCUUAUGUUUUAAAAAUUAUGAGACCUUUAUAUUGGGAGAUAUUAUAAUCGAAUCAAAAUUUUGAAUUUCAAUAUUAUUAUUCUUUUAAAAAAAAUUUGAGAUAACAGAGUGAUUGAUAAUAGAGAACUUGUCUAGGCAAACACAUGCAUACACAAAAAUGUGAUGGAUUCAAAAAGAAAUUAAAGUGAUAAUGUACGUGGAUCCUUAAAACAAAAAGCGAAAUCGCUUGGUGGCCCAGUAAAAUUAAGACUGAAUAUUUUUUACACGAGAAGUGUAGCUCAUAAAUGGCAAAAGCCAUUUCAUUUCACUUUUACGCGUCAUUGACUUUUGUAACAUGGUGCAUGCAUCGUCAAGUGAGGCAAAAGGGUUUCGAUUACAGUGGGAAAACAUGAACAAGAAUGCAUAAUGAAUAAUUCCUUUGAUAAAGCGAAAAUUAAACACAGAAUAAUCCUAAAAUUUAAACUCUAAUAUCUUAUAAUUUAAUGAUUAAAAAUAAUCCUAAGAGUUCCCAAUUGAAACUUUCAGAGAUAAUAGAAAAUAGCUAUGCUUUAAAAGGCCAAAGAUUAGAGAACAAAGAAGAAUUAGGUAUUGAUAUAAAAAUUAUUAAUUUUUUUGAUUUCAAGCAAAAAUAGUUUCAUAUACCAUUUCGAUUUUGGUAGGGGUGAGGUUUUGAACUUCAAUAGUUUCCUCUAAAAUCAAAAGGUAGUAAUUAAGUUAGAAAGAGCAAAGAAGACUUAUCGGUACCUUAUUGAAGGUAAACAUUAUGGAACUUUCAAUGUCAUUACCCCACUGUUUAAUUUUUAUUGAGAUUUGUGCAAGCAUUUACCUAAAUCUUACCUCUGCCUGUAAAUUCAUAAGUUUUGAAAAUUAUGAGACCUUAUAUCGGGAGAUAUUAUAAUCGAACUAAAACUUAAAAUUUCUUUUCUUUUUUUUUUUUUUUAUCAUAAAAGGGCUCUUAAGAGAGCUAAGGCAACACUAAAUGGGAGUGUGCAACCCCAUGAACAUCAUUAAUCAAUAUGUUUAGCGUAUUUGGAGGAAUAGAUUGAAAGCAAUGUAAACCCAAAGGAAAAGAAAAGCUGUACGAAGUAAGGAAAUCUGCUGCUACAUUGGUUUCUUGGUAGAUAUGAUCCACUUUGAUCAGCCAAUCACGCCGAAGGAGUUCUUCGAUGGCCUGAAUGAGAGUAAAAUGCUCAUUGACGGGAGGGUUUGAGUUAGAGAUUAACUUCAUAACACACAUGCUGUCCACUUCCACGUAAAACUUAAAAUUUCAAUAUUAUUAUUCUUUAAAAAAAAAUUGAGAUAUCAGAGUAAUAUCACAUAGAAAAACUUGCCCACGGACGGUAAGCCAAAAGUCUAGUCAACCACAUGCAUAAAGCUAAGUAGAACAAGAGAACAGAGAAACGCGUGGGUCCCUAAAGAAAAGGCAAGCACAUAAAUGAAAAAGCCAUUACAUAUCUAUUAACACGGUGUGGCAGCAUAUGCACAAUCAAGUGAGGCAAAAGGGAUUCGAUUAUCGUGGCAGAACAUGGACGAGGACGCGUGAUGAAUAAUUCCUUCGUUAAAACCAAAAACAAACGCAGAGAAAACAAUUUCUUAUAUGACAAGAAAUCAAAGUAAUGUGAAGGAACAUGAUGAAGAAAUUGCAGACUGAUCAAUUAUCCCCAUGGACUCCUAUAAAUUCAACCAAAAUAACAAUUCGAAUCUUACCAAAUUCUUGAGUUAAAUUUAUUCAAUGCUUUUAUUUUUUUAGAAAAUUUUUUUCCAAUGCUACUUUUCCUUUUUUGGGGAAAUUAGAACCGCGGCAUGUAUAGAAAACAUUGAGGUGUAAAGCAACAUUAAUUUCAUGGGAUAUGCGUUAUACGCAUAAUAUAUUUUCAGUCCAAAUUCAACUAUACAAAGAGGCUUGAGAACUUAAAAUUAAGCACAAACUAAACAGACGAAGUAAAUACAUGAUUAUGCAACAUAACAUUAAUUCUCUCAAUUGAUAACUGUUUUUGCUACAUGAAUCUUGCACAGUUAAUCCUAAUUGAAGACUAAAAAAGAGCAAUUGGAAGAAGGUUUUGGAAUAGAAUGGUAUACAAUCGAUAUGAUCCUUUUCCAGUAGUCAACGCUAAUUAACUGCAGUUUCUAGACUCCUAAUUAUACUAGCCAUAGCAAACUAUUUAGAAAACUGGUGAUCAAAUUAGAUUUUGAAAGGAAAUAAUGUUCAUUUUCCCUUCGCUGCCUUUUCUUUUCUUUUCUUUUUAUAGCAAAGAAUUAUAUCAUGAAAAGAAUCAAUUUAAUCACCUUUUCCAGCAGCCCAAUUUUUCUUUUAUAAAAUUUGACCACGGAGACAAAGAAGAAUUAUUCAUAACUUCAUCACUAAGGAAAUACUUUUCGGUAUGGCUAGGGUGAGAAAAUGCUUUCCACUAACACUUGUACUUUGUAUUCUUGUAAAUUUUCUUUAAAGUCAAUAAAAACCAUAAGUUCUUUGCAAUAACCAUCUCUUUGAUCAAAAAGUGCCGUAUUCCUUUAGAAUUUAAAACCGGCAAAACCGAAUCAGUGUCUUUGAAGAGACAUAAUGGUCGUAAUUCUUUAAAUGAGUUGGCUAUGGAAAUCCUUAUCCAAGAUUCUUUUAUGCCAUAUUCUUUCGUAAACCAAAAUUCAUUUUGAAAUACUCUAUUGAAAAUGUCAAAUAAAACGGCAUUGAAGGAAGUUUUCAAAGGCAUAAUCCGCACUUGUCAAAGGGAUGAUCUGCACUUGUCAGAGACACGAUCCGCGUCGAACGAAUCGACACAUUUCCUUUCGUAUUCGCAUAUGUAAUCUUUGAAAAAAUGUAGCUUCCGCAUCUAUAAAUAACGCUCAGUGUAUAAUGUUUUAUUCAAGAAAAGAAAACAAAUUUCUUCAUACUCCUUGUCCGAACAUACAGAGACAGUCUCUCAUAACUUCAGCCGAAUACUUAUGAUGAUGAUCAUUUGUGAUUUCAUCAGGCAUAGGGUUGAUGGUGAAAAAUUUUGUAUGUGUGAAGAAUUGAGCUGUGGAUAUAGGGGACUUAAGUGUAAUCGAAAGAGAGUUAUUAGGCCAUAGUGCAGAUUGCAUUCAGUUUAUGGGUCGAUAUGCAAAUAAUUUGUUGACGUGGCGAAAUCUGUUAUGGUCGUUACUAUUGUUUCUGGAAAUUUUCUAGAAACCUCAGCAUAAAAGGGGCUUUUGCAUAGCCUCUGGUGUGCGUGUGAUUUCUCUUUCGUUUCCUCAUCAAAUUCUGUAAUUCUUGCUUUGAUAAAAAGCUUGUAAUCAUUUCUGUAAUGUGUGAUCAGUGCGUAAUCAUUUUGAGCAAUAAAAGCUUGUGGGUUUUUCCUUCAAACAGUGUCGUUUUGGUCAGUUUGUUAGUUUGAUCUGUUGGUGGAAUUUUCUUUGGUUAUUUGUUCUCAAAUUUCAACCGUAUAUAAAGUUUGAACUCUAAUGGCUUAUAAUGUAUUGAUUAAGAAUAAUCCUAAGAGUUCCCGAUUGAAAUUUUUAAUGACUAUUUUUAUUGUUUUGGAUAUACAAAUUGCAUUAAGAAAAAAUAUUGUCAAAUUCAGAGGAUAACGGGAAAUAAUUAUGCUUCAAAAGACCAGAGAUUAGAGAAUAAAGAAGCAUUCAUUACUGACAUACAAAAGAGAAACACUCCAAAAUUGCAAGCAAACUAGUUUCAUAUACUAUUUGGAUUUUGGAAGGGGUGAAGUUUUGAGCUUCAGUUGUUCCUCUAAAUAGCAAAGAAGACUUAUUGGUACCUUACUGAAGCUAACAUUGUGGCACGGUUGUUCAUAUGUAAUGGCUGCUCUGUUAUGGUAGCUUCUCUGUUUUUGCUCACAGUUUUGAACAUGAAUUCUUGCUCAAAUAACCCAUAAUUAAUUAACAUUAAAAUGGCUCGUGAAAUCCCAUAAUAGCUAAUUACGCAACUUUCUCCUCCUCCUCAAUUAUGUCUUCCCCUGCUCGUACAAUAAAUUCAAAAUUCAAUGCCCCGAAAAACAACACAAGAAAUCUUUGAGUUAGUUCGUGACCAGUUUAUAUAUAGUAGCAAUUGAAAAAAGAAAAAGAAGAAAAGAGUUAAUUAUUAUUCAGACCUUCACUUAUUAGGAAGUUUGUUCUGCUAUUGGGUGAGGUCAAGCUCUCAGCAUAUACUUCCACAUGAUACUUUCUAACAUUUUCUUGAAAGCCAUCAAUCAUAAAAUCUUCAUACUUUUUUCCAUCCUUUGGAUCAAUGAGUACAAAUUUCUCAUCUAAAACAGACAAAAUAAAAUCACUGUCCUUCAUGGAACAUAAUGGCUGCAAUGCCUGAACUGAAUUGGCUAAUGAAACAUAGUCUUCUUUUCUUUCUCGACAUGGAACAUAGUCUUCUUUUCUUUCUCGACACAUGUCUCUGUACUUUUCUCUCUCUACUGAUCCACACUUUUUCAUACUUCUAACUAUCAUUUUGUUUUUUUUUUUUGAGUUGUGAUUUAUUCAAUUAUUUUGUAUUUUUAAUGACAAUUAUUUAAUAUUUAGUUAGUGUUGAUAUUGAUUAGUGAUUGAAAGUGUAUUUUAGAAGACUUCCGGUCUCUUGAAAAAAGGAAAAAUGGAGAAGAAGAAGAAGUGUUCUUGAUUUUUUUGUAGGCAUUAAAGUUAAACGGUUUGAAAUGAUAUUUUGUUUUAAUUUCACUCAUUAAUCUCAUUCAGGAUAAAAUUAUAAAUGCAAAUAAAUGGGGUUUCAUAAGUAUUUUUAAUAGUGUUAAAAGGUCUACUAACUAAAUAAACAUGUUUUACCCAAACCAAUCCGAUUAAUAAGUUAUUGGGUUGGGUUGAUCAGGUUAAAAAUCAAAAUUAAAAAUUAAAUAAAUAAAUAAGGCAUAAAAACUAUAUGUUACUUGAAAAUAAAAAGAAUUUCUAAUAGUUAGUUCUAAUGUCCCAUAUCCAAAACAUGCAUAUUAAAUAAAUAUUAUAAGUUAGAAAUAAAAUAUCCAAGAAAUAAUGAAUGAAAUACCAUAUUUUUGUUGAGAAUUAAGAGUGUGAUUUUAAUUUUGAUAUUGGAGUCUAAAGCAAUAGAUAGUACAAUGAAAUCAUGAAUGCUACGUUUAAAUAAUCUCUUUUAUAAAAUAAUAAAAAGAGGUUAAAAAUUAGGUUAGCAUUUAGGGUUUAGCAGUUAAGGAUGAACAUAUUAUUAUUGUUGUUGUUGUUGUUAUUAUUAUUAUUAUUAUUAUUAUUAUUAUUUACAUAUUAAUUAAUCCAACCCAACUCAAUUAUUAACGAAUUUGAAAAAAAAUGACCAAAUUAAUCCACAAUAAUUCAUUCAACUCGUCUAAAUUAGAUUAGAUUGAAUUUGAUUUGCUACACCUACAUUGAGCAACAAACCUCAACGCGAUUCUAUGAGCUCUUUGAUUGUUUAUAAAAUUGAUUUAGAGUACAUAAUGGAGUGUAUCGACAAUGAAAGUGCAAAACAAAUUAUUGUAUACAUUAAAAUCUGCAAAACAAUGAAUUAUAUGUACGAACGAGUGCAAACACAUUUUUCAAUAAGAAGUUAAAAGAUAUUUAUGCAUGAAAAAGCAUACGUUUGUAGUUACUCUAAAUUUUUUAAAAAAAAUUUACAUUUAGAUCCCUAAAAUUUACGUAUAAGUACAAAAGUUUCAAAUAUUGUCUAUUAUUUUUUAACAUAUGCCUAUUCCUUGUGGAUAAUUCUGUCUCAUCACUAAUGUUGUUUCUUGCUUACAAAAAACAAAUGUCAUCUCCUUUUACAAUUUUUAUAGCGUCUCAAAAUAGACAAUGGGGGGAUUUUGAAUUUUUUAAGUCUCAAGAUAGUCUCUAAUCUUGUGAGAAAGAUUUUCUUUCAAUAAUUUGGAGGUAAAGAUAACAUAAUUUUUUGGAUAGUGUGCAUGUGUAUUUAAUUAAUAAUUUUUUAAAAAAAUACAUCAAAUAUUAAUAUCCAUGACAUAAUUUAGUUCUUAAUUUUUUUUAAAUACAUCAAAAACAUAAUUUUUUUUAACAACUUAUAGGCAUGACAAAUUUCAAGAUAUAAAUAUCAGUCAAAAUAAGUGAAAGAAAUAAUGGUGCCAAUUCUAAUUUCUUAACUAAAUUAAUUAGUGCAUGAGCCCCGAAUACGACACGAGAGUUUGAUGGGCUAACUUGGCACAAGAACGUGAAUAAAUAAUUGAUUUAAGAAAUAAUUCAACGAAAAAUAUAAUUGAUAAGAAUUCAGUAUUGAAAUGAGUUUUUUUGUGAAACACUGAAUUAAUGAUUAUUAAGCAAGAACAAUAAAAAAAUAAAUAUUAAUCAUUGAUAAGUUUCAACAAAAACUUAACACAAUCCUCAAUCCUCAUUCAAAUGAUAAAUGUCAUUCAUAUAUUCAUUAUAAAUCAACAACAAAGGUUAUAAAUGUUUAGAAAUUCUAGAGGGAAGGAAGCUAUCGCCGGACAAUCAACAACUAAAUUUGAUGUAAUUGUGGCACGAGAUGGAAUAUGGAAACUACACCAUAAUUUCAAAUGCCGCCAUAGACAUUGACUUAUCAUAAUAACAAUGAUCUAAUUAAAAUAAAAACAAAGUUUAUGGGCAUUUAUUAUUUUGCCAUUCCUCAUUUGCAAAUAGGGAUAUAAUUAUAAUUUUACCUAGUCAAAGCAAUCGGUAGUUUUCUUCAUUAUAGGAGUGAAGUAAAAACAUUUAGAUUUCAAUGUAUGUACGGAAAAAUUUGUCUUUAAAAAUACUUUCUUAAUGUGUGUAUGCAUAUUGAAAUACUCAAACCAAUUUUGGUUAUAUAUAAUUAAACAAAUUUUAAAAUAUGAAAAAUAUAAUGUAGUUAUAGUGGAUAAACAAUAAGUGAGCACAAUAUAAUUAAUCAAAUAUUAUGCCAUCAAAAGUUAAUUUUAGAAAUUCCAAAUCCAAUAGCCAACACAAUUCUUUUUUUUUUAAAAAAGUUGACACAAUUAAUAAAAUUAGCGACAUGAAUUUCACGCCAUUGAUAAUCAGCAAUUAGUAUUACUUUCUAAACUUGCUUCAACUGGUCGUUGAUGUCCGGGUCACCAAAAGUAUAAGCGAUAAUAAGGGGCAUUGGGCAAGAGUGAUGAAUGUUUAGUCGGUGCAUUUGAUUGAUAGAUAUAUAAAGGGCCGAAACUUGAGAUUAUAUUACUUUUACAAAUUUUAAUCCAAUCACAUAUUUACUGAAAACAAAAUGAGUUAGGAUACUUUAUUUAGAACCCACAUUUUAAUAAGGCUUCAUUUGAUGUAGUUUUUCAAACAGUGAUUAUUUGAGUAAAGUUUCCUCAAUAGAGUUUUUAUCAAAUAAAUUUUAUUUAUUUGGUUGUCGAUAAGAACUUUUAUUAAAAAUUAUAAAAUUAUUUAAAUAAACAUAUUUUUUAAAAUUACAUUAUAAAAAGAAUUAAAUAAAGUUAUAAAAGUAAAAUAUAUUUUAGAUAUUUUAAUAUUUAAGAAAAAAAUUUUGAAUCUCUACUUUCAGAAGCUCAAAUUUUUAGUUUUUAGUUGUAGAGACAAAAUAUCUUAUUUAAUCUUUAAAAGUUCUGCUAAAAACAAUCAAAUAACUAUAAAAUUUUUAAUAAGAGUAUAUAAAAUUAAAUAAGCAUUUAUUAAUAAUCACUUUAGUGUACUUAUCUAAUGACCAUAAGUGUUUAUUUAAUCUCAUAAGUUCUUAUUUAAUCUCAUGAGCUCUUUUCAAUUUUUUUUGUUGUUUGCUUUUUUUAGUAGAGUUUUUGAAAAUUAAAUAAACUAUUUUGUCUCUAUUAGGAAAAACUCAAAUUUUAGGUUUUUGUGAGUAAAUGUUUAAAUUUUUUUUAAAAUAUUAAAAUAUUAAAGUAAAAGUUGUAGAGACAAAAUAUCUUAUUUAAUGUUUAAAAGUUCUGCUAAAAAUAAUCAAAUAACUACAAAAAUUUUAAUAAGAGCAUAUAAAAUUAAAUAAGCAUUUAUUAAUAGUCACUUUAGUAUACUUAUCUAAUGACCAUAAGUGUUUAUUUAAUCUAAUGAGCUCUUUUUAAUUUUGUUUGUUUGUUUUUUUAGUAGAGUUUUUGAAAAUUAAAUAAACUAUUUUGUCUCUAUUAGGAAAAACUUAAAAUUUAGGUUUUUGUGAGUAAAUGUUUAAAUUUUUUUUAAAAUAUUAAAAUAUCUUUUCUUUAUUUCAUAAUCUUAUUUCAUUCUUCACAACAUAACUUUAAAUAACUCACCUAUUAAAAUAAUUUCACAAUUUAUAAUAAAAAUUUUAAUUGACAAUCAAAUAACAAAUUUUUUUUUAUAAAAACUCUAAUAAUAAAAAUUCUACUUAAAUAAAUUAUAUUUGAAAAGGUAUACCAAACGAACCUAACAUAAAAACAAAAAUUUUUACAUCCACACAAUUAAGCUUAAAACAAUUUCAAAUGAAUUUUAGACUACUCAAAGUACAAUACGUACCAAGUUUGGUAACUUAUUGGGGUCCGCUUGUAAUACAGCGUCUGUAUCUCAUACAGCCAAAUUUAAUAAUUUAUUAAGAAAAAGGGCAACCAUUAGAUAGAAGUAGAUACAUCCAACGGUUAAAAUGUUUGAUUACUCAUUUUGGCGACCGGAUAUGCCAGUUAUUAUUUCAUCAAUUAACUUACCUAAAAAAUCACAGCCGUUGGAUUGAGAUGCCUCUCUUUCCCUCAAAAUAACAGCCUUCGUAUUCUCUCUGCUAUUGUUUUCUCCUACAUCCAGAAUUUUGGAUGAAUGAACUUGGUAUUCAACAAUAUUCACCACCCAUCACAGCAAAGAGCAAAGAUGUAGUCAAAGGAGUGCCAUUUAUUCAGGCUAACUCGAUCUGUCACUCUCGCUUCAAUUCGUCACUCAUUUUCUCGCGCUCAGCUUCAAUCUAUCACUCUCAGCUUCAGUUCGUCACUCACAGCUUCAAUUUUUCACUGUCGUGAAUCAUCUCUCUUGCUGUAUCUCUCUCUUAUGUCUUCCAAUAAUUUCGGUGAGCUCUCUCUCUAAUUUAAUAUAUGAUUAAAAAUCUUAUCAUCUUAUCAUGUCAUUUAAAUAUGCUUGAAGUUUCAAUUUAGUUUAUGAAUAUUACUUGAAAUUUCAGUUUCAAUAAUUUGAUUUUGCAAUUGAGAAAUUAUUACUUGAAAUAUUGAGAUGAUUUCUAGGGAUUGAUAAUUGAAUGAUAAUUGCUAAGGCUUGUCAUUUUUUGUUUUUGAACAGAUAGAGUUACAAUUAAGUCAUACUGCAAUAUUUUAUCUUGAGAUUCUAUUAUUCACAAAAAGAAAAAAAUCAUAAAUUGAAAAAAAAAAAAAAGAGGUUACGAGCAUCAAGCAACUGCAAGUAAUGGGGUUUGUUUUGAUGAGCUGCGAAUUGGGGCCUGUCAUUUUCUUGAAGUAUCUUCAAUAUAAGUGGAAGGAGAUUUCUUCUCUCCAAAAAAUUAUUGUAUAUUUCCUUUUAAAUUCUAGAUUCGCAUGUAGCUGAUUUUUUAUGUUUGAAGGAUUUUAUUAAAGAAUGUGCUGCUGCUAGUGGCAUGAAUUAAUGUAGUCUCGCUAGUAUUCGUGAUUUGGGGUAAGGAUCGAAUUGAACAAUUAUAUUUCUAUUAUUCUUAUAUUCGAAUCCAGUGAUAUUGUGGUGGUUUUAUGAUAAUAUUCAAUUGUUUUGUGCCUCAAAUCAGCCAAUGAGUUGGGUAUGUGCUGGGUAUAUGCCGUAUGGGCUUGUUGUUGAAUUUGCUUGACCUUGGAUGUGAUUCUUGCCGUGUUUAUAAGAAAUAGACACAGGUCUUUGUGUGGUAAUAGAAUUGUCUAAGGUGCCUUACAAUAAAUUUAAGAGUCUUAAGUAACUAUGCUUUGUAACCUUAAACCUUUAUUUGUACGACUUGGUGUUCUUGGUUGUGAAAGAAUGUUAAAUGUUGACCUAUUUUCAUCGGUGAAGAUAAAUGAAGUUAGGGAAGGUUUGUAAUCACUAUAACCCUGACAAUUUUUUUGGUGGGCCGUGAUAAUUUUAUUCAUGGCAUGUACUUUGUUUUUAUCAGAAGGCCCUGUUUGCUUGUAGUCUCAAAUCUAGGGUAAUAUUUUAAAUAAGUUCUGCAAUAUAUGUUUUGCUAUUUUUCUUUUUUGUUUUUAUUUUAAUUAGUUUUAGUAUUACUUGGAGGGGAAUUCUGAUCUGCUGAAGUUUAUCAAGCUGGUGCAGUGGUGCAGCAAGCAGACCUUUAUCUUAAUCUUAUGAUUGUGCUAAGUGGAAUUUUGUGUAAGUUACAACAAUAUAAUUUUUUAAAGAGCUGACAAGACGCUCUCUCUUUUUUUUGGAAUGUUGAGCAAAACUUUUCUUUCUUAUUAGGUGUUUAUAAUAAUUCAUAGCAUGGGUUUUGUCAUAUUGGUUUCAAUGCAUUGAUUUGAUCUUGGUUACAACCCAUCAGCCCUUACUCCUCAUUCCCAGCAGCUUUUAAUGCCUUUUUUUUAAGCAUUGUACUUUGUUUCAUGAUGAAAUUUGUUUAUAUGACGCAAAGUUGAGGACACGGUAAUAGUCAUUAUUUUAAUUUAUGCAACAAAGAUCAUUAUCCAUUAAAUUUUAUGUUGUUGAAAUAUUUAGAUUUUGUAAAUUUUGUUGUAAGAAAUGAGGGCUCUUGAUCCCAUCCCUUUAUUAUAUACAAUUUUUUUUCACUCUGUCAUUCAUUUAUUGUGUGUUAGAGGUAUUAGUCAUGUGCAAAAGUAAAGAUCUUUAUUUUGUUAUUUUUGUCAUCUUGUGCUUCAUUGGUAUAAAUGAGGAAAAAAAAGAAUAAAAUAAAAUAAAAUUAUAGUUUGUGCAUGAAUUCCACCAUAUAUGAAAUGUUUAAUAGAUUAAAAAGUAAGGAGUACACAGUGACUUUGAAUAGCAGGUGGGGGAACUCAUUUUGUUUUAAAAAAAAUUAAUACAUAUUGAUAGAAUAAUUAUCCUUCACUUAAUUAUUUAAAAAUUUUAUUUUGGAAGAAUACAAAUGGACAGUCACCAAUGAAAGCGUAAACGACUACCAGGGGGCUUACAGAAAAAAUUGCUCCUAUUCUAAAAGUAGAUGGUCAGGACAAAGUUCCAACAACUUCAACUUAUGGAUUUGUCUCUUACUUGUAAGGUAAUCUCUUCUUGUAGGGUGUUUAAUUGAAUUAAAAACAGAAUAUUAUUUGCAUUAUAGAGUACAGGCAUAAAUUCAUUAUCUAUGUCAGUUCAUUCAUGAUUUUACUCCAAAUGGAGUAAUAGAUCACCAUUAAUUUAUUGAUACAUCGUCCAUGUUUGUUUUCGUCUUCAAUUUUUAUAUUACAAUAUCUAAUCUAUUUAGUAUUCGUAAAAAAACAUACGAGAAAAAGUUGGAAAAACACUUUAGGGGUGAUUGUGUACACUUUCGUAUGGCACAAAUAGCGUUAGGCUUUGUUUUUUAAGUGGACGACGUGUCCAUUUUUUGUGUUACAUCUUACUCAUUAAUAUAUUUUUGAGUUUCUUAUGGAAAAAAAAUUGAAAAAACACUUUAAGUGAAAAAAAUUUGUAUUUCAAUUUAUAUGUAACAGUGAAUUGGAAAAUAAAUUCUACCAAUAAUUAAAAGAAUACUUUUCUUUUAAUUAUUAAAAAGAUAAGGUAGUUACUCAUUACCCAUAUAAAUGGACAGUUUUAAUUUGUUCCAUAUCUAUACAACAGAAGAGCUUCAGACACGGUUUGCAGCGUUCCACGAUCACUUCCAUUCUAAGCAGCAGCGUCUUCCGUCUUUUUGCACACCAACAGCAGAUUCUAGAUGGCCAGAAGCUCAUCUGCCGCACUCUCGGGAUUUCGCUGCCAUCCUCAUCUUCAUCUCCACUACCUCCUCAGUGAUUAUCCCCUGGUUUUAUGCUCAGAAAUUAUGAUUAUUAUGUAUCUUGUUUUCAGAUUUGUCAAUACUUGUUAUAUUUUGAUUAUGCAUUAUGGACAUUUUUCAUAAGAUAGCUUAAUUUUGUGGUUUGUGUUGACGAUUUCCAUGUAUGGAUGUUUGGAUAGGUAAUUUCGCCUUCCAUGCAUUCUUCAUUCCUGCAUCCUGUGGGAGAAAAUUGGAAAAAGUGGUUUUUGAUGAGAAACGGGGAGAAGGAUGAGAUAUAUAUUUUUGAAGUGUCACAUUAUUUCAAAAACAAACCCCAAAUUUAAUUUCUCUUACCGAUCAUGAGUUAAAAUAUAAAAAUUAACGUUUACUCAUCACACUGUUAUAAGUAUCAAAGCAUUACUUAUAGAAAAAUUAUCGUCACCUAUCCUACAUUUGUGAUUGAAUAGUGGCACAAUUUUAAUUGGGAUAUUUAACAUUACUCUUUGUAAUUGUUUGGUCUUAUUUGAAGUUUGUAAAUUUUUCAUAACUAUGACUUCAACAGCAUAUUUCAGGUUGCAUUUAAUCGUUGCUAUAAUUAGGUACUUUGAAAUAAUUUAUUGGCCACGAUUACAGUCAUUGUUAUUAGUCACCCCUCUUUUUUCUCUUUUGGCCAACCAGCUCUUGGAUAUUUGGGAACCGAUGACAAUAGUUGGGAAAUUAUGUAAUAUUGGUGUGUUUGCGAAAUAAAUCAAGAGAUUUGCCUUGCCGAAGUUAAAAGAGAUAUUGUGGCCUGAAUUUUUUUUUUUUUUCUCUAGGGGCCAUGGCUCUCAAGGACAAGGCAUGAAUCAUGCAUUAUAAUUGCUCGAAAGGGUUAGUAAAAUAGCAAUCUAAAAUACCCAAGUUGGAUCUGCUGUUGAAUCACAAAAAGAACAUAAUUGGGAUAUGAAGUCAUGGUUGCAAGUGUUGGACCCUUAGGUUACGUUUGGCACGUAGGAUUGGAUUGAACUAAUUACUAAAAUUGGAUUGAAUUAUAUUCGAUUGGAUUAAACUGGAUUAUAUUAUAUAGUUCUAUGGUUAGUACAAUAUCGGAUUAAACUAUGUUAAAUUAUAUUUAAAUAAUAUUAAAUAGCAUUUAAGUUGGUAUUUUAAUAUUAAUAUCAAUUAUUCAUGAAAUUUCAUAAUCAUAAUUAAAAUAAAUUUAAAAAACAAUUACCAGGAAAAUUAAAUAUAUUGUAAAUAAGUUACUGGGUAGUCAUAAUACAGUAAACAAAUGAACAUAGAUAAAAAAAUUAAAUUUUAAAUAAUUUUUAUCAAAUUUUAAAAAAAAAUUAUAUAAAAUCAAUUAUUUAAUGGUAUUAUUAAUUUUCAUGAUUAUUUUUAAUAGUAUAUAACAAUGAUUAUUAAAUUUAAUACAAUCAAAUAAUGCAAUAAAUAAUUAAACAUUUAAUUUUAUCAAUAAAUUACUAAAUAUACAAGUGGUGAAAAUUUAAUCUCCAGAGUUAGUACAAGUAAAGGUAUUAAUUUAAUUAGAUCAUAGAUAAUAAAUAAAAAUAAGUUUUAAGUAAAUCAUAUUAAAAAUUAAUUAAUUAAUUAAUACUAGGUGUAAAUAAAAAAAAUGAUAUAAAUAAAAAUCUCAUAAAUGGACAACUUUUUUCUUUAAUCUUAUCCCAACUAAACCCAUGCGUAAAUUAGGAUUAUCAAUUCCAUGAUUUUAGGAUUAAAUUUAAAUUACUACCCCCUUAAUCCAAUCCAACUAAGCUUGCCAAACAUUGGAUAAAUAUUUAAUUCCAAAAUUAGUCUAAUCCCAUACUUAAUCCUAGAAUCCAAACAUGGCAUUAGCACCUUAUAUAACAAAGUGUCACUGAAAUACAGCAAAACGUUAUAAACAAGAACUUAUUUCUGUACAAAAUGUUAUUUACUUUUUGUGAACUUCCAAAUACCUACUAUAUGAUUUGCAAACCCUACAAAAGUCUACCUUGCAUGCUCUUUCUAACGUGAAAUUUGAUUUUUAUUAAAUUUUUGAUGUGUUCACUAAUAAAUAAUUGGAAUCUAAAAAAAUUAGAAAAAAAUAGAAUUAGAAUGAGCUACAAUAAAAAUGAGGAAUAACAAAAAAAAUGAUAUUUGUUGAGAUGAAUGAAACACAAUUGAAAUACUCUAUAUCGCUCUUAAUAUGUUCACUUUGUGAACAUAAAUUAGAAUUAGUUGUUAUAACUUAGUAAUUUAUCCUCAAUCAAUUAUUAUCAUUAUUACUAUUUGUUAUAAUAAUUGUAAUUAUUAUUUUUGAUAAUUUUAAUACUAAGAAAAUUAUUGUUAGGGGUGGAAACACCAUAUAGAGAAGGAACAAUUAAAUUUAUAAAAUUUAGUGGGGAUAAAAUAGUCACUUAAGACAGCAAGCGUCUCCCAUUCUCACCUCCACGAGCAUGAAAACACUAGUAAUCAUUCUUAAAUUUUGAUGGAAUCUGUUGCUUUUAUUCUAAUAACGAACGCAAAACCUAUGGAAUUAGUUGGAAUAACGAAUGCAAAACCUCUGGAAUUACAAUUGAAAUACGUCAACCCAAAAUGGAGAAAGCACAACUAAAAUUAGAGACCUACAAAACCAAAAAUAAACUUAUAGAAAACAAACCCGGUACCUAAUCUCAAUAAUUGGAAUCUCAACCAGUUAAUGGAAAUAUUCAACUCAAAAUUAGGGAAAAAUUAGAUGAAACACGUGAACCAUUGAGAGAGAAAGUAUGACGAAAAUUAGAAACUCAUUUAACGAAAAAUAAUAUUUACUUGGAAUCUAACCCAUGAUACUGGUACCUAAGGAACUUUAUAGGAAUAUGAAACGCAAAACCAGUGGACCAAUAAGUUGAAACAUGUGAACCAAAAAAUGAAAAACUAUAACCAAAUCUUGAGACUAAUCAAACCAAGCAAAAGUAAUAUUGAUAUUUAACCCAUAUAAUUGGAAUUUUACCAAAUUAGUUGGAAUAACGAAUGUAGAACUUGUGGAAUUACAAUUGAAAUACAUCAACAAAAAAUGGAGAAAGCACAACCAAAAUUAGAGACCUACAAAACCAAAAAUAAAUUUAUAGAAAAUAAAUUUGGUACCUAACCACAAUAAUUGGAAUCUCAACCAGUUAAUGAGAAUUCUCAACGCAAAACUAUAGGAAAAAUUAGCUGAAACACAUGAACCAUUAAGAGAGAAAUUAGAACGAAAACUUGGAACUUAUCCAACGAAGAAUGCUCGUGACUUGGAAUCUAACAACAAAUAUUGGUACUUGACUAAUUUAGUAGGAAUAUCAAAUGCAAAACUCAUUGACCAAUAAGUUGAAACAUGUAAACCAAAAGAUGAAAAAGUAUAACCAAAACCUGAGAAUAAUCAAACCAAGAAAAAGUAAUAUUGAUUUUUAACCCAUAUAAUUGGAAUUUUACCAACUUAAUUGGAAUAACGAAUGCAAAACCUGUGGAUUUACAAUUGAUAUACGUCAACCCAAAAUGGAGAAAGCACAACCAAAAUUAGGGACCUACAAAACCAAAAAUAAAGUUAUAGAAAACAAACCUGGUACCUAACCUCAGUAAUUGGAAUCACAACCAGUUAAUAGGAAUAUUCAAUGCAAAAUUGGGGAAAAAAUUAGAUGAAACACGUGAACCAUUAAGAGAGAAAGAACAACGAAAACUAGGAACUUAUCCAACAAAGAAUGAUAGUUACUUGGAAUCUAACAGUAAAUAUUGGUACUCGACGAAUUUAAUAGGAAUAUCAAACGCAAAAAUAGUGGACCAAUAAGUUGAAACAUGUGAACCUAUAGAUGGAAAAGAAUUACCAAAAUUUGUAACUAAUCAAACCAAAAAAAGUAAUAUAGAUAUCUAACCCAUAUAAUUGGAAUCUCGACAAAUUAGUUGAAAUAUUAAACAAAAAACUAGUGGAAUAAUAGUUGAAACACAUGAACCAAAUGUGGAGAAAGUUUAACCAAAUUUUGAAACUUAUCCAAUGAAGAAUGCUAGUUACGUGGAAUCUAACAACAAAUAUUGGUACUCGACGAAUUUAAUAGGAAUAUCAAACGCAAAAAUAGUGGACCAAUAAGUUGAAACAUGUGAACCUAUAGAUGGAAAAAUAUUACCAAAAUUUGGAACUAAUCAAACCAAAAAAAGUAAUAUCGAUAUCUAACCCAUAUAAUUGGAAUCUUGACAAAUUAGUUGAAAUAUUAAACGAAAAACUAGUAGAAUAAUAGUUGAAACACAUGAACCAAAUGUGGAGAAAGUUUAACCGAAUUUUGAAACUUAUCCAACGAAGAAUGCUAGUUAUUUGGAAUCUAACAACAAAUAUUGGUACUCGAUGAAUUUAGUAGGAAUAUCAAACGCAAAAAUAGUGGACCAAUAAGUUGAAACAUGUGAAUCUAUAGAUGGAAAAGCAUUACCAAAAUUUGGAACUAAUCAAACCAAAAAAAGUAAUAUCGAUAUCUAACCCAUAUAAUUGGAAUCUCGACAAAUUAGUUGAAAUAUUAAACUAAAAAUUAGUGGAAUAAUAGUUGAAACACAUGAACCAAAUAUGGAGAAAGUUUAACCAAAUUUUGAAACUUAUCCAACGGAGAAUGCUAGUUACUUGGAAUCUAACAAAAAAUAUUGGUACUCGACGAAUUUAGUAGGAAUAUCAAACGCAAAAAUAGUGGACCAAUAAGUUGAAACAUGUGAACCUAUUGAUGGAAAAGCAUUGCCAAAAUUUGGAACUAAUAAAACCAAAAAAAGUAAUAUCGAUAUCUAACCCAUAUAAUUGGAAUCUUGACAAAUUAGUUGAAAUAUUAAAUGAAAAACUAGUAGAAUAAUAGUUGAAACACAUGAACCAAAUGUGGAGAAAGUUUAACCGAAUUUUGAAACUUAUCUAACGAAAAAUAAAUUUAAUUGGAAUUUAACCCAAAAUAUUAGUGUUUAACGAGUUUAGUGGGAAUAUUAAACAUAAAACUAGUGGAUCGGAAAAUGGAGAUAAGCAAACCAAUUAGUGAGAAAGUUGAAUCAAAAUUAGGUAUAUGUGAAAUUAACUUGGAAUGUCACCUAAUAUAUUGAUAUUUAACCAAAAGAAUCGAGACAUGCUCAUUUUAAUUUUUUUAAACUUUUGUUGCAAUUAAAAAUAAUUUUUUCACUUAAAUAUUGUUUGUGUUAAAUAUUUACAAAAUUUCCUUAAUUUUUCCUGUUUCAUUUUAUUUUUUCUACAUUAAAAAUAAUUUUUUAAAAAUUAUUAAAUGAACAACCGGUAAAAUACCGGUUGUUCAAGUUUCCUUUUUACUGUUGAAGGGGCUGUAUUUUAUACAGCACUGUACUAUAGGAAGACUCAACUUAUUGACAUCUUCUCAUAUAACCUUCGAUCAAGUCGAUUCUGACCUGACGACUAAUUGGUACAUCACCGUUGUUCUCUAUACUCGCAUGCAUCGGAUCACAAAUCUCACUCCAAUUGUCGUCUUUCUUCGCCGUUUUAGCGCAUACUUCUUGAAUUUCCCGCAUUUCGUUCCCUCCUGUUACAAGUCUCCGGUCAGGUCAGUGAUUGAAUUUCCCGCAUCUCUAUCCCUCCCGUUUUCUCGCGUCGUUUCACUUCAAUUUCUCGUGUCUCCUUUCAGUUUAAGUGAUUGAAUCAAUUUUAUCGCAGUCAUAAGAGAAAUUAAGUAAUGCUCUUGGAUUUAAAAUUUUUUUGCUUUCGACUUUAGAUCUCGAAAGUCAAACUCUGCUACGAAUCCAUAGAUUCUCAAUGCUCAUAAUCUUAUUUGUGUUUGACCAGGUAACUGGAUCGUGAAAUUCGUCGUUUUGUAUCAAUUCAAGCUUUCGCGAGCUCAUGGAAUCACCUGGUGAGUUGUGGUGAAACGUUAUCGUUUCAAUUUUCGCUUAAUUCUUUAUUGCAUAUUUUUUUCUCUAAUGUUUCAGUUUAAUUUAGAAAAGAAAGAGGCCCCAAAAAGAGAGAGAGAGAGAGACUCUACCAUACUCAAUUCCUUGCUCAUUCUGAUUUGGCCUGAAUGUUGGCAUUGACUAUUAUUUGUUUUCAUUUCGAUUUAAUUCUCAUUUAGACAGUCUUUACUAACGGUCAAUAAUAGUUUAAGGAAAAUGAUCAUAGGGAUUCUGCAAUAAUCUUUCUGCAUUGUUCAAGUUAGUAGACAAUGAAUAGGAUGUUUAUGUUUACCUCAUUUUGAACCCUGAGGGCUUCGUUGAGUAGUUGAUUCAACAUAUCCAGCAACGGUUGAUGUGAGAACAGAAUGCCACUUAGAUAGGCUUAAACUGAUUUUGGAGGUUUGUAUUGGUUCUAUUGUACGUCUUGCUUACAAAUUUUUAAUUUUUAAUUUUGUAUAAUAUGCUCUUUGUUGGUAAAUCUCAUUUGACUUAGAAGAGAUAGUUUUAUCCCAACAGUGGGAUAAAUCAUUGAGAUGCAUGGCAGUGUGAAUAUAGUAGACAAAAUCAUUGAGACACAUGGUGGUGUGAACAUAGUAAACUUUGUCAAACACAGCUAAGAUAAACAAAUUGUUUCAUUAGCCUUUACCUUAUCUGCUGUGAUGAUUCAAAUUAAUGCUGUUUGGUAGGUUGCAAAAAACGAAAUGAGCUGUCUGUUCGUAUUAUUUAGUCAGAUCUAUUGCAAUAAGUUGAAGUUCAUUGUCACAUGGGUUGGGAGUAGCGUGGGCUGUGAGUAGUAGAAUGGAUUUAUGGAGUUGAUACAAGUGCCCAUAAUCUAUCAUGUCAUUCUAGGAUUAAAUGGAUUGCACAUUACUGUAAAGAUGGAGGUUAAAUUUAUAUAAUUCGGAUUGAUUGUAAAAUGGGAGGCAGAGAUGAGUUAGAAAAAGAAUGACCUGUGUCCUUUUUGAGCUGUUUCUAAAUCUCCCUGGUGUGCUUCAUGCUUAACACGUGUCUUUCCAAAUAAUUUUGCUUAACCUGUGCUUGUCUACUUCUUGUGCUAUUCUGUGCCUGGUCCUGAGCUGUGUUGGUAGAUUGACAUAAUUUUGCUCUGCUAAAUGUAUAACUUAUUAAUCAGAGUCCUGUUAUUAUGGUUUGACACUACUGACAUAUUGUGUUGGUAUUUAUUUGUACUUCCCUUGGUUGAAUUAUUUGCUGUCUCCAUGCAAUUCGAUAUGGUGCUACUUGGUUUUUGAUCAUCCAUGACGCUAUAUAUAUGUAAAGGAUGAAUUGAUUGUUUUGGCUUGUAUUCUCACAUUUUAUGAUUGAUCGAUGGAAAGGUUUUCAUGCAUUAAAUUCAACCUCACAAGCGUAAGAUUGACAGAUUGUGGGCAAAUUUUCAGGAAAAGAAACUAGACUUCAUGGAAGCAAUGAAGCUUGAAAUUGAACGUCUGCAGCUGAAUCUUUCUGCAGCUGAAAGGGAUAGAACUUUAUUGUCAAUUGGAACUGAUCCUGCCUCUAUAAAUCCAAAUGUAUUGCUUGAUGAAUCUUACAUGGGAAGACUGUGUCGAGUAGCAAACACUCUUGCAUUACUUGGCCAAGCUUCCCUAGAAGAGAAAAUUGUUGGUGCAAUUGGCCUUGAGAAUAGUGGUGAUAGUGUUUUAGACUUCUGGAAUAUUACUAGAAUCGGAGAGAGUUGUUCUGGUGGUGGGUGCGAGGUUUGUGCAGAAACUAAGGUGCCUGCUCUUGCUUCCUCAACUGCAACAUCUGUUGGAUCUUCACAAUCCCCUUUGUUGUGUUCUCAAUGUGAAAGAAAAGUUUGCAAAGUUUGUUGUGCAGGAAGAGGAGCUCUACUGUUUUCAAAUUAUAAAUCAAGGGAUGUGACCAACUACAAUGGCUUCUCAAGUCAGAGUGGAUCAAGCCAUGGAAGCCAAGUUGAUGUAGCUACCAGUCGUUCACUAACACUGGAUGGCGUUAUCUGUAAACACUGUUGCCAUGAGAUGGUGCUUGAUGCAUUGAUGUUGGACUAUGUUAGGGUCUUGAUUAGGUUGCGAAGAAGUUCCUGUGCAGACAACGCAGCAUACAAUGCUUUGAAUGAGGUUGUUGGAUCCUGCUUAAAGGAUAGUCUUUCUGAGAGGAUUCAGUCUUCCGAU